rnacentral:lncRNA from 1 species
UAUUGUCUCUCACAUGUACUAUGAUUUGCCGAAUUGGUUUUGGAAAAAGGUAUGACGAGGAAGGCCAAGAAAGAAAAAGAUUCCACUUUCUCAUGCGCGAAGCUCAGGCAGUGUUGGUUGCCUUCUAUUUCUCUGAUUAUUUUCCUACAAUUGGUUGGCUGGAUAAAUACACUGGGAUGCUAUCUCGACUGGAGAAAGUUUUCAACAAGCUUGAUUUGUUCUACCAAGAACUCAUUGAUGAGCACCUGGAUCCAAAUAGGCCAACGUCAAUGGAUGGAGACAUUAUUGAUCUCUUGCUUCAAUUACAGAAUGACAGAUCAACUCCGUUUGAUCUGACUGUGGAUCACAUCAAGGCCAUGCUAAUGGUAAUAAACUAACUCUUUAACGUACAUUCCAAUACAGAGUGUGAUAUACAGGUUCUGUUUAGUUUUUUCUACUUGAAAUUGCAAUCAUUUCUUGUGAAAAAUAAUGCUACUUAACAAUAGGAUACAAUUUAAUUUAAUUUUGACAAAAAGCCAAACACAGCGCUAUUUAUUUGUUUUUCUAUUUACAUCCUAAGUUAAUUGGCACUAUCCUUAAGUAAAUUUGCUUCCUAGCCUCCGUGAUACGCGAAUCAUCAGCAUCUAUCUCUUCCUUAACUACUACUUUCCCCCAAAAUCAUCAUCACCAUAUUAUCAGCAUCCCUUUAUUACUUCCUCUCUCUUUCCUCCCCAAAAGUUGUAACCAGUUUAUUCCUCCUUUUUGCCUUCAUCGGUACCUACUUCUGAGAUCCAUCUCCACCGAAACCAUCACCACUCUUCUUUGUGGUUUCUUUCCCUCUUUCAUUUCCUUAGAUGCUUUAGGGGUUUUUUUUUGGGUGAAGCUCAUAAUUAUUUAAGGAAAACCAAAAAUAAAGCCAAAAUAACAAAGCUAAUCCAAUCAGAAAUUUACCGAAAAAGAAAACUGAAGGCAUGGGGCGGGGGUUUUUGGAAAUUUUACAUGGCUGAGAUAGAAUUUGGUAGGAAAGCAAAAAGAAACCUGACCUGAAAAAUUGUUGCUAUUAGAUUUUGAUGUGUACUUGUAUAUAGUUCAAAAGAGGAAUUUUAAAAAAUUGAGAGAGAGAGAGACGGUAGUGCAGAGCGGUGAAGUCAAACAAGGUGAUAGACGGAAGGUGAUCCCCAGCCUAUCAUGGUAAAACUCAAGUGAGGAAUGGAGUACAUGAACUUGCAGCUAGUUAAUGCUGAGGAUUAUAUUGAGGCCCAGUUUACUGGAAAUCUUGGAGAGAUUCUUGAUCAGAUGUAACAAUAUUCUCUACAUGCUUUGAAUAGCAUGUAGAGAUUCUUGAUCAGAUGUAUAUUGAAGGAUGUUUCUAGUGAGUUGUGAUGAUGUGGCAAUUUCACCAUCACUCAAUCUACAAGUCGGCCCGUAGACCGGUUCUACACAAGUUUUUGCCACUAUUACAUAACAACUCUCAAAUUCUGAUAGAGAGGUUGUGUUUUGGGUCUCCACUAGAAUUGGAUCGGAUAGGAAUCUUAAUUUUGGCUUACACAAAUGUUGAUUCAUUUCAAUUGGAUACAAUUGGUCUUGAUGAACAACAAGCAUUUGAAUCAGCCUUUUUUAAGGAAAAAAAAAAGAAAUUAUAAUAUUUCCUAAACAUAAUGUUUACCCAUUUCUCUUUAUCGCAUAUACAUCACAUUCCAAAAAUUUUACAGCUUUACUGUUCGAAAAAAUUUCUGAAUGAUCUUCAACCGAAGCACAUGAAAAUAUUUAGGCUUAGGAAAUUCAUUGAUGAUUAUCUUUUUUUUUUUUCAAAAAACAACUGCAGAACGUAUUUUUGGCCGGGUCAGAAACUUCAGCAGGUGCAGUAAUCUGGGCAAUGACAGCCCUUAUCAAGAACCCUACGGCACUGGAAAAAGCUCAAAACGAAAUCCAAGAGGUGCUUGGAGAGAAAAAAAUGAUAGAUGAAGAUGAUAUCCAAAAGCUUCCCUAUCUCAAAGCAAUCGUCAAGGAGACUAUGAGACUGUACCCAGUUGCUCCUCUUUUACUCCCAAGAUACACAACGGAAAGUUGCAUCCUAGACGGGUAUGAGAUCCAGCCCAAGACUACCGUUUACGUGAAUGCUUGGGCAAUUGGAAGAGAUCCUGAGUACUGGGAAAAUCCACAUGAAUUCUUGCCUGAGAGAUUCUUGAAUAGUACUAUAGAUGCAACAGGGAAACACUUUAAAUUCAUACCGUUUGGGGCAGGCAGAAGAAGCUGCCCAGGAUACUACCUGGGACUAGCAACUGUGGAGCUUGCACUUGCUAAUCUCUUGAACUCAUUCAAUUGGGGAUUGCCUUCUGGAGUGAAGAAAGAGGACAUCGAUACUGAUGUUUUACCUGGUCUUGCUAUGCUUAAGAAAAAUGCCCUGCGACUUGUGGCAAAGAAACGUGUGCCUUCGUAGUAAAAAAAAAAAGUCAAAUGGGAUCAGAAUGUGUGGUUCAUAUACAAUGUACGACCAUUUGAGGAAUUCUUGCUGUUUUGGUCUUCAAUUUGGUAUCAUCAGAUUUGAAAUGAAAGAGUUUAAUAUGUUGAAACAAAUUUUUAAGCAAACUGUGCUAUGAAAUCUUUGACCCUUUUUGUAAAUGAAUUCAUGGAAGAUGCUUGAAUGCAAUUAGGUCCUCAAUUAUUGAGACUUGGGGAACAGUGUAGAAAACCAAACAAUGUGAUCCAGAAUCAUCUCUGAUAAGCAUUACGUAAAGAAUGCACAAAUUAUUUGCAAGGAAAGUGUAUUCUAUAAACUCAAGGACCAUGAGCGCAGUUGGGAUUCUUGAUGAUAAAUAGCUCAGGACAUGUAUGGUUCAUGUUAUCACUAAUUAGUCAAUAUCAGUGAUGAUUACUGAUAUGGUUUUAGUGAUGACAUUGCUCCAAACAUUUGUGACAAAAAACAAAGGCGUCACUAACUCUCUGUCUGUCAUUGACAAAAUAUUUCAUCAAUAAAUAUUGAUAUUCAUUGACGACUCUCAAAGUUGUCCCUGUACACUUCUAUCGAUGGACAUUCAGUGAUGACCUUGAAGUUGUCAGCAAAUUUCAUCACUGGCCAUUUUUCCCGUUCUGUCUGACAAGAAUUGAGUGACAGCUCAUUAGUGGCAACUUUUCUUUUUUGUGACAAAAAUUGAUUGUUAAAUGAUCAAUGUUUCGAAAUGCGUAUUUGGGGUGCGUCCCAAGGUGAGCCCAAGGGCGAGGCGUUUCCAAAUUGCCCUGGGCAGUCAAAUGGGGCAUUAGUGUCAUAGGGCGUUCGCUCCAAGGAUCAGGGCAAACGCCCAAGCGUUCUGGUGAUUUUUUUUUUAGGCGUAAAAAAUGUAUGUCUUUAAAAUUCAUUUUUGCCCUUUUUUAAACUCCAAAAGAACAUCUAAACUGGAUUUUCUCUUCACAUGCUUAAGGAAGUUGAGACCCUCAAGCUGAAUUUGCAAGUUCUGAAAACUUUUCUUAUGUUAGCUUACAAAUUUAAGUUGGCAAACAUGGAUGUUAAUUUGGAAUUUAAUGAUGCAAAAGAGGUGAAACUUCAAAACUUUGUGCUUCACAAUAAGGAUACUCUAAAGGAAUAGGAGAAGGACACUUGCUUUGAUAGUCAAACCUCACAAAUAUCAUUUGCUAGUGCCCUCAAAAAGAGUUUUCGCAACUGUAAUACACACACACACACAACAUACAUACAUAUAUAUAAUAAUAUUUUUGUUUUUUAUAUUUUUAAAAUAUUUAAAAAUAAAAAUUGUGGGCCUAUGUCCCACGCCAUGGGGCUUUUGCCCUAUUUGAACGAACAUAGAACAUCCUGCCUAAUGCUUUCACCUUUUAAAAUACCGCUAAUGACCAAUUUUGUUGUUGUGACAAGCUUGAUUUGUUCUAUCAAGAAUUCAUUGAUGAGUACCUGCAUCCAAAUAGGCCGAUGUCAAUGAUGCAGACAUUAUUGAUCACUUGCUUCAAUUACAGAAGAACAGAUCAACUCCAUUUGAUUUUACUAGCACUGCAAACGAAUCAAGUCUCGAGUCCGAGCUCGGUCAACUUCGAGUUCGAGUCGAACUCGAGUUUGAACUUGAACUCACAAAUAAUAAGCUCAUUAGUUCGCGAGCCGGCUCGGGUUCGAUUAUAUAUAUAUAUAUUUUUUUUUUUUUAUUGUAAUAGUAAAAUUACAUAUAUAUCCCUAAUAUUUAAUUAUUUGCUAAGAAAAAUUAUUAUUUUAUUCAUUUGUAAAAAUAAAAUAAUUAUUUUUUUAAUUUUUUUAAGGUUGAACUUGACAUUUUAGCUUGUCGAACUCGAGUUAAUUUGAGUUCGAAUUUCAUAAAAUUAAGUUGAGGCUCGAGUUGAUUAGACUGAAACUCGACUUGACUCGACUCAUUCGCACUCCUAGAUUUGACUGUGGAUCACACUAAGGCCAUGCUCACGGUAAUUAACUAGCUCUUUAACAUACUAUUCCAAUACAGGGUGUGAUUUACAGGCUGUAUUUAGUUUUUUUCUCUACUUGAAAUUGGAAUUGUGUCUUAUGAAAAAUAAUGCUACUUAACAUGAAUAAGAUAAAAUUUAAUUCUAAUAAAAAGCCAGCACAGCCUUAUUUAUUUGUUUUUCUAUUCACAUCCUUAAGUUAACUAGUAAUAGGUCACGUGCUUUGCACGUGAUUAUAAUAUCAUAAAAUAUAAUAUUUCGUAUAUAUUAAAAUUUAUUUGUGAAAAUUUUUAAAAAAAUUUUAAUAUUUGCAUAUUUUCCUAUUUUCUAUUUUAUUUUUGUUUUUAUUUUUUUUAAUAAGUAGGAGGUCUUGGGUCUAGGACCCUCUACUUAUAAUCCCUUCCAUCUUACCAUCCAACCCAACUCUCUCCCUAUUUUCUUUUUUAAUAAAAUUUUCAUCUUCUUUAUUUAAUUGUCCUUAAAACCAUUAUUUUAAAAGGAAAAAAGGUUCACUAAAUGUUGUAUCAAUUCAUAUAAAAUGUCUAGAGAAUUUUUAACAAAUGAGGGUACAUUCGAUCUCUUUCAAUUUAUAAUAACGGUUUUAAGGAAAAUUAAUUAAAGAAGAUGAAAAAUUAACAUUUAAGAAAAUAAAGAUUUGACCAAAUAUGAAAUGAUUUGACAAAGGUAUCAAUAUUUUGAAUGGUAUAUGUACACUAUUGAUAAUAAUAAUUAUUUCUUUUGGUUUUUCUCUUUUCCAAGACAAAUAAAUUAUGAUAAGACAACUAAUUUUUUUUUAUUUUUAACCAGAUAUAUGAACAAUUUUUUAUUUUUUGUUUGGAGUUAGGAUGACCUGAAUUUGCAUGCUAACCAAACGUUAAUUGUUUGCCAACCAUUGGGGUUGACCCAAAGAUUAGAAAAGACUUCUUAGAGUUCUCUCUAAUGUUAGGUUCAAGAUUCAAAUCUUAUACCUAACAAUUAGGGAUGAAAAGAGCGUAAGGAGGGAUGGAAAGGUAAAAAUGAAAUAAAAUAAAAUAAAAAUAAUUGUUCACAAAAAUAUUAGUUGCAUGCAUUAUGAUUAUUAUUUUUCAUGUUACAUAAGUUGAAUUUGUCAAUUGCUUGAUGAAAUUCGUCAAUAUGAAAUCAUAUGCACUAUUUUUUUGAAAAUUGAAGAGAUAUAUAUUCUUUGAAGUUGAACUCUUUGUAUUAUUUUGUGUACUAUUUUUGUUAAUAAUGGAGUGUAAAUGAUCCACCACAUAUCAAUUUUUUCUGUCUAAUUGUUCAUUUCUUGAGAAUUAAAAUAUUAUUGGUCGAGAUAAUUGAGUUUUUCUUUUUUUUCUUUUCUUUUCUUUUAUUUUUGAAUUUUUUUGGACAGAAUCCAACAUAAAGUACAAAUGACAAAGAUUAUAUUAUUGUAAGAACACCUUGUUUUGGUAUCAAUAGUAAUAUUUUUGAAGAUUUGAAAAUUUAAUUAGGUUGUGGCUGAUCAAGAAUUUUUAAUGGAAAUGAAAAGGUGAAAACAGAAUGCAAAGAGACACAUUAUUUUUUUUUUUUAAUUUGUAGUCUUUUAUUGAUGAGAAUAAAUGUUACGCACAGAGAAACAUCAUUUUUAAGUACAGGAUUGAACUAUAAAGACAAGAAAUGAACCAGAAAUGUUUAGUGCUGAGUUGAAAAGCAAAAUAGCUCAAAUUCUCCUUUAUCCUCAGCCCUUCAUACGCUUAAUUUUUCGAAUUGAAGGCAUCCCUAAUCUGUUAAGGCGAAUUGCUCCACGAGCCAUAGUUGGGAACAAGUGGAAGGAGUCGUAUAACUUGAGUUGAUGCUCUGGAUGAGAGACGCCCACAUUGGACAAUGCAUCAGCGACCGUGUUAGCUUCUCUAUAACAAUGUGAAAAACGAUCAGGAUCUUCCACGAACUGCCAAAUCUGCCUAAUCUCUCGUCGAAUCUUCCAAGGGCAGUGAAUACAUUUCUGGAGAAUUCCAAUUAAUACCAAAGAAUCUGAUUGAAUAUAGAGAUUCUCAAAACCCCUAUGUAUGCAUGUUUGAAUGCCAAUAAGAAGAGCCCGGGCCUUUGCACUUAGACAUGUAGUUUCUCCAAGAUAUGCAGAAAAACCAAUCAAAGGAAUGCCAUGUGAAUCCCGAAGAACCCCACCUCCUCCACCCAAUCCUGGAUUACCCUUAGAAUAGCCAUCGGUAUUUAGUGUAAACCGACCAGUUUCCUUUGGUUCCCAACGAACAAGUUUGUACGUGACAUAAGUGUGAGAUGAAUACGGCCAAUCAUACAAAUGAUAGAAUGAAUGAGCCAUGAAAACUUGUUUGAAAUAAAUUUCCACAAUGGUCUGGAUUUCCAAGGAAAUGGCAAGACAAAUGGCGGGUGAUCUCAUAUGGACAUCCUCAAAUAAUGCUUUAUUUCUUGCUUUCCAAAUUUGCCAACAUACUAUACUGGGAAGAAUGCGUCCAAUGAAAUGCUGUAUCUCUGAAUCAUAUGAGUGCAACCACCAACCCACUAUACAGGAGCGUAAAGAAGAGCCUGGAAAAGUCAAUCCACAUGAAGCUCCAAAAUAAUUCCAAACUGUUGAAGCUAUAUGGCCUUUGGAAAAUAAAUGUUCAAUUGACUCCUCAGAUGCGGAAUCGCAGCAGAAACACUUUGAUGGUAAAUGUAAACCAAGUUUACAUAACCUAUCCGAUAAAGGCAGCCUCUCCAGCAACAAUCUUAACAUGAAGAAUGAAAUUUUGAGGGGGAUCUGAGGAUGCCAAAUGCUAUCAAAAACCAUAGACUUGUUUCGUACUUGCCUAAUCUCCCGAAAUGCCGAAGCUAGAGAGAAGUUUCCAGAUGUUGUGGACAUCCAAAUGAUUUCAGCUUCACCCCAGUCUUCCGGGACUGGAUGCUCUAAAAUAGAGGGGACCAGAUCCGUCGGCAAUGUCUGAUAUAAUCUAAUCACAUCCCAGUGUCCAUUGAUGAUAAAAUCACCAAACUACAAAUUAGAGACAACCGUCGUACGGAGAAACAAGGCACCCCCUCCAACCAAUUGUCAUACCAAAAAUGACAAGCUCCAUUUUUUAUAUCCGAUAGCAUAGAUAGCUCCACUUGUCGACUUACAUUGACCAUCCUUCUCCAGAUUGCGAAGUCCAUUGACCUGAUUUCCACCUGACAAGGAUGUAGUAGUCUACAAUACUUAGCUUUCAUGAACGAAGCCCACAACGAGCAUCCCUUUCUGAAAUUCCACCAAAGCUUGAAUGAGAAUGCUGUGUAGAUGUCCUGUAACCUCCGGAAACCAACUCCUCCCUCAUCUACCGGAUAGCACAUCUGAGACCACCGUAUCCAGUGAAAUUUUGACUCCUCGGAGGAUGACCCCCAUAGGAAGGUCGAGAAAGCUUUUUCUAUAGUUCUAAAUACCUUACCCGGGAUAGCCGCUGCUGACAACAGAUGUACUGGCAUCGUUGCCAACACAUGUUUGAUUAGAACUAUUUUACCUCCAAGAGAAAGCAUCCUUGAUUUCCAUGACCUUAUUCUCCGCAAAGAGACACAUUAGUUUGGAGUGUUAUAUUUUGUUUAUUAUCUUCAAAAUUCAACUUUAAUUAAGGUUACAAUCUUUUUUCAUAACUACAAUAGUUAUUGCUAUUGAUAAGUGCAUAUUUUACAUGUUUUUAAGUGUGUUUUAUUAGUUAGUUUUAGUGUGUUUUAACUACUUUUAUUUAGUUUUAGUGUGUUUUAACUACUUUUAUAGCUAAUUAAUUAGGAUUCUAGUGAAAAUAUGCAUUUUGUAGUUUAAGUAGUAAAAAUUGCAUUUCUAUGGAUUUCUAUGGUGAAAAUUUCAUGUUUUUUUAUAGGUUUAAUGAUUCAAUCAUCAAUUGGAGUGAUUUGAGAAGAUAAUUGGAUGAUUGAUGAUGGUUUGAAAUGAUAAAAAGAGAAUAUGAAGUGCAAAAGGGAAAUGCAAUCAAGAAUAAAAGGAAUCAAGUUUCACAGUUUUGACCACCUUGUGGUAUUUCGACAAUAUCUUGAGCUACAAGCAUCGGAUUGAGGUGAUUCGUGAACCAUGUGAAGCUUAGAGAUAUAUCUACAUUUGGUAUGGAGAUAUCGAAAUCCAGUUCAGUCAUUUUCCUUGUUAGAAGAAUCGAAAUACAGAAGUGCAUUUUCAUGGCCGAAAGCUGAAACAGAGUUCUGACCAAUCGAGGGUAUUUUGGUCAUUUAUUAGUCCACAAAACUCCAAAUUAGAUGAUUCUUUACGCAUUGGAAAGCUAAUUCAAAGGGCUACAACUUUCAUAUUUUGCACAAGAGUUCAACCUCCAUCAUCAAGAAAAAAUUAGUGAAAGUUGGGAAAAAUAGAGCACAUAAAUCCGAGUUUCGAUAUGUACUAAACCUAACCUCAGAUAAACUUCUGUAAAUCAGAGGCUACAUCUGAGAGGAGGAUCCGAGCUCGGACCCCAUGUUAUAGGCCUUAGAUCCUAAUGUGCAGUAAAGAUAAAAAUGAAAAAAAAUGAGAUCAGAGGGCUAUUUUAAGUGAUUCAACCUCGGAUCUUGCCCUUGGCUCUGCAACUUGUACUCUGUUCAUACAUGCUUUUUGGCCAAUUUAUCUGCAAGAAAUUCGACUGGAACUGACCAAGCAAGUAUAUAGAAUUCAAGAAGUAUCUUUUGGUGAUUCCAAGGAGCAAUUUACAUCAACUUUAACAACUCAUCUUGAAUUUGAAUUCCUCUAUAAAUAGAGGCCUCGAAGGACAUUUUCACAACUUUGGAAUGCUAGAGAAACUCACCAAAAAUGUAGUCUUCACUAGAGUUUCCUUAGUUCAUUAGUUAGGUUAGUAUAGUAUAGAAUAGUUUAGGAAGUUAUGUGUGUUAUCCACUCUUGUAUAUUGGCUAGAUUAGGAUGAAGAUGGAGGUGAAGAAGAAGGAGAUAAAGCUCAUGUGACAAGGGUUAUCUCUUCUCCAACUCUUUAUCUUUUGUAUUGGAUUCUUAAGUAUGGUUAAUAUGCAAGUUUUGGAUUUGUGUUUCAAUAUGAUUUUCUAAAGUUUAUGCCUAGAGUUAUGGAUGAACUUGCUAUAUCUUAUUAGUGAUGUUUACUUGGUUAUUUGAUGAUAGCAAGUUAUUUAUCACUUUUGUUUAUCUAAUCAUGAUUAACUGCCCAUUAAUUAUGAUAAUCUUAAGGUGUUAUGUUUGUAAUGAAAAUUGAAAUUUAGCACUAGUUCAAGGAAGUGAUAAACCUAGGGACUACACUCACGAAAGUAGAGAUGCACCUUUGUGGCUUUGGUGACUUGUUUCAUGUAAUUUCUUAGAAGGAAUGAGCUUGUAGUUAGUUUCAUAACCACGAAAGUAGGUAUGAAUUAACUAUAGGUACAGUUGGUACACCGGCGAAAGCGGUAUCAUGUACAUUAGGAAAUUAUGCCAUAACUAGUCAAGAUAAUAGCAUUCGAGUAACCGGUAAUGUCAUUUGCAAGAGUAGUUAGGAAUUUCAUAUAUCUAAGAGCUUUUUAUUGCUAUUUUUAUUACUUUUAUUUGAUUUUUAUAGUGUAGAUUUAAUUUCUUGCACUUAUGAUAGUCUAAAUAAUAAAAGAGUUCGAAAAUCAUAGGUAAUUGACAAUCUUCCCUAUGGGAUCGAUGCCUAAUAACCCUAUGUUCAAUAAACAAUUUGUAUACUUGCGAAAAAUCACGUGUGGGGUAUUUAGGAAUUAUAAAUAUAAAACUUCAUUGUGAAAUAAGUUAAUUGAUAUAUGUAUACCCCGCGCUCAUCAAGUUUUUGGUGCUGUUGCCGGAGAAGAUUUGCUCAAUAUCUGUACUAAGAAUAAUUUUAUUAAUUUAGACAUUUUUUCUUGCUUUUCUUGUUUUUGUUUUAUUAAGUGUCUUAAUUGUUAUGUUUAGUGUCUUAUUGAGUCUUUAUUUGUAUGUCUUUAUAUGUGUCGAGUUAUCUAUUUUUCUUGAUUAAACUUGUUUUUGAGUUACCUUGAAAGCAUGUUUAGGGGUUCAAGGAAAGUAGAAUACAUGGGCGCACAAUGCUUGAGAAAAUGGAAGAUCGGUUAUGGAUGAUCAUCAAGUGCAAAGUUCGUUGAAUAGAGGUAAUCAAGAAAUUAUCAAAGGUAUGUCAUUCGAAGAUGGUUUGAGGUGCUUAAAAACUAAAUGUGAUGUUAUAACGUUAAAAGUUCAAUUGAACACUAUUACGAAUAUGCUUGAACAAAAGAGGAAUGCUAAUGCUGUCAAUUCUUAUCAUGUAAUUUGUGACUUGUGUGGAGGUUAUCAUGAUACUCAUACAUGUAUCCAAGCAUAAACUGUGGAUUAUUAUGAUGAAUUUGGGCAUUAUAAUUCUUGUUUUGAUCAAUGUAACCCUAAUUGAGAUAGUUCUUAUGCUUACGGUUGGGAUAAUCAAUGUGUAUAUAGUGAUUUUUCAUGUCUUCAUGAUUACCAAUCUGAAUGUGUCCAAUAUGAAUCAAAACCAUCUUGAGAAUUGGCAAUAGAAAGAUUAGCUAAUGCAUAUUUACCUUGGGAAUUAGAAGUGAACCAUUAGCUAAUAAUCCUAAUGCAUCUUGAGAGUUAGUUAUAGAAAAAUUUUCUAAUCAAUUUGAUUUAAUUAUAGAAAAGCUAGCUAAUGCGACCUCCGAUCGUUUUGCUAGAAUUGAGGAAAGAUUAGAUGAAUUAUCUUCUCACUUUGGUAGAAUACAAGAGCAAUUGCAUAAGUUGUGUGAAGUUAUUUUUUCUAACGAUAUGCACUAUGACCCUAUCAUGAAUGGUGAUUAUGUUACAAGUGAAAGUGGAUUACAUUUUGAUGAAAAUGAUGAAUCUCAAUUGUGUUUCAAUGAGAAAAUGUCCAUUUCAGAUGAUAAUACCUUCAGAGCUAAUCUUGAACCUCAAGAAGUGAGCCUUAACAACUCAUUUUUAACCUCUCUUGAGGAAUGUAUUGUGAAUAUAGGUUUUAAAGGUAUUAUUGCCCAAGACAGACAUACAAACAUUCCUUUGGUGAGUGUUCAAGUGAUAUACGUUCAAGGUAAUAUCUAUGAAAUACUUGAGAUAAGUAAGUCACUUCCACAUCUCAUAUCACUAGAACACAUGCCUUUUGUUGUUAAGCCACCUUUUAAUGAUCCACCAUGACCUAUAAUGGUAGAUUAUUCGUUAACAAAACCUCCUUGAAAAGUGAGGUAAAAUAGUCAAGCUAAUGACUAUAAAGAAUCGCUUGUUGGGAGGCAACCCAACGAUUCUAGUUUUUUUAGUAGGUUUUAGUUAUUUGAUUAGUAUUUUUGUAUGUUUUGUAGGUAACAAUGACAAGAAGUCAUGCAAAUUAUUUCAAGUACAAAAGAGCUUAUAAGAAGUGGAGACUGCCGUGAAAAAGGGAAGCUUAACCUUUAUUUUUGAGUUAACAAUGUUUAAUUUCAUGAUAUGAGAUUAAGUUAGUCAUUUGUAUGAAGUUGAAGUGCAUUUAAGUGAUUAAGUAUGUUCAUGAUCUAUUUGCACUAUUUUGAACCAUUUGAACACCAUCAUAUGCAUUGGAAGUGUCGAGGGGACUAUUUGAUCCAAGAACAUGAACCCUAAAUUUGCAUUCUACAUGUUUCUUAUUUGUUUUGAGGUGUUGAGAUUCAUGUUUAAGUCACUUUUCAUGUGCGUAAAGUGCUGAAUUGUUGAACAUUUCGUUGUAGAGCACAAAUUGAAGAUUGUGUUUUGAAUUGGGGUCAAAUUGAAAAUUGUAGAAAAUUCUGCAAUAAGUGCAGAUUCAAUGGAUCCGAGACCUGGGAUCUACUUCUGCAAUCAGAGAACAAAUUUGAUUUUUUUUAUCUGAGUUCAAUCAUCAUGAUCCGACCUCGGAUCCUUUCAAAAAUAAUUCAAAAACGAAAGCUCGGUUCACUUUUCCUUAUUCUUCCCUCUCUUCCUCCUUCAACUCCACACACACACGCAUACCUCAAACACACACUACUCACUAAAUUCCUCUUUUCACCAUCAAAUCUUCAAACUAACUUCACCAAAACACUCCUCUUACCUUCUAGAGUGGUUUUCAUGGUUUAAUUCUUUCAAAAACAUCUCCAAAUUUGAAUUUAAGAUUCAAGUAGGUAGGGUUUCAUCUUCUCAUAUUUUGCAAUUGUGCCCAAAUUGGAGUGAGUUUCUUGAGGGUUUUCACAUCAUUUUCAUCUCUAAUCGUCAACAAACCAUUUUGAGGUAACAAAUCUUCACCUAACUGUAGACACCAAAUUUUUGUCAAUUUUCAAUGUUUUCUUGAAUUUUUUUUCUAUUUAAUGAAUUAUUUAUUUUCUUGCAUUUUAAUGUGCAUUUUUCUCAUUUUUUGCGGGUUUGUUUAAAAAAAAAGGGGAAGAAAGAAAAAACAAAACACAAAAAAAAACAACAAAAACUAAAAAAAAAGGAGGAAAAUUAAGAAAAUAAAAAAAAUCAUUCUAAUCAUUUUUUUUCCACCAAAAUACAUUUAACCCAUUUCACACUCAAUGGCCAUGGACUUGUCUUUUCAUUAGUUGAGAAAUCAUCAUUUUGGAAAAUUCAACACACAAGCUCCAUUUUUGGCUACAAGUCCCUCUCGGCUCUCUCUUGAAAAAAAAGGAGAAAAAAAAACACACAACUAUAAAGGGGAGGCUCUCGGCUCUCUCUCUCUGGUCUCGACCAAAAAGAAGGAGAGAAGCCACAAAAGUAAAUUUUUCCCUCCCUCUCUCGGCGGACUCAAAACGGACAGAAAAAAAAAAGAAGGGGGGACACUCUCUCGGCCUUUUCUUUUGCUCUGAACAAAACCAAGACUCCAAUUUUUUUUCCCUCUCAAUACAUCUCUCGGACUUCCUCUCUCCCAAUAUUUCCACAACACCCUUGCAGACAACAAAAGGGAGGCAGCGACUGGUUGGGCUAUUGGAGCUUGGCAAUCUCAUCAAAAACUUUGGCCAAGGACCAAGGUCUUCAUUGAGGUAUUUCUUGUCCUUUUUUCCAGCCUUUCUUUUUUUUUUAUUUAACUAGAUUAAAUGUAUGUGUGAUUGUUUGUGUGUUGUUUUAUUUUGCUGGUUUUGUUGUUAUUGUAUCGGUGAAAUUUUGGGAAGAUCAUAAACCAGAUUUAGGAAAAGGAAAUGUUUCUUGUGAAUGCAUGUUAAUUGUUUGAAAAAAGGGAAAAUCGUCCAAAACAUCCCUCACAUUUUGUAAAAUGACUUUUUUCGUCCCUCACUUUUAAAAAUGUAAUUUUAUGUCCCUUACAUAUUCACAUCGGUCAAAUUUAAUCCCUAACUAGGUUCCGAUCAUUUUUUGGCCGGAAUCCAUCACGUGCCUUGCACGUGAUCAUUUUUUAAAGGUAAAUUUGUCAAAUUAUAUUUUACAUAAUCUAAUCUAUAGUCCUCCACAUUUUAUAAAAUAAAUUUUUUCGUCCCUCACAUUUUAUAAAAUGAUUUUUUCAUCCUUCACAUUUCACAAAAAGAAUUUCUCCAUCCCUCACAUUUCAAAAAAUGAAUAUUUCCAUCCCUCACUAAUUAUGUAUGUGAGGGAAACCCUAAAAAAAAUGUGUGUGAAUACAUUUUGUUUAACACACAAGUAUAUGUCUAUUUGAUUUUGCUUAAUAAUCCGAAUAGCAUAAAUAUAUGUAUGUGUCUAUUUAAUUUCAAUUAACAAUACGAAUACCUUAUAUUAUACGUGAUCAUUUGAUUUCAUCUGGUAUUAGCUAGUAAAUAAUCUUGCAUUCAUUGUCAAGUUGGCCAAUAAAGCUAUUUUCAGUCAAAAUACAAUAAAAAUAUGCAAAUUAAGGUUCUAUUGAUAAAUAUUAGUCAUAAUCAUACAAAAAAGAAGAUAGCCCACAAGUUGGACCCAAUUACAUACAUGUGUUUAUACUACUAUUAUUAAACAAAAUCAAAUAAACAUGUUUAUGUGUUUAAACAAAAGUAUUCACACACAUAAUAAGUGAGAAAUGAGAAAUUCAUUUUGUGAAAUGUGAGGGAUGGAGAAAUUCAUUUUGUGAAAUGUGAGGGAUGAAAAAAAUCAUUUGAUAAAAUGUGAGGAACGAAAAAUUUUAUUUUAUAAAAUGUGGAGGAUUAUAGAUGAGAUUAUGUAAAAUAUAAUUUGACAAAUUUACCCUUAAAAAAUGAUCAUGUGCCUUGCACAUGAUGGAUUCUGGCCAAAAAUGAUCGGAAACCUAGUUAGGGACUAAAUUUGUCCGAUGUAAAUAUGUAAGGGAUAUAAAAUUACACUUUUAAAAGUGAGGGACGAAAAAGUUAUUUUACAAAAUGUAAGGGACGUUUUGGACAAUUUUCCCUUGAAAAAAUGCCAAAUGAAAAAAAAACUGAAUUUUGGGACUGUUUUGCCUUAAUGUAAUCUUUUGUUGUUGUUUUCUUGUUAGCUAAGAUUAUAGUUGUAAAUGUGGAGAUUAUAAGUGUAGACACACAAAUUUUUGAUUUUUUAACUUUAUUGUUUAAUAGAUUUAUUUGUUUCAAUUCUAGGGUUUUUAUUUUUAUUUUAUUUUGUUCUAGUUAUAUUUAUAUUUAUAUUAUUUAUUUUUUUUUAAAUACUAAAUUUCAAAAAAAAGAAAAAAAGAGAGAAAAAAAAGUAAAUGACAAGUAGAGGGGGCAUGCAUGGGACAAGUGUCCCUCUUGUAUUUUGACAACAAGGCAUUUAAGGGGGUUAGGUGUUAAGAUUUUUGGUGACGGGAGAAAAAAAAGAAAACUGGAGGGAGCCGAUAGUAAGAGGGGCUUGGGGAGCAAAAACAGGAAAAGGGCGAAAAAGCGAGAGGGUUUUAGGGCUGGAAGAAAGGAGGAGAUUAACGGCUGGGGGACUGGAAAAGGGGACGGCUGAGAGAAAUUAAAAAGGAGGGGAGAUUGGUGAAGAAAAGACAGAGGGUAAGGAAAAGAAACAGAAGAGGGGCGGCAGACAGAUAGAGCUAAAAAAACUGACUAAGGGAAGGCUAAAGGAAGAGACAGAGGGGCUUGGUGGAAGAAAAAGAAGAACAGGGGCGGAGCAGAGAGCUAACGCGAGAGAGAAAAACAACAACGGAGGAAAAAGGCAGAGGAAAAAGGAAAAAGCAGGGGUGGUGGGCAAGGAAAAACUAUCGAACAAAAAGAGAAAAAGAAGGAAAGGAGGGCUUCGGAGACUAUGGAAAGAGAGAAAGCUAAAGGAAGGAAGAAAGAGGGCUUCGGCUACGGGAAGGGUUGAACGGAUAUGGAAAAAACCUAAAAAUGGGGAGGAAAUUUCAGUUUGAACGAUCGAAAAGGAGAGAAAUUUCCAAUCACCACCGCCGCAAUCCAAGCUCUGCCACGGCAUCUCCACCUCGUGCGCCACUUAGCUGACUGACGCACCUCCCAUUCCCGCGCGGCCCUUCUCCGCCCCAGAUCUCCUCUCUUCCUCACGCCGCCCGCCCAAGCCACCAUCAGUCCGCAUUCGCUGCUGUUGCUGUCUGCCAUCGUCACCACCAUACACAACCUCCUUGGCCGCUGCCGCUCUCUGCAAAUCUAGAUGAAAGCUCUCAAACGAAGUCAGACUUCGUCAUCUUCCAAUUCCAGAAUGAAAGAGUCAAGAAGAAAGGGACGCCAUUCUGGAUACGGUAAGCCACCAUCAUCCUUCAAAUUUCAGUUUUAUACAAGCUUUCGAAGCCUAUUUUAUUUUUCACGUUGUGGCUUGUAGCCAUUUCUCUGUUUGAGUUAUUCACUAAUUGGAAGUAUGUAUGCUUUGAAUGUCGAUAGGACUGGAGUUUCUUGUGUUUUGACAUAAUUUUGGGGCUGAAUAUAGCUUUAAUUGAGUAGAAAAUUAGUAAAAACUCUAAUGCCCUCAACCUGUUCGACGAAAUGCUUGGCUGAAAAUUUCUCAUUGAAAGAACAUUUGGUUGCAUUUUUUUUCGUGUGAAAGAGCCAGCUAGUUCAGCAGGUUCAUUUCUUUGCGCCUGAAAAUUUUUGAUGUGUUGAUAUCUUGCACCUUUUUCUGUUUUUCCGUUCCCUUAUGCUUCCCAUCGUAUGAAUUCGAAUUAAUGAUAGGAAAGGGAGUUUUGGUUUCUCGUUGUCUAUUACCAAAUUCUGGUAUGGCUUUGAUUGCAAAGAAAGUUGCGAUGGCAACUGAUGUUGAAUCAAUUCGGUGGAGAAGAUGAUCACUUGUCCAAAAUUGCAAUUUCAGUCCCUUUAUUCUCUUUGGCUUUGUGGUUUAAUCCAGAGUUGAGAACUUCCUAAUUUGAUUCCCAGAUUUCUAUAAUUUUUUUCGAUUGGGUCCUUAUUUGCAUUGCAUUGGAACCCCUCAAAUCCCCUCUUGUUCUGAUAUGACCCGGAAGAUUGGGAGGAGUGAACUUGUUUCUCCCUUUUAGAUUUUAAUCAUCUUUUAAUCUGCUUAAGUAGUCUUUCAGCUAGAUUAAUUCUUGUUUUUAGAUCAUAAUUGUGGCUUGAUUAUUUUAGUUGAUUUGCUAAUCUGGUUGGGUUUAGUUUUGAUUUAGGUUGUGGGCAAUAAUAUUUGUUUGGAUUCGUAAAAGUGGAUUUAAUUUGUUUUGUUUGGGUUUCUGGUUUGGGCUUAGGAGGUAAAGCCCACUCUUUUGGUUGGGUUUGUUUUAUGGGUUAAUUCCACUUUGUCCUCCCAAACUUUAGGCGAUUAUCCACUUAAGUCCCUAAACUUCAAAAUGGGAUACUUAAAUUCCAAAACUUAUAAAUACCUCCCACUUAAGUUCCUGAACUUAUAAAAUGGAACACUUAAAUCCCUAAAUCCUUAUAAAAUGGGACACUUCGACCACCAACAGCAUUCAGGAUUUGUUAACAAUUUUCCUUAAGUGGGAGGUAUUUAUAAGUUUAGGGAUUUAAGUGUCCCAUUUUGAAGUUUAGAGACUUAAGUGGGUAAUCGUCCAAAGUUUGGGGGACAAAGUGGAAUUAACCCUUGUUUUAUUGACUAGGAGAUUCGCGCGGUGUGAAAUUAAUAGGUAGUAUGCCCAGUGUAAAGCCCAUUAUAAUAGUUUUUUUAAAAACAAAAUAGAUAAUCCAUAAUUAGGAGUAAUGACUAAAAUAAGUUAUAAAACUAUAUUGGCCAAAUAUGUUGAAUCAAGGCCAACUAUAUUAAUCAAGAAUACAGUUAAAAAAAAACUUCUAUAAAUUAUUACAAGUUGUAUGCAUGAUUGGAUACUAAGUGUUUACUAACUAUGGCUCAAGCUUGCAUUUCUCAAUCUCUUUACAAUGCCGAAUAUCGUUUAAGAGUUUAUUUGUCCUCCUCUUCCCAGAGCUUAUUCGAAUAAUCUCCUACUGCCAUGUUUUUAUCCUGCACAAGAGGUAAUGCAAUUUUAUGUUUAAGCCAUAUGAAUUUUAUGUAUCAUUAAAGAUAUAAUCUAGACAGAGUCAUAAAUGAACUACUCUGAUGGAACUAAAAGGAAUAUAAUAUUACAGUAUAAAUUGAGUUAGAAUUGGCCCAGCAAGAAGCAAAUAAAAACUACUUUCUCCGCUAUAAAAUAUGCAAUUUGCUGGUAGCUAUGCUUGAUAUGCACAUGCAAUGGUGAUGACGUUCUUUAUUGCCAUGGCGUUGUAUGUGUCAAAAUCAACUGUAAAUUAAGCUCUUGUAUGCUGAAACCAAAACUUUACACAUUAGACAAAAUUAAGAAUGACACCAUGUAAAAAUAGGAACGAAAUAUGUGAUAAGUUUUGAAGCCAAAAAUAUUGAAAUUUGAGAAAUAAAAAUGAAAGAACUAACAUUUCCAUGGGAAACAAAUAUGAAAAAGAAAUUAUUGAUUAAGUAAAGAGGCCAAUCGAUCUCACAAUUAUUGAUCACUAUACCAGGGAAAGAUAAAUGAUAGCAAAUAGUAAAAUAGUUCAUAUCCACACUGUUUGUGGUUGCAAAACCAUACCUUGCUUCUUGAUAAGAAUUCAUGAGAAAAGUCUUGUAGUAGCCAGCCAACUCAAGCAGUUCAUCAACUUUCUCACUUUUCUUCCCAAAAUUUCAAAAGCAAAUUCAGUAAGCACUAUAUGAUUGAUAGCAACAAGUGAUUAUUCAAAAAACAACGAGUGAAGGAAAUGCAAAGGGAUUUAGAAAUUUGAGGGAUGAAAGCAAAUGAUCCUAAGAGGGUUCAGCACAUGCAGUCCUCAACCAAGAGACGUUGAAUUUAGGCGAAAACUUGCUAUUCAUCAAGAAUGACAGUAAUACCUAUACAUUAUUUGGAAACAAGCGCAAUCAAGUCAUCCAUGUGGUUUCCAUCAUUUGAUAGAAAGGCAAUGAGCGGACAGAAUGACUUGGAAUUCAAGAAAAAAUCAAGCUAACAAGAAUACUUAAAACCAAGAAAAAAUGUAAGCCACCGACCAACUUGAUAUGAACUAUUUAAACUAUCAAUGAAAUAGCAAGUUGAAGUUCCCAUGGAUUACAUCAUCUUCAUUAAGAAAAGGCAUAAGAUCAUUACAUGCAAUCUUGGACCAAUCAGUAAAGUCAAGAUCAACUGAAAGCUUUUAAUGCAGAAAUUAUUAAUACAAUUCCAUAAGGCUUCCACAAAUAUGCCUUUUUGAAAUAGAAACAGGGUUGCAAUGUAACAAUUCUUAGAUCUCGAUUAAAUUCGGAAUUUGUAUUAUAGGUCCAAUUAAAAACAAAAGCAAAAAUUUUUUUGGUCGAAUAAAUUGAGGAAUUUGUAUCAGUUAAGUUUCUUUAGAAAAAGUAACAAGUAACCGAGGAUAGCAUAAGGUAAAUAAGUACCUAUUUAACUCAAAUUCUGAACUACAUCAAUUCAAAAGAAAACCAUGACUUGCAUUCCGAAUCCAAAGCUAGUCCGAGGGUCUUGUAAAGGGUUUGACUUGGCAUCUGGACUGUUAUAUCCUUCAAUUUUAGUUUGUAAAGAACCACAUUGAUCAUCUUCCAGUAGCUCAAAGACAAUAGUGCCAGGCUAAUUGUGAUAUUUCCAUCACCACAUACCUCGACUAAUUUUUUCACCAUAAGGUGUCAGUUUAGAUUCUUUAUCCACUUCUUCACCUUGAAAUCCAUAAACAGCCUCCAAUGACUUACCCAAAAUCCAUCAAUAGUUGUGCAAAGAAUAAACUGCUAAAUAAAUUUGAAAAAAAAAAAAGAAAGCAAAGAGAGAACAAAAACACUGAAACAAUAACUCCUGCACAUACCUUGAAGGCUGAAAUAAGAAAAGUAGCCUCCUUAUUUCGUUCUUCCUUCAUCUAACAAAAAUUUAGUGUAAACAAGCGUCCGUCAAAUGAAGAAUAUAAUUAAAACAACCUCAUGGUAAUAACAUGAGAAUGAUUCAGAGAAAAUUAUUGAACUUAUUCUCCAUAUUCUUCAACAUUAUUAACAGUUGUAAAUGAAAUAUACAACCCACCAUUUUUUCCUUGCUUUUUUUUACAUUAAAAUAAAAGUCUAUAGUUACAUGAAGCAAGAUGAUAUGUAGAUUAAUAUCACAAGUUUUCCUAUCCUUUCUGAGUAAGACCCUUUUGAUUUCACAGCCCUUUCAAGAAUUCAAUAUUUUCAUUUAAUGGUUCACAAACCUUACAUGGUUUGAAAUUUAACUACUUCAACCAUUAACAGCCUAGAAUUUAACCCUAAGCAUUGAAUAAAUUAUAUAGAUAGCAUGCUUAGCAAAGCAAACAUGACAUUCUAGUCGUUAAUCAAACAAUUUUGAUCCAAAUCCAAGAAAAAAACCCCAAGAUGGAAUUCCACUCACCUAGACUAUAUGUCCAAAAAGCGCAUUAGCUGGCUGCAAAAAGAAAAAAAAUGACAAAAUCAUUACCAACUAACUAAGAGAGUUUAACAGAAACAGUCAAUCCACACCCUCUUACUUUGAAUUUUUUACUUAUAAAGAGUUAUUGGCAAUAUCAACUGGAAAACAAAAAUUUCUAUGAACAUGAAAAAAAGAAAGAAAUUAAACCAUUUCAUCUAAGGAAAUAAUCACAAGUUUCAAUGCAAAAAAGUGAAAGCAUAAAAUAUUGGAUCUUAAGUAAGGAUAAUUACUGAAUGUAGUUGCUUAAAAAGACUGACAACCUCUUAAUCAUGACUUACACUGGAAUUUUAGGAAAUACUUCAAUAAGAGGUAGAUGUCCUCUCCAUAGUCCAUUUCUUGAACAUCUAUCAAAGAGGAGUAAAGAUAGGAGAAGAUUACAGUUGACUUCGGGUAAAACGAAAGAAAAAAAAAUAGAAAAACAGAGAUCCUAAAAGUAUUUACUUGAGCAAAGAAUUCCAAUCAUUCAUACUUGGUAUCAAAUCCCUAUUCCUCAACCCGUAGCAAACAUAUAAAACUUAUUAGAGAAUAAAAUAAAAUUUAAUCAAGAGAAAAAAGUAUACAUAGAACAAGAGUGGAGAAGCCAGCAGUUUUCAGAGAGAAAGAAAGGAAGAUAAGAACAGAAGGACUUUUCAAAUAGAAACUUUGAGUUGGAGAGGAUUGAGAUAUGGAAAAUUAUUUGAUGGGAAUUGAUUAGUCUUGUAGCAUUGAGCCAAACUCCUCUAUUGCAGAUACAGGAAUUUGAGGGAAGGCCUCUGGUUUUGUAACUCCCAGUACUUUAACUCGCCAGCAAAGAGGAAAACAAUAACUUUUUGCACAGAAAGGAGAUGGGAGAAUUUUUUUUUACACAAAAGAUAGGAGAGAGAUGGCUCUGAGGUCUUUCUGUCAAUUUUUCUCAUAAAAAAUCUGAGGUAAGAUGACUCCAAAACACCUCUCCAAAAAUAGUUGGAUGUGUCAAAGAAGUGAUUGUAUUCUCAAAUUCUAGGAAGAAUUGUAUGCCAUUUAUCUCAAAGUAGAGGCAUCUUGUCCUCAUAUUUGAACAUAAAUGUGUUAUAUUUAGUACAAAUUAUCCAUCCAGUUAAAACAAAUUAGGAGUUCUACCAAAUUUUCUUCAAAAGUAACAUGCCCUUCCUUUAAGUUCUUUCCUGCAUAAAAAACUUCAACAUAAAUUGAAGGUCUGCAUCACAUUCACCUUUUUGAACCUAUCAAUUGGAAUACCGUCUUCAUGUUUGUCACAAAAUUUUCUGUUUAGGCUUAUCUCAAUUAAGUUCAUUUUUACAAGUAAAAAAACUAUCAUAUCAGGUUCAGUUUUCCAGACUUAAUCUUACUGAAAUGUUACAAAUCUAAGAGAAAAUAAUGUUUUGUAAAUAUAGACUUAAGUCAACCAAAACUGAUUUUCCUAAUAAGAAUUUCCAAGCUAUUAAACAUCGUAGUCCAUGAUUCAAGAGGCAAAACUACAAUUAUGUAGCAAUUUAAUUCUUUUUUUGAUCAAGGAAUAGAAAAUUUAAGGUGUUUUAUUAAAACAGUAACUUAUUAUUUCAAGCAGGUGCUUAGAAUAUAAUAUUUGAGAAUCCUCGUCUUGGACAAACCUUUAACCACCUACAAAUAGGAAAACCAUUUAGAUUGCCAUUGUAACAAAAAAAUAUAUUGCUCAAGAUACUCAGUUUAAUAUCCACUUAAGGUUCAUAAAACGAAUAUUCAAGAGGUUUUACCAAGAGACAAUUUAUGUACUAAAACAAAAAAUUUCAACACAAAGCAAUCAAAAGAAUAGCAUCACACGAUCUUUUGUAACUCAAAGUUUUGGCCAAUGACCAAUGUGACCUGGAAGUUCCUGAUUCUCAGAGAAGAAAUUUAUUCAUUCUUCAAAUGUUGAAAACCCAAUGAAGAAAAAGGAAUCGGAAGAACUGGAGCAAAUAGAAAGACAUUUUGAAGAUGAAGAAAUCUAUUUUAAACAAGUGAAUCUUUUUGUUACCAUAUGGAUUUCUUUUCUGAGCAAGAGAUCAACAAAACACCUGCACGAAAGACACCAAAAAAAUGACUAAAAAGAAAACUCAAACGAGGUUUGAAAAGACCAAAGGCCAAAGAAAAGUAUACCAUCAUUUGAGCUCUGAAAAGAGCAAUUUAAAGUAAAAAUUAAAUUAGAAUGAUAGACAAAGCUUACGUUUUUCCCCUCAGCAGUUGUCUUUCACGGGUGGCCAAUUUUCCUCCCUGUUGCAGAAGAAAUCCAAGAAAGGCAAAAACGGAAAGAAAAAUGGAACAAUAAAACACCAAGUAGGUACAAAAAAUAAAGUAAAUAAAUAUCUACAAGCCAGCUAAUCAUCAAUUAUUCACCAUCUCCGACCAUAUUAAAAGGUUUUUGUUGAAACUAAAAAUAAAAAUUUAAUGAUAAAACUGAAACGAAACAAAGACGUUAAUCAUGGAAAGAAAGGGAAGAAAAAUACCAUAUCUGUAUUCUACAAAUUCAUAUAGACAGUGGAGAUGAAAUAUUAACCUUUCACUUCCUCGUUGUUUCAGAAAAGGAUAAAAAAAAAAGAAGGGGGAAGAAUUGAUUGUUUUUAGCCAAGGAAAUAUCAGGCAAAAUGGCAGAGAAAUAGAAAAAAUCAGCUAUAAUUACUUGAGGUAUGGAGAGAGGGAGAUGAAGGAGAACAGGAGGGAGAAAUCGACAAAGGGAGGAGAGGAAGAUUACCAGUCGCUUUGCAUUCUUGAGCCCAUCGUCCAUCAACUCUGUCAGAAGAAAAAAAAUUUGGACCCCAAUUGAGAUUACAACCUGUUUCAAGUACAAUCAAAUGCCAGAAAUUCAGGGGAGAACUAUGGGUCUCACGAAGAUGGAAUUUUGUCUGGAGGAUAACAGCAAUACGGAUCGGUCUUCAAGAGUUCUUGACCUGACUGAUAGUUGUGCGUUUGACUGAGAGAGAGAGAAAAGCGGAAGAAAAAGGAUUGAAGAUCCAUCAGCAUACGAUGCCGUUUGAUUGAUCAAAAGUAAAAAGGGCAAAAACCCAUAAAUCCUCAAACCAUAUGCAAAAAAAAGUUCCAAAGGUAAAAAGUUCUUCAAUAUAAAAGACUUCCAAAGGUAAUAAGUAGAUCAACAAUUAAUCGCAAAAAAGUUGACAAAUAAUUGGGAUUUAUUUGGCAACCAAAAAAAGUGGUAAUAAUUGCAAAAAGCUAGUAAUUAAAUGUUAUUUGCUAGGCAAUAAAAAGUGACAAUUCACUUCCAAAAAAAAUUAUCAAUUGAUUGCAAAAGUUGGUAAUUAGAUGUGGUUCAUUUAGCAACAGAAAAAAAGUGUUAAUAAUUGCAAAAGCUAGCAAUUAAAUGUUAUUUAUUAGGCAAUAGAAAGUGAAAUUUAAUUAAUUAAUUAAUUAACAAUUAAUUGCAAAAAAUUGAUAAUUAAAUAUAAUUUGUUGUACAACCCAAAAUAAAAGAGGACAUUUUUUAUGACAUUUGAAAAAAAAUUUAUAAUUAAAUGCAUUUUUUGUGCAACCACAAAAAAAGAAGCCAAUUUUUUAAUAAUUCCAAACAACUGUUAUUAAACAUGAUUUGUUGGGUGACCAAAAACUUGACAUUAUUAAUUAGUUAUUAACAAUUAAUUGCAAAAAUUUGGUAAUUAGAUGUGAUUUGUUGGACAGCCAGAAAAAAAUUUGAUAAUUAAAGGUGGUUUUUGGGCAACCACAAAAAAGAAGUCAAUUUUUUGCUACUAAUUGCAAAAAAAUUGUUAAUUAAACGUGAUUGUUGUAUGACAAAAAACAGACAUUAAAUUUAUUAACAAUUAAUGCAAAAAUGGUAAUUAGAUGUGAUUUGAUGGACAACAAAAAAAAGGAAUCCAAAAUUUUUGUUAAUGUGAUUUGUUGGAUAAAAAAGAAAGAAGCAAAAUUUUAGCACAAUCCUACAUGCAAUUAGAGGACUACCACUUUUCAUCCAAUCAAAACUCGCCACAUCACCAUCUUCAUAUGCAAUUGGGAGGACUACCACCAAUCGCGAAUCAGAGGAUGACAACUCAUCAAAUUGGAAUCAAUUGGAGGACUACCACCAAUCAACCAAUGGGAGAGCGCCACGUCAGCAAUUAGGUUCAAUUUGGGCAAUUGCAUUCACACAUUUACUAUAUAUGUUAAUAAGUAGAGGCCCAUAUGUAGUCUCUGGGCUUUGCGGCAGGCUGAAGGGAUCUUUGGCCCAAAAAUAGACAAAAGUUGGCCCAGUGGCCUUGUCACUUAAGAGACCAGAAACGAAAUUGCAAAUCAGCCCCUGCAUUUUUCCUUAACUAUACUGUGGCCCUGGAAGCUUUCCAUUUCUUUCAAUUGGGUCCCUAACUUAAUUGCAAAUAGGCCUUUAAACUUUAUUUUCUUUAACUUUGACCCCAAAGCUUUGUUAUUUUUUGCAAUCAAGUCCUUUCUUCUUUUGGCUUCUUAGAUGUUGGGUUGCCUAUAUGAUUUAAUUGAUUUAAUUUCAUGUUUAUUUUUAUCUUUUGUGAUUACUUAUUAAUUAAAGUGGUGCCUUGACCCUUUCUUUGUUUUUGGAGGGUAAAUAAGUAGUUUUUGGAGGGCUCCAAUUCAAGGGAGGUACACCCUAUCCCUUAUUUCUUACUUUAUUUGACUCUAUGUGCCCUACGUGACUUUACGUGUUUAAUUGCAUGCUCUUGAAUGUUGUUAUUUAUUUAUUCAUUUCGCUUAUUGGCUUUAGUUUUUAUAUAUUUGAAAGGCAAUUUCAUGCCAAGAUUGUAAUAGUUAGGUUAGUAUAUCAUUUUACUUAAUUCAUUCCCCUUUAGAUUGUAGUAGGGCUCCCCAAAUGUAAUAGUUAGGGCUUUAUUUGCUUCAUUGAGUAUUGUGUGAUUUACAUGCUUACGUGCUAUGUGUUACCGCCUUCUUAGGGUCUUGCAUCUAGAUAUUAUGCUCACGUGCUAUGUGCUAUAUGUGGUUUAGGUGUUUACUUGCUUUAUCAUGUUUUAUGUGAUUAUGAAUAAAUGAAUGACGUCACCACACUAGUCCAACGCUAGUUGUGGUACCUUUUCUCAAAUUUCUCACUAGUCCAACGCUAGUUGAGACCCUUUUUUUUCCGAUUUCUCGCUAGUCCAAUGCUAGUGAGUACUCAUAAAUAAAGGGUUAGUCCAACGCUAGACCUAAUAGGGCCGCCCCUCGUUAGUACAUAUUCGCAUGCCCUCAAUACAUCCUCAUUCAUUUUUUUCUUUUUAGUUUUACACUUUUGCAUGACCCUUCACUCCCUUUCCCUUGCACAUUUAGGAUUGCAUUUUCAUUUAGAUUAGCUCAUUUGCUGUAUAGGUUAGGGAGUUACCCUUUUGGUAAGGGGGAUGACGAGUUUGGCUACACAUAGCCUUAGCACGCUCAUUCUUUUCUAACCAAAAGGAAAAUUAAAAGUCACGACUUAGGGUCUCCCCGUACCCAUUUUGCAUUCCUCUAGGGCUCAUACAUUUUAUUUUGUACAUGAUCACUUUCCACAUUUUCACUUCACACAACUCUUAUUUUGCACAUUUUCACUUUACCACUUAUACUAUUACUAUCACUUGCACACAUGCACUUCAUACUAUCACUUUACAUACCUCACCUUGCACACCCAUUUGUACAACUUCCACUCACACACUAUUGUCUUUUAUUACUUUUUUUUUUUACUUCACAAACUCAUGUUUUUCACAUUGCAUACAUUCAUUUCACUCAUUCUUACAUCAUUAGCAUUAUUCGUGACCUCUUGGAGGGCUUAUCCUUGACUAUCACGACUCAUGUGAUUAGUUCAAUCGAGCCUCUAAGAGAUAUUUGUCCCAUUCGAUUCAUCACUAGAUUUAGGAUUGCAUCCAUGUUAGUUACAUCCACAUGCGAUACAUCUUUGGAUUAAAAAUAAAGAAAAUUUUUGACUAAAUCGCGCAACUAGCCUUGGCUAGGUUGAAAGGGUGUCUCGGAUUCUUAUCCUUGCCUUCCCUUUCUUCAAAUGUGACUCCCGAAUCUUUUUCUCUGAUUUUUGUAGACUUGGAAUCGUUUAAAAAGGUUUUCUACUUAAUUUUCUUUAAAAAUUCAUUUUUAGGUGACUUGAUACACCUUAACUCUAUACCAAGUGGCGACUUCAUUUUUUCAUUCAAAACUCUUUUUAAACUAUAUUUUGGGUCGAAUCGUUGCAUUCGCAAGUCCCAUUUAGACCCACAUGUUUUUUUCAUUUUUUCUUUUUAAAUCAAAAAAUCAUUUUGCUAAACUAAUUUAUUUUUCUUUCAAAAAAUGGGCGCCGACAAUAAGGAGUGUUUUGGCAUAAAUUUUAUGAUUUUUGGGUGAAGAUUUGAGUGUUUUAAAAAAUAAAAACUGGACUGACUUUUUGCUUUUCGGCCACCUUCGAGUCAUCUUUUGUAAAAAUUAACUUCGGAAAUGGAACCUACGGGAAAAAUGGAGUGGGGAGGUGCAUUUUGAGAAAUUUUGGUAACCGGAGAGGACGCCGGCGGUGGCGGUCUGGUGGCAGCGGCGCCACCGGUGGCCAACUGAAGUGAGCUUCGGAUGGCCAGAGGAGAAGAAGAAACGAAUGGGGAAGAAAGAAAGAAAGGAAAGAAAGAAAAGAAGAAGAAAAAAGGAAAAGAAUUGGGUUAAUUUUUUAGUAGGCUUGAGUUUAUUUUUUUGGUUGGAUUUUGGGAAUGGAUCCUUGUUUAUUUCUUUUGGGUUUCGGUGGGUUAGGAGGUUGGAACCCAUGUUUUUUUGGUCGGUCUUGAGUGAUAACAAGACGGGCUGGCAUGUGUGUUUUGGUUUGGACUUUCGGUUGGGUUUAGGCAGUUUUCGGCCCGAAGAAAUAAAUAAUGGCCCAAUAGCCUAUUUUCUUAAGAAGAUCUGAUUACGAUUUGCACUUUGGCCCUUGAUCUUUGGAGCAGUUUUAUUGUGGCCCAAAACAUUUUAAAUUCCUUUCACCUAGGUCCUUAAAUUAAUUGCACUUUAGUCCCUGAAUUUUAUCUUUCAUUUAAUUUCGACCUCUGAACUUUGGAAAAUAUAAUUUUUUUCCCCAAAAGUUUUUCAAAUUUUACAAUUCAGUCCCUGAUGAAUUUUGACUCUCUUUAUUAUGAUUGCUUCUUUUCUUUAAUAGCUGAUUAUGUUACUUUUGAGUAUGUUUAACUUGUAAUUUUUAGAUAUUCUUAAAUUUAUUUACGUUUGACAUAUUAAGGUGAAUUUUCAUUAUAAUUAUUACUUUUUCAAUUAAAUUGGUGCCAUGAUUCUUUUGUUCAUUUUGAAUAUAAAUAGGGCAAUUUGACUCCGUUUAGUCACCACUUCAAAAGGGAGGUACCCCAUUAUUAUUAUUUCAAUGUCAAUUAUGUGUUCUUAUGUGCUCCUACGUGUUCCUAUGUGUUUAUAUAUUUUCAUAUGUUUUGUUUAUUUGAUUUACAUGUUCAUUCGAAUUUUCUUAUAUUUGUUUAGUUAAUUCUUAUAAUUAUUCGAGAGGCAUUUAAUUACCUCAUAAAUGUAAUAGAUAGGAUAAUUAGAUUUGUUUUUAUUAUAUUUUUCCUUUUUAGAUUGUAGUUAAGUCCCCUGUUGUAAUAGAUAGGGUAGAUAGGAUUUUCUUUAUUUUUCCAUUUUAGAUUGUAGUUAGGCUCCCCGAUGUAAUAGAUAGGUUGUGUGUUUAUGUGGCUUACGUGUUAUAUGUUUUACCCGCUUUCCUUAGGAUUUUUGCCUCUAGAUAUUGUGUUUACGUGUUAUGUGCUACGUGUUCUUAUGUGUUUAUUCGUUUUAAUUUAUGCUUUAUUUGUUUUACUAUGUAUUAUUAAUACAUGACGUCACCACACUAGUCCAACGCUAGUUGUGGCUUCUCCUCUAUUUACUUGCUAGUCCAACGCUAGUAAGAAUUUUUAGAAAUGGGCUAGUCCAAUGCUAGACCCUUUAGGCCGUCCUGCGCUAGAUUCAUCUUUGUGUGAUAAUUCACUACAUUUUCAUGCAUAUUUUCAUUUUUAAGAUCUUUUCUCAUUUGCAUGAUAUUCCCUAUUAUAUUAUCCCCUAUCCUCUAUAUGUGUUAAUCAUAUCACUUAGAAUUGCAUUUCAUUUAAGAAAUUGUAUGAUAAGUAGGUUCAUUUGCUUGUUCAUAUUAGGAGAAUUAUUUUUCAAACAUGAAAAAUGGGUGAUUAUAACUUUUUAGUUUAAAUACCCCAUUAAUCCCUGUAUAAGAAAAUUAUGUCACGAGUUUUUGCCUCCCAUAUCCUUUAUGUUGCAUUCCUUUUUCUUUGAUCACUUAUAUCUAUGUAUAUAAUUUAAUUUCUUUUCUUUACUUUCUUUUUUUCAUCAUUUGCAUACUCGUGACCCUUUCAAGAAAGUAUUUUGGCCUUCGCAAUUAAUGCGAUUGUUUUAAUUAAACCUUUGAAUGGAUAUUUUGUCUCUUUCGAUAUUUUAUUUGCAUCCAUGUAGAAAACAUCCAAAUGUGAUAAAUUUAAGGGUUAGAUUAAGAAAAUUUUGACUAAAUCACGCAACUAGUUUAGAUUAGGUUGAAAUGGUGCCUUAGGUUUGAGAUAAUUGAACCUUUUCCUUCCCUUUCUUCAACCGUAACUCCCAAAUUCAUUUUCUCUAUUUUCAAAGAUCUGGAGUUGUCGAAAAGGAUUUUAUUUUAUUUUACUUUAUUUUUUGAGUGACUUGGUACACAAAAACUCUAUACCAAGUGGCGACUCCUAUUUUUUUCUUGAAAACCCUUUUAGACAAAUUUUUGGACCUAAAUUAUCACAUUCUUUUUAAGUCCCAUUCUAGGUCCUUUUCAUUUAUUAUUAAUAAAUCACAUCUUUUUAUAAACACUUUAUUUUUCAUCGUGAAAAAUAGGGUGCGACAACUUAGCGACUCCUCUGGGGACGCUAGAGAGUCCAAGCACUUGAUUUAGUUGUCUUUUCUCUUUUUAACACUUUUUUUUUUAUAAAAUUUGGAUGUUUUAGGUUGCAUUUUUCUUUUUUAGAAUGUUUUGCAUUUCACACUCGUAUUCGUUCCUCAUAUUUCGUGUAUGUGAUGAAUGGUUUAUUUAUUUACUUAUUCGUAUCGCGCUUUGCAUUUGGGAUAGGGAAUAUUACCUUAGAGCCUUCACGUGCAUUUAAUGUUAAUCCCUUCCCUCAAAAGGAAGCACCUCAUACGUGCAUGCAUUGUUUUUUACCCUAUUUUUAUUUUCUCGUGGGCGCCAUCCCACAUUUCCUUGUAGGAUUAGAAUCGAUUUCUUUAGGUAUGCGGAUGGUGUGCGCUGUGCCCAUAGUGGUACCUAAGGGAUCACUCAAGCCACCGAUCGAAGGCCUUAGGAUUGUUGACCCUCCGCCCUUUUGUCUGAAGGCUUGGGAGCCUGAACUUUUUCGAGUCUAAAUGCAUUAGUAAGUCAAACCUCAUGCAUCCAUGAUAGAAAUUGCCCAGGUUAGAGUCAACCUACCCAAUUAGGAACACUAGGCACGGGGGAGGGAUUACACUCCUCUUUCUUUAAUUGCCUUUUAUUUUUCAUAUAUUCUUGUUUGCUCCAAUGUGUUAUAUGUCAUAUAUCAUUUGAUCUAACCUCUCCUUGUUUUCUCCUCCACUGCAUUCAUAAGUCUUAGAAAAUAAGAGUCCUGGCAUGGUACUUUCUAGGGUUUUACCCUAUUUGAUGUUACACGUUUAAAUUCAGUGUUUCGCAUUUGCAGCAUGAAUACAUUUCAUUUUAGCCUCACCCCGGCAUACAAAAAAGAGAGUUCCUUUAGGACACGUUUCAUUGGUGUACUGCAUAUUUAGUUGCUUUGAUAAACUGGCAUCAUGCAUCUACCUUAGAAGGGAAUGCCAUCUAGGGAAUCCCGUGUUAGGGACAAGCCGCCCAAUGUUUCGGAUAUAUAAUCCAAUGAGACUUGCACGUUUAUAUUUCAUGUACCAUCCAAAGGGGUAGUGCACGAGAUAAGGUAGGAUCCGAUCUUUUCAACAAACGGCAAAACAAUUUUUGCACAUUAGAAUAUGGGCAUCUAACAAUCAUCUUUUGGCCAUUUUAAACAAAAUUGGUAAAAAAAUUCCCUUGCGUAAAGGACAUUAAUUUGAAGAAAUUCACAAAUAAUUUCUCAUUAUUGAGACAAUAAAUGUAGAGGCCAAAUCUUGAUUUUAGGAGGCUCAUAGACUAAUGCAUUGCAAUAAUUUUUUGAAACUACCAAUGGUAAUUAAUUCAAUCGAUUUUUGAAUAAACCAUCAAUUUCAUCCAAUCCAUCUUGUCAAUUCAUUCAAUUUUAGGACAAUCUAAUCAUUUUUGAAUAAAUUAUUAACUCCAUUUCAUUCAUUUGGCCAAUUUACCCAUUUUUAGGGCAAUCGAGUCAUCAUCAAUUUCAUUCAAUUCAGUUGAUCAAUCUACCUAUUUUUAGUGCAAUUCGGUCGAUUUUGAAUAAAUCAUCAAUUUCAUCAUAUCCAUUUGACCUGUUUAUUCCCUUUAGGGUUUAAGUCUAAGGUUUACUGAAUAAAUUAGUCAAAACAUUGCAAUCCUGUCAAGAGUAGGUUCUUUCUCACAUCAUUUUAUGUGUCGAUCAAAACAAGCAAUCCAUUCGGACUUCGUCCUCAUUUUUUUUAGGACAAACGUCUCUUCUCACUCUAAUUUUACCUAAUCAGUUGAUCGGAUUCAUCAGGUAUUGUAUGGUGCCUACCCUAGAGGAUUGCAUUUUCAUACUAGGCCUACCUUUGGCAUAAAAGGGUUCCCCCAUAGGACAUGCAUACCGAUUUUAUAGUCUUACUUACUAAUUCAGGAUAUUUUUCUUUUUGUUUUUCCCCCUCUCCUGCAUUCAACAAAAAUGCUUUAAUAAUGCUUUAAUAAAGUGAAAAUAUUUUUCUAUGUUUGAUAAAAUUUGAAAAUUACAAGUAUUACUUGAUUCUUAGGCAGACCUUGCAAAAAAAACAUGAAAAAUCUAUUUGGAAGCGUUAGGCUAAAGCCUCUAAGAGAUUUCAUAAUUGUUUUCAAAGAAAAAUUCUGUAUAUUUGACGUGUUAAUAUUUUUGUUCCAAAAGAAAAUGAGACAAAAGUGUAUAUAUGUAGAGCUCUUUAGAAGUUUUCUCUUCUCAUUUGUAUUAUAAUUGAACGAGAAAUUUUGUUUUAAACUUUUUCAGCAAUAAAGUUUUGGACACUUAUUGUUUUGUGUAUAUUCAUGUAUAUUUUAUUCUUUAUAUUUGCUCAUUGGAGAUUUCAUGAUGAAUUUUAAGAAAUAAGACCAAAUUGAGAUUUUUUCAACCUUUAGCCUGAAAAUUUACAAGUGUAUGCUUUCUAAAAUCUUUGCGUACACUAGAUUGGUGAUCCGAACUGUACAAUAAGUAAGAGUGCUCAAAAUUAAAAGAGGUCACUCGAAAGGCCCAAUGAGAUACUUUUUUUUCCUUCACUGUACAAUUCAUAUUUUUACCCACCUCUAUUAGCCCCAAGAUAAAAUCAGUCACAUUGAUUGAUAAAUUGUAAAUUGGGCAAUCUUUGCUUGAAAAUGUCCACUGUGUCUAAUUAUAUGCAAUUCACAUCUAAGUGAAAGCAAAAAUGUGCAUUAUUCUUGUUUGUUUUGAAAAUUUGAAUGAUACUUCAAGCGUUCGUUUCUCUACCUAUACAGAUUUUAUCAUUUGCUCUCUCAUUUGAACCUUUGAAAGAAUAAUUUCGUUUCAAAUAAGAGCCUUAAUGAUCACUACCCUACAUUGAAAAAUGCUUAGAUAUCAAGAAAAGAGUAGAUUUUCAAUGACCAUUUUGUUACUUUGGUUAUCAUGAAGUGUAAGAAUGAUACUUUGGCCAUCAUUUCUAUAACCUAAACACCAUUUAUCCCUUGCAUCCUUAUUUGAUCUAAAAUGGGUGUUCUUUUCAAAACACCUAUGAUCGCACCCACAUUGGGAAAGGAGAUUGGAAAAUUUUCCAAAAAGCAAAAUGCUAAAAUUUAAAAAAAAGAGAUAGAGAACCCCAAGUGGGGAAAAUUUGAUUCUACUAUCGAUAUCUGGGAUUCAAUUUUGAAAAAGAAAAAAAAAGAAAAGGGAAGGUUUUUUCCGGCGGAUCACUUAUGUUUCACAGAUAUGGAUGAACAAGGGUCUUCCUCAGUCAGUUAAUUCAGAUACAUGCAAGAAAUUUCGCAUUAAUGAAAGUUUCCUUUCAGACUUAUUGUAGGGAACGAAAUAAAAAGUUAGGCCUUCUUCUUUUCCAAUCAAACAUUCUAUCGCUAGUUAUCCCUUUUGACCCUUCAGAAAAAAUACUUCGUUUGACGACCCCUGAGGAUCGCAAACCCUACAAUGGGGCAAGUUUGAGUUGAAAGGAAAAAAAAGUCUCAAGAGGUGAAAAGUGCUAAAACAACAAAGGCAAAAGGAAAAAAAGAAGAAAAGAGAACCUCGGUUAAAUAUAAACUGGGUAAAUUUUGAAAUUUUUAAAGGAAUGGCAGAAGGCCGAAGAAGAAAAAUCAAUCGAAGAAAAAAAGAACAAAAUGAAAGAGAAAAGAGCCUCAAUUGACAAUAAACUGGGGCAAGUUCUGAUUUAACCCUAAAAGAGGGUUGAUACAAUAAUGCGAUCUCAGAUAAUUUAAACCACUUUUGAAAAUCCGCUUUCAAGCCUUAACUUUUCUAAGCACCCCACCAGACCCCAUUAUAAAAGCCGAAAGUCCUGACUUCUGUUCUUUGCAAUAUCUCUGUCAAGAAACUUUCUAAUUAAUUGGCAAGUGAUGCGCGUAUACUGAUGCCAGGAAAUUGUUUAGAUGUAUUUCUGAAUUGAUUAGCUGUGAAGUUGACAGUACUCAUCAUCUGAAAAUCCGCCAGUGCACCUUUUAAAAGAAAAGAAAAAAGCAAAAAUAAAUGCAAAGAAAAUGCAAAAAGAUUCGAUGCUGAAAGUCCCUAUUGAGUGAUUAAAAAAGUCAAACAAAGGUCAAGAUCUUUGAGUCCAAAUUGGGGUAAUUUUUUGAAAAAUGCGAUCUUCAGUGCAAUGUUCUUAAAAUCUUAUCUCUUUAACUAUCGUUUUCAAGCCACAUUACAAACUCAUAAAAUCCAUCGUUGACUUAUCUUUCAUGACAACUCGAAGUAAGAAUUAUGCUUCUGAGGAAUCCCUCAAUCAUUCGGGAUCAUAAGGUUAUAGCCUGUUGUCACAUGUUUAGCUAUCGUUUCUACCCAUAUGUUACAAGUUUAUAAAGCUUAUAUGUUGACUAAGUUUUCUUAAGGAAGAAGGGUGACAAACUCUUUGCUUUCACUAAGAUGUGAUGUUGAAUGGAUUACAUACAAUUUUGGGCACAAGAACAAGACAAAUCUUGACUUCUCAUUUUUCUUAGCCACCUCAAAAUCAGAAAUAAGAUCACUUGAUUGGUCCUGAAAGACGAGCUAACAAGAAGUGGUGACACAUUACUCUCAGCAUCGAUGCUAAGGUGAGGAAGAAAUCUUCUAUAAUUUGGAAUUAUUUCGAGAGAUUCAUCAUGAAAUUUUUCGUUAGGAAACAUAGUUUAUUACUUUUUGUUCAAACAAAUGGAGAGUCAUCCAAACAAAUUUUUGCAAUUAAAUGGGCCCACAUUGGGGCAAAUUUUUAUUGUGAGAUUUCAUAAAAUAAGCCCACACUGGGGCAAAAUUUUUAAUACACCUGGGAAUUUCGUCCGAGAGUCAAAUAAUAUACUUUCGAAUCAAUCACGCUGCUCUUUUCAUGAGUAGUAAGUGCAUCAAUUUAAGUGCAUAGUGUACUUGGAUAAGCCCCCUACAAGUAUUAAUGGUUGAAAUCGAUGAUAUAGCAUUUGGUGAUGUGGAAGGCCGAUACCGAAAAGAGAAGAAAGAGGAAACAGGAAAAGGGCCCGACACUGGGGCAAAUUUUUUUUGCCAAGAUUCUCUCAAUCAGGGAAAAUCAGGAAAAAUCCGAAAAAGAACAAACAAUUGAAAAAAAAAAAGAUCCCAAAAAAUCAAUCAAAAAUUAGAAAAAUCAGAAAAAGCAAAAAUUGAAAGAUUAUCAUGGCAGGCUCGGGUUUAAUCCCACUGACCAAUUCUCACGACAGGCUCGGGUUUAAUUCCACUAACCAAUGCAUCACACUGGGCAAAUUUUUGGAUAAUUUUCCAGAUAAGUCUUAUACAGUUUCUUCAUACAUACCAGCAUUUCAUUUUUGCAACGCCACUAGCAGUUGGAUCAGUCCCACUAGUGAGCACUUCAUUUUUUGUUCGGGUCAGUCCCAUGAUUUAAAGCUUGUUCGGGUCAGUCCCAUGAUUUAAAUUUUGUUCGGAUCAGUCCCAUGAUUUAAAGCUUGUUUGGGUCAGCCCCAUGAUUAAAAGUUUGUUCGGGUCAGCCCCAUGAUUAAAUGUUUGUUCGGGUCAGUCCUAUGAUUUAAAUUUUGUUCGGGUCAGUCCCAUAAUUUAAAAUGUUAUUCGGGUCAGUCCCAUGAUUUAAAAGUUUGUUCGGGUCAGUCCCAUAAUUUAAAUUUUGUUCAGAUCAGUCCUAUGAUUUAAAAUUUUGUUCCGAUCAGUCCCAUGAUUUAAAUUUUGUUCAGGUCAGUCCUAUGAUUUAAAUUUUGUUCGGGUCAGUCCCAUGUUUAAUUUCUAGUUCCGGUCAAUCCCAAGUUUAAAUUCUGAUUCGGGUCAGUCCCAUGUUUAAUUUCUAGUUCGGGUCAGUCCCAAGUUUAAAUUCUGGUUCGGAUCAGUCCCAUCUUUAAUUUCUAGUUCGGGUCAGUCCCAUGAUUUAAUUUCCUGUUCGGGUCAAUCCCAUAUUUAAAUUCUAGUUCGGGUCGGUCCCAUGUUUAAUUUUUGGUUCGGGUCAGUUCCACGUUUAAUUUCUCGUUCGGUUCAGUCCAAUGUUUAAUUUCCUUUUCGGGUCAGUCCCAUGUUUAAUUUCUCGUUCGGGUCAGUCCCAUGUUUAAUUUCCUGUUCGGUCAGUCCCAUGUUUAAUUUCUUGUUCGAAUCAGUCCCAUAAUAAAUUCUCGUUCGGGUUAGUCCCAUAUUUAAAAUUUCUCGUUUGGAUCAGUCCCAUGUUUAAAUUCUUGUUCGAGCCAGUCUCAUUUUAAAUUUCUUAUUUGGGUCAGUCCCAUGUUAAAUUUCUGAUUCGGGUCAGUCCCGUUUUAAAUUUUUUGUUUGAGUCAGUCCAUUUUAAAAUUUUGGGGUCAGUCCUCAUUUCAAAAGCGUCAGUCGUUCGAAUAGCUUGCAUUGUUUGAACUACGUUUGAUCUGAUUUCCAUGGCGGGAUACGUAGGCAACUCUACAUGAGGUCGGUCACGUUUUUGUAAUUUCAUUGCAUCAUUUUGUCCAAUAAUUUCAACCAAGUGUUGGCUUGUUUGUUUUAACUCAUGUGCAGCUAGAAGAGACAGGUAAGUAAUUUGGUGUCUACGUCUAUGUCUUCAAUUUCUUUGAAACUCUAGACAAAGAGGGGCAAGCUGUAGACACCAAAUUUUUGUCAAUUUUCAGUGUUUUCUUGAAUUUUUUUUCUAUUUAAUGAAUUAUUUAUUUUCUUGCAUUUUAAUGUGCAUUUUUCUCAUUUUUUGCAGGUUUGUUUAAAAAAAAAAGAGAAGAAAGAAAAAAACAAAACACAAAAAAAAAAACAGAACAACAAAAACUAAAAAAAAGAGGAAAAUUAAGAAAAUAAAAAAAAUCAUUCUAAUCAUUUUUUUUAUACCAAAAUACAUUUAACCCAUUUCACAUUCAAUGGCCAUGGACUUGUCUUUUCAUUAGUUGAGAAAUCAUCAUUUUGGAAAAUUCAACACACAAGCUCCAUUUUGGCUACAAGUCCCUCUCGGCUUUCUCUUGAAAAAAAAGGAGAAAAAAAAACACACAAAAAUAAAGGGGAGGCUCUUGGCUCUCUCUCUGGUCUCGACCAAAAAGAAGGAGAGAAGCCACAAAAGAAAAAUUUUCCCUCCCUCUCUCGGCGGACUCAAAACGGACAGAAAAAAAAAAGAAGAAAGGGGGACACUCUCUCGGCCUUUUCUUUUGCUCUGAACAAAACCAAGACUUCAAAUUUUUUUUCCCUCUCAAUACAUCUCUCGGACCUCCUCUCUCCCAAUAUUUCCACAACACCCUUGCAGACAACAAAAAGGGAGGCAGCGACUGGUUGGGCUAUUGGAGUUUGGCAAUCUCAUCAAAAACUUUGGCCAAGGGACCAAGGUCUUCAUUGAGGUAUUUCUUGCUUUCCUUUUUUCCAGCCUUUUUUUUUAUUUAACUAGAUUAAAUGUAUGUGUGAUUGUUUGUGUGUUGUUUUAUUUUGCUGGUUUUGUUGUUAUUGUAUCGGUGAAAUUUUGGGAAGAUCAUAAACCAGAUUUAGGAAAAGGAAAUGUUUCUUGUGAAUGCAUGUUAAUUGUUUGAAAAAAUGCCAAAAUGAAAAAAAUGAAUUUUAGGGAUUGUUUUGCCUUAAUGUAGUCUUUUGUUUGUUGUUUUCUUGUUAGCUAAGAUUAUAGUUGUAAAUGUGGAGAUUAUAAGGAGUGUUUUGGCAUAAAUUUUAUGAUUUUUGGGUGAAGAUUUGAGUGUUUUAAAAAAUAAAAAAUUGGACUGACUUUUUGCUUUUCGACCACCUUCGGGUCAUUUUUGUAAAAAUUAACUCCGAAAAUGGAACUUACGUGAAAAAUGGAGUGGGGAAGUGCAUUUUGAGAAAUUUUGGUAAUGGAGAGGUCGCCGGCGGUGGCGGUCCGGUGGCAGCGGCGCCACCAUGGCCGCCACUGAAGUGAGCUUUGGAUGGCCAGAGGAGAAGAAGAAAGGAAUGGGGAAGAAAGAAAAGAAAGGAAAGAAAAGAAAGGAAAGAAAAGAAAAGGAAAAGAAUUGGGUUAAUUUUUUAGUAGGCUUGAGUUUAUUUUUUUGGUUGGGUUUUGGGAAUGGAACCUUGUUUAUUUCUUUUGGGUUUCGGUUGGGCUAAGAGGUUGGAACCCAUGUAUUUUUUGGUCGGUCUUGAGUGAUAACAAGACGGGCUGGCCUGUGUUUUUGGUUUGGACUUUCGGUUGGGCUAAGGCAGUUUUCGGCCCGAAGAAAUAAAUAAUGGCCCAGUGGCCUGUUUUCUUAAGAAAAUCUGAUUACGAUUUGCACUUUGGCCCUUGAUCUUUGGAGCAGUUUUAUUGUGGCCCAAAAUAUUUUAAAUUCCUUUCACCUAGGUCCUUAAAUUAAUUGCUCUUUGGUCCCUAAAUUUUAUCUUUCAUUUAAUUUCGGCCUCUGAACUUUGGAAAAUAUAAUUUUUGUCCCCAAAGGUUUUUUCAAAUUUUGCAAUUCAGUCCCUGAUGAAUUUUGACUCUCUUUAUUAUGAUUGCUUCUUUUCUUUAAUAGUUAAUUAUGUUACUUUUGAGUAUUUUAACGUGUAAUUUUUAGAUAUUCUUAAAUUUAUUUACGUUUGACAUAUUAAGGUGAAUUUUCAUUAUUAUUAUUACUUUUUCAAUUAAAUUGGUGCCAUGAUUCUUUUGUUCAUUUUGAGUAUAAAUAGGGCAAUUUGACUCCGUUUAGUCACCACUUCAAAAGGGAGGUACCCCAUUAUUAUUAUUUUAAUGUCAAUUACGUGCUCUUAUGUACUCCUACGUGUUCCUAUGUGUUUAUAUAUUUUCAUACGUUUUGUUUAUUUUAUUUACAUGUUCAUUCGAAUUUUCUUAUAUUUGUUUAGUUAAUUCUUAUAAUUAUUCGAGAGGCAUUUAAUUACCUCAUAAAUGUAAUAGAUAGGAUAAUUAGAUUUGUUUUUAUUAUAUUUUUCCUUUUUAGAUUGUAGUUAAGUCCCCUGUUGUAAUAGAUAGGGUAGAUAGGAUUUUCUUUAUUUUCCCAUUUUAGAUUGUAGUUAGGCUCCCCGAUGUAAUAGAUUGGUUGUGUGUUUAUGUGGCUUACGUGUUAUAUGUUUUACCCCUUUCCUUAGAAUUUUUGCCUCUAGAUAUUAUGCUUACUUGUUAUGUGCUACGUGCUCUUAUGUGUUUAUUUGUUUUAAUUUAUGUUUUAUUUGUUUUACUAUGUACUAUUAAUGGAUGACGUCACCACACUAGUCCAACGCUAGUUGUGGCUUCUCCCUCUAUUUACUUGCUAGUCCAAUGCUAGUAAGAAUUUUUAGAAAUGGGAUAGUCCAAUGCUAGACCCUUUAGGCCGUCCUGCGCUAGAUUCAUCUUUGUGUGAUAAUUCACUACAUUUUCAUGCAUAUUUUCAUUUUUAUGAUCUUUUUUCAUUUGCAUGAUAUUCCCUAUUAUAUUAUCCCCUAUCCUCUAUAUGUGUUAAUCAUAUCAUUUAGAAUUGCAUUUCAUUAAGAAAUUGUAUGAUAAGUAGGUUCAUUUGCUUGUUCAUAUUAGGAGAAUUAUUUUUCAAACAUGAAAAAUGGGUGAUUAUAACUUUUUAGUUUAAAUACCCCAUUAAUCCCUGUAUAAGAAAAUUAUGUCACGAGUUUUUGCCUCUCAUACCCUUUAUGUUGCAUUCCCUUUUUCUUUGAUCACUUAUAUCUAUGUAUAUAAUUUAAUUUCUUUUCUUUACUUUCCUUUUUUUCAUCAUUUGCAUAUUCGUGACCCUUUCAAGAAAGUAUUUUGGCCUUCGCAACUAAUGCGAUUGUUUUAAUUAAACCCUUGAAUGGAUAUUUUGUCUCUUUCGAUAUUUUAUUUGCAUCCAUGUAAAAAACAUCCAAAUGUGAUAAAUUUAAGGUUAGAUUAAGCAAAUUUUGACUAAACCACGCAACUAGCUUAGACUAGGUUGAAAUGGUGCCUUAGGUUUGAGAUAAUUGAACCUUUACCUUCCCUUUCUUCAGUCGUGACUCCCGAUUUCAUUUUCUCUGUUUUCAAAAACCUGGAGUUGUCGAAAAGGGUUUUAUUUAUUUUACUUUAUUUUGAGUGACUUGGUACACAAAAACUCUAUACCAAUGGCGACUCCUAUUUUUUCUUGAAAACCCUUUUAGACUAAUUUUUGGAUCCAAAUUGUCGCAUUCUUUUUAAGUCCCAUUCUAGGUCCUUUUUCAUUUAUUAUUAAUAAAUCACAUCUUUUUAUAAACACUUUAUUUUUCAUCGCGAAAAAUAGGGCGCGACACUAACUUUAUCAUUUGAAUUUUGCCAUGGUUGAGUAUUUUCUAUUUUUAGGCAUUUUUUAAUUUCAUUAAUAUGUGAAGUUAGAUGUAUUUAUUUGAGCUUAUUGAUGUUAUUGGUGAUUGUUAGUGAUAAAUAAAUCUUGAGGUUGUGUUUAUUGUAUUCAUUUGGUGAAUUUUAGCUAAUUCUAUGCUGAAUUUGGCUUGGUAAUAAAGUUGCAUAUUAAGUAGCCAAUGUAGCAUUUUAAUUAGCUUUGUGAGAGUUUAUGAUAUUCAUGUGAGUAAUUUAGAUUACCUAAUGAAUGAAACGGUGCUUGGUUGAAUUAUUGUUUGAAUUCUUAGUUAAUUCUAAAAUAAGAGAUGAAUUGAAAAUGGCCUUAAUUGAUGAAAUUCAUAAAUGUACUUAUAAUCUUUGUGGUUCAAUGGUUUUUAGUAUUUCAGGAGUUCUCAAGAAGUUCAUUUAUAUUUUGGUUUGGUAUGUUUGCCUCCAUUUUGAGAUUACUUUUGUACUUGAGGGGACUUGAUCAUUGAUGACAAAAUGUAUAAAUAGAACUUACUUUGUUCAUGAUGAUGGGCUUAUUUUGUGAAAUUAGUUUCCCUUUGUUUUGGAUACUGAUGCAUAUACUUGAUUAGCGAAGAUUAGCCCAUUUCAUGUUUUUAUCCCUUGAACAUUGUAUGGUUCCAUAUGCUUGAUCCUUUUCCCUUUUUCCUUGAUUUGCAUGUUUUCUUCUUGUUGGUUGCAAGCUUUUAUUCUUAAGAAGUUAUUUUAUUCUGAUUUUGUCUUUUUCAGGGUGCAUUAAUUGAACUCUCCAUUCUUUCUCAAAUAAGGUUGGAAAUUCAUCACAUGACCAUGGAUUUGGAUCGCGCAAGUCAUAAGGGUGUAUUUUCUCUUACUCUUUAUUUAUUUUCCUUUUCUCACAUUGAGGACAAUGUGAAGUUUAAGUGUGGGGAAGGAAAUAAUUGACUUGUUAUUUUAUGUCAUGUGAUGAUAAUUUGUGGCUUUAAAUGUCUUAGAAAUGUUGGAAUUGUGCUUGAAAAUAUUGCAAUGUUGAACUUUUCUUGAAAAAUUGGUUUGUUAGCAGGGAGUUUUGUCCAUUUAUAAGGGAAAACUCUGUCAAAAUUUUUCUAAAAUCUGUUUCAAUAUUUCACUAUGACCCAAAAAUUUUUGCAAUUUUUGUCUUUGUUUUAAAAAGGGCCAAUUUGUUCCAACUUUAAGUGCUCUAAUUCUUCCACUUGUUGAAACUUUAUAUGUAUUUUGGAAGAUUUAGUUCUCAUUUGAUUUGGAAAUGGUUAUUAUGCAAUUAAGAUUGUUGCAUUUUAGAAAGUAUAUCCUGUAAAGUAGAAAGAAUUAUGCCUAUAAUUUUGCAUGUUUAAUGAGAUUUCUCCUCUUUACUUAAUUUUGCAAAUAAUUAUUGAUAUAGUCAAUAAAAACUAUACUCUUCCUUUGAUUAUUCUUAUACAUUUGCUAUGAGGGAAUGUCUAUUUAUUGUCUUUUACUAAAAUAAAAAAGAGAAAAAAGAAAGAAAAAUAAAAGUUUUUGUUCUACUCCAAUGAUUCUUGUACCGAGUUAUCGAAGGUUAGCAUCUACAAAUGUUGACACUCACGUAAAAGGGUACUUGAAUUAAAAGUAUGCAUAGCAACCUGAAUAAGUGAAAUGUUGAGUAACCGGAAUUCUUCACCUAAAAGUGUCGAUAUUCGUGUCAAAAGAUAUUUUCACUAUUUGAGUAAAAUUAGUAUGAAUAAAUCCUUCUUAGUUGUAAAAUUUCUGAAAAAGAUGAUCUUGGGAGGAAGAAAGCUAUAUAUUGACUAUGUGAUUUACUUAAUUGUGAAAUUAGAUUAGGGUGAGAGAUUAAAUAUAAGUUGUUGAAUUUAAGGCAUAAUUAUCUUUUGUUUACUUGAUAUUAUGAGUAUUUAGUGUGAAUUGAACAAUUGCAUAAUGAUUAUUUGCCAAGUUAUGAGGAAUUGAAUUCGAAAAAGUGCAUAUAGUGUUUCACCUCUUGAAUCAUUGUUGUUGAUUAUGUGUUAAUUGAUUGAGGACAAGCAAUGGUUCAAGUGUGGAGGAGUUUGAUAAGUGUAUAUUUUACAUGUUUUUAAGUGUGUUUUAUUAGUUAGUUUUAGCGUGUUUUAUGUGACAGCCCCACCUCCCCCUAAGACGAACCAAAGGGUUCAGCGGACCGCCUGCCCAACUCUCGCGGGACUCAGUCGUUCACUCAAACGAAUCAAAAAUAAAACCUCAAGAAGAGUAAAACAAGGAUCCAGUUCAUUACAGUCCUUAAUCAAAACCCGAAUCCAAUCACAGAAAUAAAUAGUACGAAAAGUCAAAACUUAAAGCGGAACUUAUAUACAUUGCUAUCUCAAGAGGAAGUACAACCGUCAAAUAUACCGAGGUUCUCAAUUCACCAUACAACCAACCGUGCCAAGCACUAGAACGAGAACCAUUACAACAGAAAACCAAGAGCUAGACCAAGCUAGUCUAUACAGGCUCUUGUCCUUGCUCGCCCACCCCUGUUAAGAAAAACAAAACUAAAGGGAUGAGCUGGAAAGCUCAGUGAGGUUCCGAUCACAUAGGUAAACAAGAAGUUCAAUGCAUUCAUUACACGUAGCCAAUAAUUCAAGAUACAAAGAUAAGAUAAAGCGAUAAACACAUUCAUUAAAAGGAUACGGGCUCACAAGGAGCCAUUCGUUCAUUCGUUCGUUCAGUCAUUCUCUAUACCUUCAAUCAUUUGAAAAUGCAUUUUGUAUAAGUAAAACCCCUCGUUCAUUCAUUCGUUCAUUCAUUCAUUCACCCAUCCUGGACAUUAUCCAGACUCCACCAACCUCCACCAACGUACAAGGUAAUACUCGAGUAUACCAAAACAUUCACUCAGGUCCCUAAUCGCCCGACCGAGUCCGCUUCUGGCUCGAGACGACCGGUAACAAGGGCAGGACCAAUUCAGCCAAAAGGCUUACAUUCAUGCACAAAUAACAUUUCAAUCGUUCAAUCAUUGAAAACUUCUCAAUCAUUUAGGCCGAGUGCGAUAAAGUACACACUCGCCUAGAAAACGCAUUUUAGCAAUCAUUGAAAACAUUUAACAUGUUAUCAAUCAUUCAUACAAGCCAUAUAACCAUGAAACAUAACAAACAAGAAACACUCACCUAUACACGCAAAAUAACGUCAACUUCUCAAUCACCAAUGAAACCUAAAAUUAAACAAAGAACACAUUACAAUCCAUCUAGCAUGCUUUAGAUGCAAUCAAGAAUUACCCGACUACUCGCGAGUAAACGUAUAAAAAUGACUGUUAAAGUGUAAAGAGGGUAUUUGGAUCCAUGGACGGGAAUAACUAGGGUUCAUAAACCAACCGUGAAACCAAACUCAAAAGGUUAUGAAAUUUCCGACAGAAAACACUUUAACCAUCGACAAAUCGAAAUCCAAUAAGGUAAGCUAAAAAGUAUUAUUUCCGGAAUCGUUUAUGUGGGUCAAAAUCAAUAGACUAUAUGCCUUGAUGAAAAUCAUGAAAAGGUGGCAAAACUACCUCACUUUCACCCUUAAAACUUCACUUAAAAGUUAUUCACUUGUGGCCGAGAGAACCCGAGGUCAACCUCUAUAUUUUGAUAAACAGUAAGUAAACGUUUGGAGUUUCAAACCAAAGAGGUAUUAGGUUUUAGAAUGGUAAAAUGAUCACUUUAUUUGCCAAGCGGAAAUAUACAAGUUCAAAUAGAAAUUUAGUCCUUGAGUGAAAAUUUGGGCAGCACGCCCUUUGUAUUUACCUAUUUUCAGUCAUUUAUGGCUUCAUUGUUUUCCCCAAUCAAUCCCAACAUUACACACAACAUAAACAACCACUCAAUAUGCUCAAGACAAAACAAGGAUAAAAUUUUAAGCUAACAACAAGUGUGGAAACGAAGUUUACAAAAGACAGUUUUGACGGGUUUUUGCGGAAUGGCCACAUCCGAGGCUACGCUUAUCGGAUUGAGAUGCAACUUAUAUCAUUUCGAAGCUAAGACAGGGGGAUACAAGGUUGAAGAAGACCACUCAGUCCAGUUUGCAAUGUAUCUAGGUCAAAUUUACCAAAACAACUCCAGAUUUUCCAAUUCGAAGUUUACUAUGGCAGUCCUGACUCAUUCAGUCAUAUCUCAGAAUAUACAACUCCAAUUCAAGUGAUUCUAAAACCAUUUGAAAGCUAAUAUACAAGGCUAUAAGUCUUAAGAAGACAUAAACAGCCAAAUCAGUAGUGUUCCUGGUCAAAACAACUAAUUACAGAAGCUAUUUAGUAUGUUCGGAUAGAAACAGGGCAGUAGGGGUAUUUUGGUCUUUUCACAGGGUACGUUGCUCCGAUUUAGCUGAAAUUUUGUAGGCAUCCAUAAAAUAUUAUUAUAUACAACUUUCAUGUUUUGUAAUAAGUCCAAUUCGGCCUCUAACAUUGUCAAACAGAAACGGACAGAACUGGAACCUAGAAUUUCAGAAAUCUGGAUUCCAAGCAUAUAAGUACUAAUCCUCGCAAAUUGAACUUGAAACACCGCUACUACCUCCUAUACAUGCUUAUAUACAUCAUAUGUCAUCCAUACAACAAAUAUGAGAAAGAAAUUAUUCAAACCCUGACUUAAAUACAUCAACCCCAAUCAUCCAAAUCCACUUGAUAUAAGCAUAACAAGCAAAAUUACAUGCUACUACACAACUCAAACAUGGUGAAGGGAAAAGAAAAGUUAGUCAGCCAUUAUACCUCAAGACAAGAGCUUUCAAGAGUUAUCCUUCACUUCUCUUGGCAAAAUUUAGCUACUUAAGCUUCCCAAGCUUCCAAACUAAUGAUUAAUCGGUUUAGUUUUUCUUGUUUUCACUCAUUCAAGCUCAAACCAAGAUUGAUUGAAGUUUCCUUUUCUCUUGUUUUUCCUCCCUCAAUUCACGGCUGAUAUGCAGAAAUAAUGGAGGAAAUAGGUUGGUUUUUUGGUGAUAAAUAUGGUGUAAAUUAAUUAGUCAACCAUCCAAUGAAAUACCGCCACUUGUCGCCACCAAUUCCAUUCCUUUUUUCCCUUUUCUCUCUUGGUAUUUAAAGUCAACAAUUGUGGCUGAUGUAUGAGAUAUUUUGAGAGUUAAUUAGCUGUAAUAAAAUAAGAAGAUUAAGGUAAUAAAGUAGGGAUCAAGUGGUGUGUUCAAUCGGUAGUGAUCGAUACCUGUCGGUUCGGGCCGUUUUUUUCUUAAAUCGCGUAUACUAGGGUUUUAACUUAUAAUUCACUAACUUAUUAUUAUCAUCUCUAAUUUCACACUUAAUAUCAUCUAAAAUUCACUUUUAAUCACCAAAUUGGAUCCACACUUCGUACCAGAUAGUCGCACUACGGAUAGGCGUAAAACCCUAAUUCGUGCUAACUUAAAAACGGACAAUGAAAACCCUUACUUCUAUGUUCAUUUACACUUAUUGUGGGUGAUUGGGUAGUAGGCUAUUAUAAACUAAUAGUUUCCAAAUAAAAGGAUAUUUUUAAGAAAAGUGAGGGUUUUACAAUUCCACACAUUGAAUUUAGGGUUUCGGUUGAAAUAUGAGAAAUUUGAGAAAAUGGUCAAUCACAAAUGAAACUGGGGUUUCGAUUAAACUUUUAGGGUUUCUAGUCUUUUAAAAUAAAAAAAAGGUUUUAAAUCAACCCAAAGAAAUAAUUUUAGUUUCUUCUUUAGAAUAAAAUAAUGUUUUUAAAAUAAAAAUAAACUAAAGAAACUGUAAUAUCCUCUUUGAGACUAAUCAAAAGAUGAUCCUAAAAGUUGGGGUAUCACAAUCUCCCCUCCUUCAAAGAAUGUCGUCCUCGACAUUUUUUUCAAAAGGUGAUUUUGUAGGUAAUACAGUAAUUUGACUAAAACAACAAGAUAUAACACACCAAAUACACAAGGAGACAUAUACACAAUAUAAUGCACCAUAUACACCAAGAGACAUUUCAAGUUAGGUAAAGUCAAGUGCAGUAAGUACUAUAGGUGUAGGCAUUAUCAUGCCACAAGUAAAUGACGUGUAAGGACAAUGCAAGGGCAAAACGAAAGAAAACACGACUUGUCGUCCCACAUUCAGCUAAGAUGACCCCGUCCGGUCUCUCACGUCACUCACUAUCCAAACUAGAUGUCCAUUGACCACUUGUGCUCAUUCUAGUCAGACAAAGCCUGUUCAUUUCCCUAAAUGCAAGUCUCAAAUACUGAGCAUCGCCUCAACGCUAGAGUACUAGGGCACGAGAAUCCGAAAUAAGAUAAUUCACAUCUCAAGCGGGCCAGUCCCAAGAGUAAACUAUCUACAAUCGAAAUUCCUACCCGACGUACCUAUCUAUGAUCCUCAAAUACCAUGAAAAAGAUUAAAGGUCCAUAACAUUCGCAAUUCAUAGCUUAUGCUCGACCGAACACUUAGUCCUUCAUAUUUAUUCACCAUUUAGUCCAGGCUCACUCCUCGCAGAGACCACGCGAAGCAGCUAUAUGUUUUAUCCCUCAAUUGCCUAACUUUCAAAUCAAAUCAAAUCCCACAGUCCGGCAUCCUAAACUUUAGCCUAGGAUACACUACAGAGAUCUGAAUCCUAGGCUCUGAUACCACCUGUGACAGCCCCACCUCCCCCUAAGGCGAACCAAAGGGUUCAGCGGACCGCCUGCCCAGCUCUCGCCGGGACUCAGUCGUUCACUCAAACGAAUCAAAAAUAAAACCUCAAGAAGAGUAAAACAAGGAUCCAGUUCAUUACAGUCCUUAAUCAAGACCCGAAUCCAAUCACAGGAAUAAAUAGUACGAGAAGUCAAAACUUAAAGCGGAACUUAUAUACAUUGCUAUCUCAAGAGGAAGUACAACCAUCAAAUAUACCGAGAUUCUCAAUUCACCAUACAACCAGCCCGUGCCAACCACUAGGGCAAGAACCAUUACAACAGAAAACCAAGAGCUAGACCAAGCUAGUCUAUACAGGCUCUUGUCCUUGCUCGCCUACCCCUGUUAAGAAAAACAAAACUAAAGGGAUGAGCUGGAAAGCCCAGUGAGGUUCCGAUCACAUAGGCAAACAAGAAGUUCAAUGCAUUCAUUACACGUAGCCAAUAAUUCAAGAUACAAAGAUAAGAUAAAGCAAUAAACACAUUCAUUAAAAGGAUACGGGCUCACAAGAAGCCAUUCGUUCAUUCAUUCCUUAUACCUUCAAUCAUUUGAAAAUGCAUUUUGUAUAAGUAAAACCCUUCGUUCAUUCAUUCGUUUAUUCAUUCAUUCACCCCAUCCUGGACAUUGUCCAGGCUCCACCAACCUCCACCAACCUACAAGGUAAUACUCGAGUAUACCAAAACAUUCACCCAGGUCCCUAAUCGCCGACCGAGUCCGCAUCUGACUCGAGACGACUGGUAACAAGGGGCAGUGGCCAAUUCAGCCAAAAGGCUUACAUUCAUGCACAAAUAACAUUUCAAUCGUUCAAUCAUUGAAAACUUCUUAAUCAUUUAGGCCGAGUGCGAUAAAGUACACACUCGCCUAAAAAACGCGUUUUAGCAAUCAUUGAAAACAUUUAACAUGUUAUCAAUCAUUCAUACAAGCCAUAUAACCAUGAAACAUAACAAACAAGAAACACUCACCUAUACACGCAAAAUAACGUCCACUUCUCAAUCACCAAUGAAACCUAAAAUUAAACAAAGAACACAUUACAAUCCAUCUAGCAUGCUUUAGAUGCAAUCAAGAAUUACCCGACUACUCGCGAGUAAACGUAUAAAAAUGACUUUUAAAGUGUAAAGAGGGUAUUUGGAUCCGUGGACGGGAAUAACUAGGGUUCAUAAACCAACCGUGAAACCAAACUCAAAAGGUUAUGAAAUUUCCGACAGAAAACACUUUAACCAUCGACAAAUCAAAAUCCAAUAAGGUAAGCUAAGAAGUAUUGUUUCCGGAAUCGUUUAUGUGGCUCAAAAUCAAUAGACUAUAUGCCUUGAUGAAAAUCAUGAAAAGGUUGCAAAACUACCUCACUUUCACCCUUAAAACUUCACUUAAAAGUUAUUCACUUGUGGCCGAGAGAACCUGAGGUCAACCUCUAUAUUUUGGUAAACAGUAAGUAAACGUUUGGAGUUUCAAACUAAAGAGGUAUUAGGUUUUAGAAUGGUAAAAUGAUCACUUUAUUUGCCAUGCGGAAAUAUACAGGUUCAAAUAGAAAUUUAGUCCUUGAGCGAAAAUUUGGGCAGCACGCCCUUUGUAUUUACCUAUUUUUCAGUCAUUUAUGGCUUCAUUGUUUUCCCCAAUCAAUCCCAACAUUACACACAACAUAAACAACCACUCAAUAUGCUCAAGACAAUACAAGGAUAAAAUUUUAAGCUAACAACAAGUGUGGAAACGAAGUUUACAAAAGACAGUUUUGACGGGUUUUUGCGGAAUGGCCACAUCCGAGGCUACGCUUAUCGGAUUGAGGUGCAACUUAUAUCAUUUCAAAGAUAAGACAGGGGGAUACAAGGUUGAAGAAGGCCACUCAGUCCAGUUUGCAAUGUAUCUAGGUCAAAUUUACCAAAACAACUCCAGAUUUUCCAAUUCGAAGUUUAUUAUGGCAGUCCUGACUCAUUCAGUCAUAUCUCAGAAUAUACAACUCCAAUUCAAGUGAUUCUAAAGCCAUUUGAAAGCUAAUAUACAAGGCUAUAAGUCUUAAGAAGACAUCAACAGCCAAAUCAGUAGUGUUCCUGGUCAAAACAACUAAUUACAGAAGCUGUUUAGUAUGUUCGGAUAGAAACAGGGCAGUAGGAAUAUUUUGGUCUUUUCAUGGUUACGUUGAUCCGAUUGUGCUGAAAUUUUGUAGGCAACUAUAAAAUAUUAUUAUCUACAACUUUCAUAUUUUGUGUUAAGUCCAAUUCGGCCUCUAACAUUGUCAAACAGAAACGGACAGAACUGGAACCUAGAAUUUCAGAAAUCUGGAUUCCAAGCAUAUAAGUACUAAUCCUCGCAAAUUGAACUUGAAACACCGCUACUACCUCCUAUACAUGCUUAUAUACAUCAUAUGUCAUCCAUACAACAAAUAUGAGAAAGAAAUUAUUCAAACCCUGACUUAAAUACAUCAACCCCAAUCAUCCAAAUCCACUUGAUAUAAGCAUAACAAGCAAAAUUACAUGCUACUACACAACUCAAACAUGGUGAAGGGAAAAGAAAAGUUAGUCAGCCAUUAUACCUCAAGACAAGAGCUUUCAAGAGUUAUCCUUCACUUCUCUUGGCAAAAUUUAGCUCCUUAAGCUUCCCAAGCUUCCAAACUAAUGAUUAAUCGAUUUAGUUUUUCUUGUUUUCACUCAUUCAAGCUCAAACCAAGAUUGAUUGAAGUUUCCUUUUCUCUUGUUUUUCCUCCCUCAACUCAUGGCUGAUAUGCAGAAAUAAUGGAGGAAAUAGGUUGGUUUUUGGUGAUAAAUAUGGUGUAAAUUAGUUAGUCAACCAUCCAAUGAAAUACCGCCACUUGUCGCCACCAAUUCCAUUCCUUUUUUCCCUUUUCUCUCUUGGUAUUUAAAGUCAACAAUUGUGGCUGAUGUAUGAGAUAUUUUGAGGGUUAAUUAGCUGUAAUAAAAUAAGAAGAUUAAGGUAAUAAAGUAGGGAUCAAGUGGUGUGUUCAAUCGGUAGUGAUCGAUACCCGUCGGUUCGGGCCGUUUUUUUCUUAAAUCGCGUAUACUAGGGUUUUAACUUAUAAUUCACUAACUUAUUAUUAUCAUCUCUAAUUUCACAUUUAAUAUCAUCUAAAAUUCACUUUUAAUCACCAAAUUGGAUCCACACUUCAUACCGGAUAGUUGCACUACGGAUAGGCGUAAAACCCUAAUUCGUGCUAACUUAAAAACGGACAACGAAAACCCUUACUUCUAUAUUCAUUUACACUUAUUGUGGGGUGAUUGGGUAGUAGGGCUGUUAUAAACUAAUAGUUUCCAAAUAAAAGGGCAUUUUUAAGAAAAGUGAGGGUUUUACAAUUCCACACAUUGAAUUUAGGGUUUCGGUUGAAAUAUGAGAAAUUUGAGAAAAUGGUCAAUCACAAAUGAAACUAGGGUUUCGAUUAAACUUUUAGGGUUUCUAGUCUUUUAAAAUAAAACAAAGGUUUUAAAUCAACCCAAAGAAAUAACUUUAGUUUCUUCUUUAGAACAAAAUAAUGUUUUUAAAAUAAAAAUAAACUAAAGAAACUGUAAUAUCCUCUUUGAGACUAAUCAAAAGAUGAUCCUAAAAGUUGGGGUAUCACAUUUUAACUAUUUUUAUAGCUAAUUAGCUAGAAUUCUAGUGAAAAUAUGCAUUUUGUGGUAUAAGUAGUAAAAAUUGCAUUUCUAUGGAUUUUUAUGGUGAAAACUUCAUGUUUUUGUAGGUUUAAUUAUUCAAUCAUUAAUUGGAGUGAUUUGAGAAGAUAAUUGGAUGAUUGAUGAUGGUUUGAAGUGAUAAAAAAAGAAUAUGAAGUGCAAAAAAGGAAAUGCAAUCAAGAAUAAAAGGAAUCAAGUUUCACAAUUUUGACAUCUUGUGGUAUAUUGACAAUAUCUUGAGCUACAAGCAUCGGAUUGAGGUGAUCUAUGAAUCAUGUUGAAGCUAAGAGAUAUGUCUACAUUUGGUGUGAAAACAUCAAAAUCCAGUUCAAUCAUUUUCCUUGUUUGAAAGUCGAAAUACAGAAAUGCAUUUUCAUGGCUAAAAGCUGAAACAGAGUUCUGACCAAUUAAGGGUAUUGGCCCACAGGGCUUCAAAUUAGAUGAUUCUUCAUGCAUUGGAAAACUAAUUCAAAGGGUUACAACUUUUGUGUUUUGCAUAAGAUUUCGUUCAACCUCCAUUAUCAAGAAAAGAUCAGUGAAAGUUGGGAAAAAUAAAGCACGUAAAUCCAAAUUCAGAUAUGUACUAAACCCGACCUUGGAUAAACUUCCGUAAUCAGAGGCUACAUCCGAGAAGAGGAUCCGAGCUUGGAUCCCCAUGUUACAGGUCUCGGAUCCUAAUGUGCAGUGAAGAUAAAAAUAAAGAAAAAUGAGACCCGAGGGGUAUUUCGAGCGAUCCAACCUCGGAUCCUCAAUUUCGGCUCUGCAACUUGUACUCUGUUCACACAAGCUUUUUGACCAAUUUAUCUGUAAGAAAUCUAGCUGGAAUUGAGCAAGCAGGUAUAAAGAAUUCAAGAAGCAUCUUUUGAUGAUUCCAAAGAGCAAUUUACAUCAACUUUAACAGCUCACCUUGAACUUGAAUUCUUCUAUAAAUAGAGGCAUUGGAGGACAUUUUCACAACUUUGGAAGACUAAAGAAACUCAUCAAAAAUGUAGUAUUCACUAGAGUUUCCUUAGUCCAUUAGUUAGGUUAAUAUAUUAUAGAAUAGUUUAGGAAGUUAUGUGUGUUAUCCACUCUUGUGUAUUGGCUAGAUUAGGAUGAAGAUGGAAAUGAAGAAGGAGGAGAUAAAGCUCAUGUGACAAGGGUUAUCUCUUCUCCAACUCUUUAUCUUUUGUAUUGGAUUCUUAAGUAUGGUUAAUAUGCAAGUUUUGGAUUUGUGUUUCAAUAUGUUUUUCUCAAAUUUAUGCCUAGAAUUAUAGAUGAAUUUGCUAUAUCUUGUUAGUGAUAUUUACUUGGUUAUUCGAUGAUAUUAUUUUGAGUAAGUUAUUUAUCACUUUUACUUAUCUAAUCAUGAUUAACUGUCCAUUAAUUAUGAUAAUCUUAAGGUGUUAUAUUUGCAAUGAAAAUUAUAAUUUAACACUAGUUCAAAGAAGUGAUGAAUCUAGGGAGUACACUUACGAAAGUAGAGAUACACCUUUGUGAUUUUGGUGACUUGUUUCAUGUAAUUUCAUAAAAGGAAUGAGCUUGUAAUUAGUUUCAUAACCACGAAAGUAGGUAUGAAUUAACUAUAGGUAUAGUUGGUACACCGAUGAAAGCGGGUAUCACGUGCAUUAGGAAAUUACGCCAUAACUAAUCAAGAUAAUGGCAUUCGAGUAACCGUUAAUGUCAUUUGCAAGAGUAGUUAGGAAUUCCAUACAUUUAGGGGCUUUUUAUUGUUAUUUUUAUUACUUUUAUUUGUUUUUUAUAGUGUAGAUUUAAUUUCUUGCACUUAUGACAGUUUAAAUAAUAAAAGAGUUUGAAAAUCGUCGGUAAUUGACAAUCUUUCCUAUGAGAUGGAUACCUAAUAUCCCUAUACUCAAUAAACGAUUCGUAUACAUGCGAAAAAUUGCGUGUGGGGUAUUUAGGAAUUAUAAAUGUAAAACUUGACUGUAGAAUGAGUUAAUUGAUAUAUGUAGACCCCGCACUCGUCAGCUAAUAUUGAAAUGCAAUAAAUCUAAUUAUGAGGAAGAAAGGUAUUUUGGGCAAAUAGAAAAUAAAAGGUAUUUUGGGCAAAUAGAAAAUAAAAACCAAAUCCUGUUUAGUCUCUAAUGCUUAACAUUUUAUUUUGUCAUCAACUAUUAUUUUCCCUUAAAUCAAUAGCUAUGACAUAAUGAAUUUUAAUCAUCAUAAUAAAUUUAAAACUAAAAAUGCAUAAUAUAAAACUUCAAUGAUCAAUUAAUAAGGGUAUAAUUGAAUUAAUAAAAAUUAAGAUCACAAUAAUGCUUACACUUACACUCCAAAGUACCAAAAUUCAUGUUAUGUUUUAUAUAGUAAUAUUAAUAAUGAACCAUUAUUUUCUCCUAAAUCAAUAGAUGUUAUAUAAUGAAUUUUAAUCAUCAUAAUAAAUUUAAAAGAGCACAAUAUGAAACUUCAAUCAUCAAUUAAUAAGGGCAUAAUUGACAUAACAAAAACUAAGAUCACAAUAAUGCUUACAUUUACACUCUAAAGUAUUAAGACUCGUAAUACCUUUUAUAUAGUAAUGCUUCCUCAAUAUGAAGUUAUAUGCACCAUUUUUUGAAAAAAUGAAGAUAUAUAUAUAUAUAUAUAUAUAGCCUUUGAAGUUGAACUCUUUGUAUUAUUUUGUGAGGUAUUUCUAUUGUAGACACCAAAUUUUGAAUUGAUUUAUAUGCUUCGUUUUAGUGAUAAGUCUUGUCUAUUGAUUUUUGUUUAUCUCAUGAUUUUUGUUUUAAAUGGUUUGCAUUUUGUUUUGCCCCUUUAGAUGUUAUUUUAUUUUAUUUUUAGUUUUAUUUACUUUUUAGUUUUUUAGUUUUUGUUUUUUAAGUUUUAGCGUAGAAAAUCAUGAAAAAUGAAAAAAGGAAAAAUCAUGAAAAAAGAGGAAAAAGGAAAAGAAAAAUAGCAUUUUUGUUUUUAUUUAUCUAUUUUAGUCAUUUCUACUUAAUUUAAAUUUUGUUUUUGUUUGGUUCAUUUAGAAAAAAAAAAGGAAAAAAAAAAAAGAAAAAAUGAUGAAAAUGGAAAAUGAAAAAAAAUUGCAUUUUGUUGUUUCUAGUUUGUUUAUUUUAUCCAAUGUUAAUUAAGUGGGUUUUGUUAUUAUUAUUGUUAUUAUUAUUAUCAUUUUGGUUUUGUUAAAUAUCUUUUGAAAAAAAAAAAAAAAAAAAGCUGCGUGCAUGCAAGCUGCAUUUUUGCAGCUUGCAAAGGAACUUUGAGGCAGCUCCUUAGCUGCAAAUACAGAGGAAGUUGUUAAGGGUUUAGGAGGGGGGCUCCCAUAUAAAUAGAAAAAGAGGAUUCAGCCGCAAGAGGGGUGACGGGAAAAAGAGAGAAGAAAGAAACGGCAAAGGAGAGUGACGGCUAAGGGAAAAAGAAAAAAAAAAGGAAAAAAGGAGCGGCAGACAGAACGAGUGAGAGGCUAAAAGGAAGGAGGUAGCACCUGGGUUUCUGGGGGGAGAGUUAGGAGAAUCCAAGAAGAAGAGACUGAGAGGGUGGAGGUCUACGGGGUUUGAGAGCGAAGGAUUUGGCAGCGGCUAAGCCUGGAGGGACCGAGGAACUGGACAGAAAGAAGGAGAGCAUCAGGGGCUUGGCUACGUGAAACUGAAGAUUAAGUGAAGCUGGGCAAGAAUUUGUCUUCUGAUCAUCGCACACUUCAGUCCGCCUUUUAGAAGAUUAAAGGUAGUACCUUUCAUUUUAUUUCCCUGUCCGUAGAUUACAAGAGUCUUGUUAGAAAUGUUGAAAUGUUGUUGCGAUGCCGGCUGCUAUUGUUUGAAUCAAAAUCUGGUUUUGUAUGAUGGAUAGUGAAGAAAGUUGCGGCUGGAAAAUUGCAGAAUGCAUGAGUUUCUUUGCAUUUUUUGAGUGAGGUUCUUCUAUGUUUUGUUUUGUUUAAGUGAUAAGGUUCUAUACUUGGUUGUUUAGCCUAGAGUCUUGAUGUUUGGUGGGUGAAGUUCUCCUAAAAAAUUAAGCUUGUGGAUUGAACUUUAUGUUUGGAAUUUGAAUUUGCAGCAGAUUUAUGAUCAUACGACCCCUCUCUGCCCAGAUUUUCCUUUCCUUUGCAUGACAUGAGUUUGUAACAUUGAAUGAGGGCCUGAAAUUUAGUCUUGUUGCCAGCCAUUUGUCAUGAAAUGCGGCGUGAAUCUCAGGAAAAUUAGAAUUGUAGGAACUUGUGUCUAUGUCUUCAUUGCACAACUAUGAGCUGCAUUUGUUUUGGAGCAGUAAAAACAAAAAAAAAAAAACUCUCGCAUUCCCUUUUCCCUUGCUGAUCGGACAAUCUAAAUGUGUAACUUCAAUUCGGCAACAAGAGCAUGCUUUUCAUUUAGCCGAUAGUGUGAGGCUUUGAUAUUUGCUAUAGUGGAAUGGACAGAAAUGUCGUGGCUGAAAAUUGCAGCAAAGUUUAUGUUUUUCUUCAGAUUUGCAUGAUGCCUUUUCAAGUUUCUUUGUUUGUUUGGCUUGGGAUAAUUGUGUUUAUCUGAUUAAGGUUUAAAUGUUUUGGUUGAAAGCUUUUGGAUCAAAAGUUGUGUUUGAGAUGGAAGGUGGGUGUGCAAAUAUGACUUGCGGCUAUGUUUUCUUAGUUGCAGAAAGUUUUUCAAUAGUAAUUCUUGUUGCAGAAAUUUCUCUCGUAUGCAUGCAUGAAGUAAAUGUUAUAAAAAUUACUUUUGGCCCCCCAAGUCUCCCCUUAAGCCACUAAGGCCCAAAAACUUUGGAAAUUUAAUCAAUUGGAUCCCUUGUAUUUUUGCAGCAAUGCAUUAUGGCCCAAUUACAUUCCAUGUUCUUGCAAUUAGGUUCUAAGGUGUUUUCAUUUGAAUCAUUAAUUGAUCUUUAUUAUUUUUGGGACCUUUGAAACUCUUUUUGACGUUGAUUGUGAUUGAUUAGUGGUCAUUUUGGGUCCUAGAAAUGCAAGUUUGAACCAUUCAUGGACCUUCAUUCACUCUUGGAUUCUUGAGAUAUGAUGUUUGCUUGGACUUUAUUAUUUACUUGGGGACCUUUGAGUUCUUAAAUGCCUCAAUUAGGUUCAAAUGAUUGAGUAGUGCUUGCUUUUGGGUCUUUAGUAGAUGUUAUGCUUGGGGAUUGGAUGAUCAUGCCUUUUGCUUUGGUCUUUAAGUAGUUUUGACUUCAUUGAGUUGCAAUUGAGGGAAAGUUUGAUGUUUUGGUGGAUUCAAAUUGUUUAGUUUAUAUCUUCUCACUAAAUUGGUGCACUAACCUUUUGUUUUUGGUGAUUUUAGCCUAAGUUAGUCUUUUCUUGGGUGACUCUAGCCAAGUUGAGUUUGUUUACUUCCUUAGUAUCACCAACGGGGAGGUAUAAUCUCUUUUACCCCUUUUGUUUCUCUCCUAUGUGGACUAAUGUGCUAAUUGAAAUUUGCAUGUCUACUUGCUUUCCUAGCCUUUCCUUAUUUCCUUUCAUUUAUUUCAUUUACUUUUGAUUUUUAUUAAUGGGGUAUGUGUAUACCUCUUGGCUUGUAAUAGAUAGGGCGUAGCAAGUAAUUUGGUCCAUUUUCCCUUUCCCCUUUGUUUUAGUUAGCAAAUGUAAUGGUUGCAUGCCUAUGUGUUAUAUGUUAAAUGCUUUAUUAGGAUCUUGCAUCUAGUCGAGCAUGAUAAGUGCUACAUGAUUUAGGUGAUUUGCAUGUCUACUUGCUUUUUGUAGUAUAGAUGAAUGGAAUGGAUGAAUGUACGUCACCACACUAGUCCAACGCUAGUUGUGGCUUCUUUUAUCGUUUCCACUAGUCCAACGCUAGUCGGAAUUCAUAGAAUGGGCUAGUCCAAUGCUAGACCCAAUAGGUUCUUUUUUCCCUUUUUCAUUAAGUGCAUGAUCACCACAUAUCACGCAUUUUUCUUUAGUUUUAUCAUUUGGGCAUGUUCCUCGAAUCCCUUUCCCCCUCACUUUAGGUUUUGCAUCUAAUGCUAGCUAUAGGGUUCAUUUUGCUUGAGUGUCCCCUCCGAUAAGGGAAACGAGCGAGUGUGGCUACUCGAUAGCCUUAGCACGCUAGUUUUGCCUUCUAAAUCAAAGGGAAAAUCGAAGUCGAAAAAGUUAGGAGUCAUUCCCAUACCCGACUGAUGCAUUCCUUUAGAUUCAUUCAUUCUCAUUUUUCACUUACUCACUUUUUCAAUUCACAUUUCCUCAUUACUUUUCCUUUCCUUAUUGUUCAAUUUUGGUUUCUACUUCACAAAAAUUGCACUUAAUUACGAUCUAUAUACACUUAUCACUAUAUUUCAUACACUUGCACACAAACACUUGGAUUUCCAUACAAUUGCACACAUGCACCUUUUUAUACACUUGCACACUUGAAUUUGAACUCUCAUUUGCAUUAAUCGACCUCUAUAAGGUUUUCUUUCAUUGGCCGCCACAAUUCAUGUGGUUGGGACCAAAAACCUUACAAGAGACAUCUUAGAAUCUAGGGUUUUGCAUUUCAUGUAGCACAUCCAAAUGUAAUAAAUUCUUUGGUUAAAACAAGAAAAUCUUUGAUUAAAUCACGCCACUAGCCUUGGCUAGGUCAAAGGGGUGCCUUGGAUUCUAUCCUUGCCUUCCCCUUUGUCAAACGUGACUCCCGAACCUUUUUCUUUGGCUUACGUGGACUAGGAGUCGUUUUUUUAAAAGGGUUUUACUACUUUGUCUUUAAAAAUUUAUUUUUUAGGUGACUUGGUACACCUUAAUCAUUACCAAGUGGCGACUCCAAUUUCUUAUUCAAAACCCUUUUUAAAAAAACUAUUUUUUGGGUCAAAUCGUCGCUUUUUCAAAGUCCCAUAUUAGACCCAUAUCUUUUUCAAUUCACAAAAAAUCAUUUUCCAAUCAAAAUUGAAUCAAAAAACAUCUUCCUCAAACAAUUUAUUUAUUUAUCAAAAAAUGGGGCGCGACAGUUGGCGACUCCACUGGGGAACAUUCGAGAGUCCGAGCAAAUUUGAUUUAAUCAACCUUUUUCUUCUUUUAAUCUUUUCAUAUAUCACAUUUGGGUGUUUAGGAUUGCAUUUUUCCUUUUAUUAGGAUUUUUGCAUUUCACACGUACCAACUCCCUCACUUACUCAUUUGGCGUACGAUUGUUUUGAUUGAUGAAUGGUUUAUGUACGUGAUUCCGCGCUUUGCAUUGCAUUUGGGUGGGGGACAUCACCUUAGAGCCUCGCGUUGGUUCUUGAUCCCUCCCCUCCAAACGAGCACUAGCAUACGUGCAUACGCUUUAAUUUUUCACCCUCCAUUUAUUUUUCUUUUAGUGGCUUGUCACGCCACUCCACCCUGUUAGGAUUUUAGGCGACCUACUUGGACGUGUGAUCGUGACACGACGUGUGCGUAGCACGAUCCGAGGGGUCACUUAAUCUUCCGCUUUAAGCUUUGGUUAAUAGCCUAUAGCUUUUAGUCGAAGAUUGAGAAUUUUGAUAGAUUCACUCAGACAUGUGGCCGUGACACGACGUGUGCGUAGCAAUGUCUGGGGAAUCGCUCGAGCCAUCGACAAGGAACCUUGGGAGUGAUGACCUUUGGUUUCCAAGUCUGAAGGCUCGGGGACCUGAGCUUAUCGAGUCUAGAUGCAUUAGCGAACCCCAGCCUCAUGCAUCCAUAUUAGAAUUGCCUAGGGUAGAGUCGACCUCACCCUAAAUUAGGAACACCAUUCACGAAGGGGAGAUCCCACCCCUUUCCUUAUAUAUUUUUGUUGCUUUUUAAUUGUCCAACGUGUUAUGUGGUUAUCUGUUAUGAACUAACGUUUCCUUGUUUCUUAUCUUUUACAUUCACAAACGUUAGGAAGUAAGAGGUCUGGCAUGACCUCCUUUUAGGACCUACCCUUGUAAAUAGGCUAUCGCACGUUUGAAAAUUGUGAUGCAUUUUGUUCAUAAAUUCAUAAUGCCAUACCAUUUUAGGCCUACCUUGGCAGAUAAAGGGUUCCUUAGGUCACGUUUCGUUUCGAAUUGCAUAUUUUCUUGCUUUAAUAAAUGGCAUCAUGCAUCAACCCUAGAAAGGGAAUGCCAUUUAGGGGAUCCCGUGUUAGGAAUAAACCACCUUGUGUCUCGGAUACUUAAUUCAAGGAGACUUGCACGUUUACAUUUUGUAUCAUCCAAAGGGGUAGUGCACAAGGUAAGGUAGAAUCCGAUCAUUUUCAUAGAGUGAUCUUUGGAAUAUGAGCAUCUAAUAAUCACUUUUUGGCCAUUUUAUCAAAAAUUGGUAAAAAUUCCUUGCGUGAAGGACAUUAAUUUGAAGAAAUUCACAAAUGUUUCCUCCUAUUGAGACGAUAAAUCAAAUGAGGCCAAAAUUUGAUUUUAGAAGGCUCAUAGGCUAAUGCAUCGUAAUAAGGUUUUUUGAAACUACCAGUGGAUGGCUUGAUUUUUAAUAAGCUCCUAAUUCCAUCCAAUCCACUGGACCAUUUCAUUCAUCAAUUUCAUCCAGUCUAUUUUUAUCAAUUUGCCUUCAAUUCAUUUGACCAAUUUCCCCUUUUUAGGGUCACCUGGUCGAUUUUGAAUAAAUCGUCAAUUCAUUUGACCAAUUUACCCUUUUAAGGGUCAUUUGACCAAUUUACCCUUUUUAGGGUCAUUUGACCAAUUUACCCUUUUUAGGGUCACCUGGUCGAUUUUGAAUAAAUCGUCAAUUCAUUUGACCAAUUUACUCUUUUUAGGGUCAUUUGACCAAUUUACCCUUUUUAGGGUCACCUGGUCGAUUUUGAAUAAAUCGUCAAUUCAUUUGACCAAUUUACCAUUUUUAGGGUCAUUCGGCCGAUUUUUGAAUAAAUCACUAAUUCAAUUUCAUUCAUUUGGCCAAUUUACCCAUUUUUAGGGCAAUCGAGCCGAUUUUGAAUAAAUCAAGUUUCGUUCAAUCUAUUUGAUCAAUUUACCCUUUUUAGGGUGAUCUGAUUAAUUUUGGAUAAAUUAAAUUUCAUUCAAAUCAUUUGACCUAUUUCCCUUUUUAGGGUAACCCGGUUGAUUUUUAAUAAAUUGUCAAUCCCGUUUGACCAAUUAGGGUUUCAAUGUCAAUUUCAAAUGGGGAAACCUAGUCGAUUUUGAGAAAACCAUCCAGACAUUUGAUCAGUUGGGGUUUGGACCCGUACUUCACUGAGAAAAUUUUGUCAAACAAAUUCCAAUCUCUUCGAUAGGAAGUUCGUCAAAGUCAAACCCGUGCGUUUUUGCAAACUCUUGUAUCGAUCAAAAGUGAUCAAUCCAUUUGGACGUUGACAUCAUUUGACAAAUGUCUCUCGUCCCUCCAAUUGAUCAAAUUUUUCAAAAUUAUUUUUCACUUAAAUGAGUUGAUCAGAUCCAUCAGGUAUGGUAUAGUGCCUGCUCUGGAGGAUUGCAUUUUCAUGCUAGGCCUACCCUUGGCACAAAAAGGGUUCCCCCAUAGGACAUGCAUCCAAAUUUUUGGAUAUUUACUAACUCUCUUGUAUUUUUGUUUUCCUUUUCUUUGUUUUUUAUUGGAAUAACUAAGCGAGGGUUGAAUCUAAAGGCAAUUUUUCAAAAAUUCUCAGGUAAUAUUUAAACAUAGCUUCUCGUCGAAGCCCCAUCAUAACACGAUCCCGUAGUCAAGCUCAGAGGAGUCGUGUAAACAUGAGUCCGCAAUCGGAACCAUCAGACAGGUUUGUUACUACCGCCCAGCCUGAGACCACAAGUUUGGGGGUUCAGUUGACUGAGAUGCUCACUAAGUUCGGUGAGAUGACCACUGAGAUGGCGGCCCAGAGGAAAUUAAUCGAUAAGCUUAUCAGCAGUGGAGUUCAACCUGAGCCCGUGCCCGGCAGGCAGCCUGGGCCAGAGCCAUUUGUCAUACCUUCAAUUCAAGCCACUGUUGCUCCAUCUUUCCCUAUUCCAACCGAAGGGACUUUCACAUAUCCCACCAUACAUUUGCCAUACACUUACCCUCCUGAUCCUUCAUUUUUCCCUACUUACAUGCAAGGUCCACAACCCCAACUUACUUCAAACAUACCACCAGAGCUACAUACUUUCUAUCACACUGCUGCUGAGCCAUUCCUACCCGACCAUAUCGUUCAAACCAAGCCAGAAAUGGGGGAAUCUUCCGCUCCCGUUGAUAUAAAGCUGCUCAAACGCCUUGACCGUUUUGAUGAGUUUAUGAGGAGGAGUCAGGGUUUGAACAAACAAGGAGUGCUGGAUUAUGAUGAGUUUUGUCUUUUUCCAAAUGUGCAAUUGCCUGAGGGGUUCAAAACUCCGAAGUUUAACAAGUAUGAUGGGACAGGCAAUCCCAAGACACACCUCCGAUUGUUCGCCAACAAAUUGGGUAGGCCAACAGAUGAUGAAAAUCUGCCUUUGAGGCUAUUCCCAGAAAGUCUGGAGGGGGAUGCACUCGACUGGUAUUCCAAGCUGAAACCCGAAGAGGCAAAGACCUGGUUGGACCUGUCCAAUGCCUUUACAAGGCAAUAUGAGUACAAUUGUGAGCUAGCGCCAACGCGGACCACACUGGAAGGAACAAAAAGAAAACCCUCCGAAGAUCACAAGACUUAUGCCAAGAGGUGGAGGAAAAUAGCUGCAAAAGUCGAGCCACCAAUGACGGAGGACGAAAUCAUACGCACUUUCAUUAAGGCACAUGACCCGCCGUAUUUUGAAGAAAUUUUUCGCAUGACUGAAUGCUCAUUUGCCGCAAUUGUUAAUAAGCUUGAGGAAUAUGAUGAGUUUAUAAGGGCAGGAAAGAUUAUUAACGUGUCGGCUCUGAAAUCGCAAUUGGAAGCGAUGCAGAAUCAAGGCAGCGGUAACAAGAAAUCUCCAUUCAAAAGGAGAGAAGAGGAGGCUUCAUUUGUCUCGAAUCGAGGCCCUGCUCCCCAACCGAGAUACCGACAGAACUCCACCUAUUCACCCCGUUGCCCGUACCAAUCACACUUUCAACCUGUGCACCAUACCACUGGUAACCACCCUCGACCUCGACCAAAUUAUCCAAACACACCUACGACACCAUUUCAUAUUUCUCCACAUAGCUUUCAAACUAGACCGCGCUCUCCUUAUCAUCCAAGACCCACCUUACCCGUCAACCAUAACUACAACUAUCAACAGACCGCUGGCACCCAAGACCCAGCCCGAUAUAGAACUUUUACCAAUUUAGGUCGGCCCUUGGAUCAACUAUAUGAGCAGCUCAAGGCCGCAGGAAAAAUUGGUACAAUACCUCCUAAAGUCUAUGCUAAAGGAGUUCCCCCUGGUUAUAAUCCUCAAUCUUUUUGCGCCUAUCAUUCUGGAGCUCCGGGACAUUCUACUGCUAAUUGUUGGGUACUCAAACACAAAAUUCAGGACAUGAUUGAGGCCGGAGACAUAAUUUUGAGAGGGAGAGAAGAACAAGGACCAAGUAUAAGUACAAACCCCUUUCCCAGACACAAGGACACCUUUGAGGCAUCCACCUCCAAUGACGAAAUUUGAAAAUCCUGAAGGAGCUCUGCACAAUUUGGAUGGCUGAUUAUCCUCCCUCACGAAGGGAAUUUCGAUGAAUCUAGGGGUUGUCAUUUACUAAAAUUCACAAAAACUUUUUCUUGCAUAUGUGAAUAACUUAACGAAAACAUCUUUUGCAAUUGAGUUUUGUCUUGUUUCUGCUUUGAUUUGGAGUUUCAUGAAAUGCACAAUUUGUUUUAUUUGUUUUAUUGUCCUGAAUUUUUGUUAAUUCUUUGAGAUGGCCAAAGAUGAAAUUAUUUGAUCCUUUGAAUAUCACUGUUCUGGAAUCUGAUGUAGCCCUUCAUUGAGAACCCCUCCAUUAAAAUCCCUUCAUUGAGAAAUCUUUUCUUUGAGAGACCCCUUCAGGGAGAAAGCCUUCAUAAAAAAGAAAAGAAAGAAAAAAAAAGCCUUCAUUGAGAAAUUCCUUCAUUGAGAAAAUCCCUUUCCUGCCAGGUUGUAAGCUGAUUGGUUAAAGCAGUGUCAUUAACGAUUGAUUCUGAUUAAUGAAAAGCAGUUGAAUGCUAUGUGCCAUGACCAACAUUGUCAAAACGCAUGACCUAUGUUCAUAACAAAAGGAUCCGCCACCGAUCUUCUGAAAAAGGAAACAAAGUGCUAAAGCGAUGAAAGACGAAGUCGAAGGCAAAUUUGCUUCCAAUUGACAAAGCUUAUUGGGUGUUCAAAGGAGAGAUGGAAGGACGGACAUUCCCUUAACCUAUCAACUUGGACAUGUGUAAGAUGUUCUUUAUUUGAUUAUGCAAAAUCUCUUUUAGGAAAUCAUGCAAGGGGCGAGGCAAAAGUCAGGCCAUCUUCCUUUUCAAUCAAAACAUUUCAUCCCUAGUCAUCCCCUUUGAGCUAUCAGAACAAUAAUUUUCGUUUGGCAGCCCCUGAGAAUUGCAAACCCCACACUGGGGCGAAUUCAUUUUUGAAAAAUGAUCAAAAAGGAAAAAAAACCCCACACUGGGGCAAAUGUAUCUUUGAAAGAGAUAUGGGAAAAAGAAAGAACCCCACACUGGGGCAAAUUUAGUUUUUGAAGAAAAAUACAAGAAAGAAGAAAAUGCAAUGGAAAAUACAAAGAAAGAAAAAUCCAAUCAAGCUGGGGCAAAUUUUCCUCGGUUUCGUUCAAAAAAUUAGAGAUAAUCUCAAAAUGAUGCAAUCUCAGUUUAUUUCACACCUUUCGUCAGACUUGCUUUCAAGCCUCAACUUUUCUUGAAAAACACCCCACCUAACCUCAUUACAAAAGCCCAAAAGUCCUGGCUUUCGUCACUUGCUGCAUUUCUAUUAGGGAUUUUGCUAAUCAACUGGCACGUGAUGUCCAUAAUGCCUUCGUUAAGUCUAUAAGGGAAGCGCAUUUUUACUGAUGCCAGCAAUCUUCAACUUACAUUCCUGGAGUCGACUAUGGUUGAGCUCUUCCAUUAUUUCAUUAGGUGAAAAACCCACAAGGGCACCUCAAGAGAAAAAGGAAAAAAAAGAGAAAAAGAAGAAAAAGAAAGAAAAACCAACAAAAAGGGUGGGGGGCAGCCUUGGUGAAAACCCGAAGGGGCGCCAAGGUAGGUUUCUGCAAUGAGCAAGCACAAAGAGGAACAACUGGUGGUUUGAUCCAUUUAGAUUUCUUCUCAUUUUUGUCAUACCUCUGACAACAUUUAAUUCCGGAGCUAAGAUAUCCAGAGAAUCGAAUAUGACAUCCGUUGGCUAAAGUGUGUCAUUUUGUAAAAACAUUCUUUUGCAAAUACAUUCUUAGGAAACUCAUUUUUUUCAAAUUACUUGCAUUUAUGGCAUUUUUGUAGAAUUUAAGCACAAAUGGUUAUGUGUGCAUUCUGGUGCAUAUUCUUUCUUACAUGACAUGUGAAUUUUCUUGCAUACCUCAUUCUUUAUCAUUGAAUUUUGGUGAAUGACAAUCCCCGUGGUUUAUUGCAAAAAGUAUGCUUGGAUUCAGUCAUCUUUUGGAAAUAGUUGAAAUUCAGCCAAGCCAGCUACACAAACUUCAUAAUAGGGCAAAGCACAUACCUGGUCAGUUUGAAAAUCGGAAGAGUCUUAGGGUGAGAAAUCCAACUCAAUCGGCUGCCGCAGCAAAAGUUGAUAAAAGCGUCGAAAGACUCAUGUUUACACGAUUCUCAAAGGAAAACGGAUCAAAUGGUGGUGGCAAUUUCUUUGUUUUUCUCUUUUGCAGGAAAAUUGCAUGCACAAAUGAAAGUAGUCACACCUCGCACUGGAAUCGGUGUCGGAAAAGUCCUCCGGUGAACAAAGGCAGAUCAAAAAUAUUGCAAGCAAAUCUGAUCAAAAGGUGCAACAACAUCAACUAUGGACCCAAAAUUGCAGAAAAUUCACCAUACUGGGGCAAAUUUUUGGGAUUUCGUGAAGCCAGAAUCUUACGAAUCAAGGUCUCAAGGAGGAGCAACCAUAAUACAAAUCAAUUGAUCGGUUGCACAAAUUGGGGGAGACUGGGGCAAAUUAUUUUGACAAGAUUCUCUCAAUCAGGAUUUCUGGAAAAGUCAAAUUCAAUUUCUUGUUUUUUGAAAAAUCACAUUGAAUUCUUGUUGGCAAUAUCUCAGCGCCCGCCGCGCUUUUUCUAUCUUCCCCUUUUGACAAUCACACUUAAUUUCUUGACCAAUUGGACGGCAGGACCGGGUUUUAUCCCGCUGACCGCUUACCUGGCAGGACCGGGUUUUAUCCCGCUGACCGCUUGUUCGGCAGGACCGGGUUUUAUCCCGCUGACCGCGCUUACUUCGCGCAGGACCGGGCGGUUUUAUCCCGCUGACCGCUUACUUCGGCAGGACCGGGUUUUAUCCCGCUGACCGCUUACCUCGGCAGGACCGGGUUUUAUCCCGCUGACCGCUUACGGCUUACUUCGGCAGGACCGGGUUUUAUCCCGCUGACCGCUUAUUUCGGCAGGACCGGGUUUUAUCCCGCUGACCGCUUUUAUCUACGUUGGGACCGGGUUUUAUCCCGCCAACCUCGGCAGGACCGGGUUCUAUCCCGCUGACCGUCCACACCCUAUCAGGCUUAGAUGUUAUCCCACCGACCAAUUCAUCAUACUGGGGCAAAUUUUUAGAUAAUUUUUCAAACAAGUCUUAUACAGUUCUUCAUUUUACAUUUUCUGUUCAGGUCUAUCCCGUGGGUCUAUCUCAAUUUUACAUUUCUGUCUGGGUCUAUCCCGUGGGUCUAUCCCAAUUUGACAGAAACCCAAUUUUACAUUUCUGUCCGGGUCUAUCCGUGGGUCUUCCCAAUUUUACAUUUCUGUCCGGGUCUAUCCCGUGGGUCUAUCCCAAAUUUAAAUUUCUGUUCAGGUCUAUCCCGUGGGUCUAUCCCAAUCUUACAUUUCUGUCCGGGUCUAUCCCGUUUAAAUUUCUGUUCGGGUCAGUCCCGUUUAAUUUCCUGUCCGGGGUCAGUCCCCAUUGUUCGAGUCGUUCACAGCCAAAUAACACAGGUAAGUAUUUGGUGUCUACUUCUUUGUCUCAAGUUUUUCCAAAACUCAGACAAAGAGGGGCAAACUGUAGACACCAAAUUUUGAAUUGAUUUAUAUGCUUCGUUUUAGUGAUAAGUCUUGUCUAUUGAUUUUUGUUUAUCUCAUGAUUUUUGUUUUAAAUGGUUUGCAUUUUUGUUUUGCCCCUUUAGAUGUUAUUUUAUUUUAUUUUUAGUUUUAUUUACUUUUUAGUUUUUUAGUUUUUGUUUUUUAAGUUUUAGCGUAGAAAAUCAUGAAAAAUGAAAAAGGAAAAAUCAUGAAAAAGAGGAAAAAGGAAAAGAAAAAUAGCAUUUUUGUUUUUUUUAUCUAUUUUAGUCAUUUCUACUUAAUUUAAAUUUUGUUUUUGUUUGGUUCAUUUAGAAAAAAAAAAGGAAAAAGAAAAAAAGAAAAAAUGAUGAAAAUGGAAAAUGAAAAAAAAUUGCAUUUUGUUGUUUCUAGUUUGUUUAUUUUAUCCAAUGUUAAUUAAGUGGGUUUUGUUAUUAUUAUUGUUAUUAUUAUUAUCAUUUUGGUUUUGUUAAAUAUCUUUUGAAAAAAAAAAAAAAAAAAAGCUGCGUGCAUGCAAGCUGCAUUUUUGCAGCUUGCAAAGGAACUUUGAGGCAGCUCCUUAGCUGCAAAUACAGAGGAAGUUGUUAAGGGUUUAGGAGGGGGGCUCCCAUAUAAAUAGAAAAAGAGGAUUCAGCCGCAAGAGGGGGUGACGGGAAAAAGAGAGAAGAAAGAAACGGCAAAGGAGAGUGACGGCUAAGGGAAAAAGAAAAAAAAAAGGAAAAAAGGAGCGGCAGACAGAACGAGUGAGAGGCUAAAAGGAAGGAGGUAGCACCUGGGUUUCUGGGGGGAGAGUUAGGAGAAUCCAAGAAGAAGAGACUGAGAGGGUGGAGGUCUACGGGGUUUGAGAGCGAAGGAUUUGGCAGCGGCUAAGCCUGGAGGGACCGAGGAACUGGACAGAAAGAAGGAGAGCAUCAGGGGGCUUGGCUACGUGAAACUGAAGAUUAAGUGAAGCUGGGCAAGAAUUUGUCUUCUGAUCAUCGCACACUUCAGUCCGCCUUUUAGAAGAUUAAAGGUAGUACCUUUCAUUUUAUUUCCCUGUCCGUAGAUUACAAGAGUCUUGUUAGAAAUGUUGAAAUGUUGUUGCGAUGCCGGCUGCUAUUGUUUGAAUCAAAAUCUGGUUUUGUAUGAUGGAUAGUGAAGAAAGUUGCGGCUGGAAAAUUGCAGAAUGCAUGAGUUUCUUUGCAUUUUUUGAGUGAGGUUCUUCUAUGUUUUGUUUUGUUUAAGUGAUAAGGUUCUAUACUUGGUUGUUUAGCCUAGAGUCUUGAUGUUUGGUGGGUGAAGUUCUCCUAAAAAAUUAAGCUUGUGGAUUGAACUUUAUGUUUGGAAUUUGAAUUUGCAGCAGAUUUAUGAUCAUACGACCCCUCUCUGCCCAGAUUUUCCUUUCCUUUGCAUGACAUGAGUUUGUAACAUUGAAUGAGGGCCUGAAAUUUAGUCUUGUUGCCAGCCAUUUGUCAUGAAAUGCGGCGUGAAUCUCAGGAAAAUUAGAAUUGUAGGAACUUGUGUCUAUGUCUUCAUUGCACAACUAUGAGCUGCAUUUGUUUUGGAGCAGUAAAAACAAAAAAAAAAAAACUCUCGCAUUCCCUUUUCCCUUGCUGAUCGGACAAUCUAAAUGUGUAACUUCAAUUCGGCAACAAGAGCAUGCUUUUCAUUUAGCCGAUAGUGUGAGGCUUUGAUAUUUGCUAUAGUGGAAUGGACAGAAAUGUCGUGGCUGAAAAUUGCAGCAAAGUUUAUGUUUUUCUUCAGAUUUGCAUGAUGCCUUUUCAAGUUUCUUUGUUUGUUUGGCUUGGGAUAAUUGUGUUUAUCUGAUUAAGGUUUAAAUGUUUUGGUUGAAAGCUUUUGGAUCAAAAGUUGUGUUUGAGAUGGAAGGUGGGUGUGCAAAUAUGACUUGCGGCUAUGUUUUCUUAGUUGCAGAAAGUUUUUCAAUAGUAAUUCUUGUUGCAGAAAUUUCUCUCGUAUGCAUGCAUGAAGUAAAUGUUAUAAAAAUUACUUUUGGCCCCCCAAGUCUCCCCUUAAGCCACUAAGGCCCAAAAACUUUGGAAAUUUAAUCAAUUGGAUCCCUUGUAUUUUUGCAGCAAUGCAUUAUGGCCCAAUUACAUUCCAUGUUCUUGCAAUUAGGUUCUAAGGUGUUUUCAUUUGAAUCAUUAAUUGAUCUUUAUUAUUUUUGGGACCUUUGAAACUCUUUUUGACGUUGAUUGUGAUUGAUUAGUGGUCAUUUUUGGGUCCUAGAAAUGCAAGUUUGAACCAUUCAUGGACCUUCAUUCACUCUUGGAUUCUUGAGAUAUGAUGUUUGCUUGGACUUUAUUAUUUACUUGGGGACCUUUGAGUUCUUAAAUGCCUCAAUUAGGUUCAAAUGAUUGAGUAGUGCUUGCUUUUGGGUCUUUAGUAGAUGUUAUGCUUGGGGAUUGGAUGAUCAUGCCUUUUGCUUUGGUCUUUAAGUAGUUUUGACUUCAUUGAGUUGCAAUUGAGGGAAAGUUUGAUGUUUUGGUGGAUUCAAAUUGUUUAGUUUAUAUCUUCUCACUAAAUUGGUGCACUAACCUUUUGUUUUUGGUGAUUUUAGCCUAAGUUAGUCUUUUCUUGGGUGACUCUAGCCAAGUUGAGUUUGUUUACUUCCUUAGUAUCACCAACGGGGAGGUAUAAUCUCUUUUACCCCUUUUGUUUCUCUCCUAUGUGGACUAAUGUGCUAAUUGAAAUUUGCAUGUCUACUUGCUUUCCUAGCCUUUCCUUAUUUCCUUUCAUUUAUUUCAUUUACUUUUGAUUUUUAUUAAUGGGGUAUGUGUACACCUCUUGGCUUGUAAUAGAUAGGGCGUAGCAAGUAAUUUGGUCCAUUUUCCCUUUCCCCUUUGUUUUAGUUAGCAAAUGUAAUGGUUGCAUGCCUAUGUGUUAUAUGUUAAAUGCUUUAUUAGGAUCUUGCAUCUAGUCGAGCAUGAUAAGUGCUACAUGAUUUAGGUGAUUUGCAUGUCUACUUGCUUUUUGUAGUAUAGAUGAAUGGAAUGGAUGAAUGUACGUCACCACACUAGUCCAACGCUAGUUGUGGCUUCUUUUAUCGUUUCCACUAGUCCAACGCUAGUCGGAAUUCAUAGAAUGGGCUAGUCCAAUGCUAGACCCAAUAGGUUCUUUUUUCCCUUUUUCAUUAAGUGCAUGAUCACCACAUAUCACGCAUUUUUCUUUAGUUUUAUCAUUUGGGCAUGUUCCUUGAAUCCCUUUCCCCCUCACUUUAGGUUUUGCAUCUAAUGCUAGCUAUAGGGUUCAUUUUGCUUGAGUGUCCCCCUCCGAUAAGGGAAACGAGCGAGUGUGGCUACUCGAUAGCCUUAGCACGCUAGUUUUGCCUUCUAAUCAAAGGGAAAAUCGAAGUCGAAAAAGUUAGGAGUCAUUCCCAUACCCGACCUGAUGCAUUCCUUUAGAUUCAUUCAUUCUCAAUUUUUCACUUACUCACUUUUUCAAUUCACAUUUCCUCAUUACUUUUCCUUUCCUUAUUGUUCAAUUUUGGUUUCUACUUCACAAAAAUUGCACUUAAUUACGAUCUAUAUACACUUAUCACUAUAUUUCAUACACUUGCACACAAACACUUGGAUUUCCAUACAAUUGCACACAUGCACCUUUUUAUACACUUGUACACUUGAAUUUGAACUCUCAUUUGCAUUAAUCGACCUCUAUAAGGUUUUCUUUCAUUGGCCGCCACAAUUCAUGUGGUUGGGACCAAAAACCUUACAAGAGACAUCUUAGAAUCUAGGGUUUUGUAUUUCAUGUAGCACAUCCAAAUGUAAUAAAUUCUUUGGUUAAAACAAGAAAAUCUUUGAUUAAAUCACGCCACUAGCCUUGGCUAGGUCAAAGGGGUGCCUUGGAUUCUAUCCUUGCCUUCCCCUUUGUCAAACGUGACUCCCGAACCUUUUUCUUUGGCUUACGUGGACUAGGAGUCGUUUUUUUAAAAGGGUUUUACUACUUUGUCUUUAAAAAUUUAUUUUUUAGGUGACUUGGUACACCUUAAUCAUUACCAAGUGGCGACUCCAAUUUCUUAUUCAAAACCCUUUUUAAAAAAACUAUUUUUUGGGUCAAAUCGUCGCUUUUUCAAAGUCCCAUAUUAGACCCAUAUCUUUUUCAAUUCACAAAAAAUCAUUUUCCAAUCAAAAUUGAAUCAAAAAACAUCUUCCUCAAACAAUUUAUUUAUUUAUCAAAAAAUGGGGCGCGACAUCUAUUAACAAUGGAGUAUAAAUCAUCCACCACAUAUUAAUUUUUUCUAUCUAACUGUUCAUUUUUUGAGAAUUGAAAUUUUAUUGGUAGAGAUAAUUGAGUUUUUCUUUUUUUUUCUUUUGUUUUUUCAUCUUUUAAUUUUUUGGACAAAAUUUGACAAAAAGCAUAAAUGACGAAGAUUCUGUUAUCCUAAGAGCACUUUCUUUUGAUAUCAAUAGUAAUAUUUUUGAAGAUUUAAAAAUUUAAUUAGGUUGUGACUAAUCAAGAAUUUUUAAUGAAAAUAAAAAAUUGAAAAUAGAAUGCAAAAAGACACAUUGAUUUGGAAUAUUAUAUUUUGUUUAUUCUCUUCAUAAUUCAAAUUUAAUUAAGGUUAUAGUUUUUUCGUAACUGCUACAGUUUUGCUAUUAUUGAAAUGCAAUAAAUCUAAUUAUUAGGAAGAAUGGUAUUUUGGACGAAUAGAAAACAAAGACCAAAUCCUGCUUAGUCUCUCUUAACAUUUUGUCUUGUCAUCAACCAUUAUUUUCCUUUAAAUCAAUAGCUAUGAUGUAAUGAAUUUUAAUCAUCAUAAUAAAUUAAAAACUAAAAAAAGCAAAAUAUGAAACAUCAAUCAUCAAUUAAUAAGGGCAUAAUUAUAUUAAUAAAAACUAAGAUCACAACAAUCAUCAUAAAAAAUUAAAGAGAGUAUAAUAUGAAGCUUCAAUCAUCAAUUAAUAAGGUUAUAAUUGUAACAACAAAAACUAAGAUAACUUACCCUUACCGUCCAAACUCAUGGUACCUUUUAUGUAAUAAAUAUAUAGUAUGAAGAGAUGUAUAUUUUUUAAAAUUGAACUCUUUGUAUUAUUUUGUGUGUUAUUUCUAUAUCAUUUAGGCCAUAAUCUAUGGGUCUGUUUGGAUUCCUUGUUUUUGGAUCUGUUUUUGAAAAAUUGUUUUUCACAUUCCAAAUGCUACAGUAAAUGUGUAUUUCAAAACCAACUCCAAAAAUAUCAUAUCCAAACAAUAUAUCAAAAAUAACUCCAAAUACAUAUUUAAUAUGUUUAUUUCAAUUUGUAUAUUUCAAUUAUGUAUAGGAUAUAUAUAUUAUAUUAAUUUAUACAAAUUAUAAAUAUUUUAUUAUAUAUAAAAUAUAUUUAUAAUAUAUUUAUAUAAAUAUUAUAUAUUAUAUAAAUUAUAUAUAAUAUAAAUCUAAUUAUACAUUUAUAUAAAUAUUAUAUAUUAUAUACUAUAUAUUUAAUAUAUACAUAAUAUAUAUUAUAAAUUUAUAUAAAUGUACAUUUAUACAUAAUAUAUAUAUUUAUGAAUAUUUAUAAUAUACAUUUAUAUUAUGUAUAAUAUAUAAUAUAAUACAUUUAUAUAUUUAUAUUAAUAUACAUAAUAUUAAUUAUACAUUUAUACAAAAUAUUAAUAUAUUUAUACAUUUAUAUUUAUUAUAUUAGUACAUCUAUACAUAAUAUUAAUAUAUAUUUAUAAUAUAUUAAUUUAUACAUUUAUAAUUUAUACAUAUUUAUAAUAAUAUACAUUUAUACAUUUAUAAAUAUAUUUAUAUUAUGUAUUAUAUAUAAUAUAAUACAUUUAUAUAUUUUUAUAUAAAUAUAUAAAUAUAUUUAUUUAUAAAUAUUUAUAAAUGUAUUAUAAAUGCAUAAAUGUAUAUAAAUAUAAAAAUUAUAAAUUAUAAAUUAUAAUAAACAUUUAUAUAAUAGUCAUUUAUAAUUUAUACAUUUGUAAUAAUAUACAUUUAUACAUUUAUAAAUAUAUUUAUAUUAUGUAUUAUAUAUAAUAUAAUACAUUUAUAUUUUUUAUAUAAAUAUAUAAAUAUAUUUAUUUAUAAAUAUUUAUAAAUGUAUUAUAAAUGCAUAAAUGUAUAUAAAUAUAAAAAUUAUUAAUUAUUAAUUAUAAUAUACAUUUAUAUAAUAUUUAUUUAUACUUUAUACAUUUAUAAUAAUAUACAUUUAUACAUUUAUAAAUAUAUUUAUGUUAUGUAUUAUAUAUAAUAUAAUACAUUUAUAUAUUUUUAUAUAAAUAUAUAAAUAUAUUUAUUGAUAAAUGUAAUAUAAAUGCAUAAAUGUAUAUAAAUAUAAAAAUUAUAAUUUAUACAUUUAUAUAUAUUCAUUUAUAAUAAUAUACAUUUAUACAUUUAUAAAUAUAUUUAUAUUAUGUAUUAUAUAUAGUAUAAUACAUUUAUAUAUUUUUAUAUAAAUAUAUAAAUAUAUUUAUUUAUAAAUGUAUUAUAAAUGUAUAAAUGUAUAUUGUUCUAAAAAUAUAAAAAUUACAAAUUAUAAAAUAAUCGAAAAUAUUUUUAAAAAUACAUCUAAAAAUAACCCAUAAAACAUCUGCAGUAAAAGUUUUUCAUAUAGUUUUUGAAAAACAACACCAAAAACAUCUAAUCCAAACGGACUUAUAUUUGAAAAGGACUUAUAUUUGAAAAACGAAAUGCUACAGUAUUGUUUUUGAAAAAUAACCCCAAAAAUAACUAAUCUAAACGGAUCCUAUAUCAUUUAGGAGUCUUCGAUCAAGAAAUAUUGAUGAAUUAAUGGUUGGUCUAAUUGCCUUGUCUCUUGGGCACUUGGGUCGUCAUCCGGUUGUAGAUUCAGGCAAAACAUAUGGAUACGAGUUCAGAAUUACUAAGAAAUGAAGUAACAUAUUUUUUAACAUUAAACACAUAUAAUUUUCUUAGACAUUUUUCCUUUCCCCUUUGAACAACCAUAUAUUGUCAUUAACAUCCCCUUCAUUCUCUAAAGUUCAAAUAAUCAUUUUUACAACUUUAUCAGGAACUCUUUUUUUAUCGAAAUCGAUAAAUAACCCACACACACCCACCUAAUUUAAACAGAUGCAGGAGUUAAUUGAAAACCGACCUAAACUUUAUCAGGGGCUCUAUACUGCAAAUUUGUAGUUUCUAGUUACUCAAGAUCGGUGCCAACAUGUUUUAAUCAAUGUUUUGAAAACCGGACCGGACCGGCCGGUUCGACCGGUUGAACCGCGAAUCGGCCAUGGCACCGGUCCGGUUCAAUGGCAUUGUUGACUUUGCUAGAAAACCGGUCAAAGACCGGUUGAACCGUGAAAACCGCCGAACCGGAUUGAACCGGCGGUUUUCCGGUUUUCAGCUUUCCCCUUUUUUUUUUUUUUAGUUUUGCAAAAUGCAGUAAUCAAGAUUCAAACCCAAGACCUUUGUAAUAAAAGACCAAUGUAUUAACCAUUGCACCAUUACAUCUUAUUAGUUUUUUUUGAUAACUUAUUUAUAUAAAGCAAACACUCAUAUUUCUUUUUUCCAUUUUUCUUACAAAAUCUCAUCCCCUCAUGGCUCUUUCUUUUUCAUUUUCAACUCUCUCUCUCUCUCUCUCUAUCCUCUUUUCUUUUGUCACUCCCUUUUUAAUCAAACCUCUUUAUUUUUAAUUUAUUGAUGUUUUCUUCCAUCUUUUAAUUUUGUUUUUGUCCAUUAAAUUGAAAAAAGUUAAAAAGAAUUUUUUUAACCCAAAUUAUUUAAUGCCACAACCACUCACUUUUAUCUUAUUUUUUGUUUCUUAUCAAGUUUACAUUUCUAUUUUCGAUUUUCUUGAUUUCCUUCGAACUCCAAAUUUUCUUUUUUAAAUUGCAAUCUUUAAAUCUCAAAACGUAAAUUAAAAUUUAAAUUCAUAAUAUCUAAAUUCUCAGAGACAUGAAUUUUGUAUAAUUUCAAAAUAUUGUGAUAUUUUGGGGUUGGAUUUAGAUAUAAUUGAAAUUGAGAUGAAAUUUAUUUGUUUUAACUUAUAAUUUAAAAAAUUUAUUUUUAAAAAUCUAAGUUAUUAAAAAAUAGUAAACUUUUCAUCAUAUAAAAUAUUAAAUUAGUCCAUUACAUGCCUUAUUUUGUACAUAUAUAUAUAUUUAUAUAAAUUAUUUUUUAAAAAAUUCAUUGAACCGAGGUUGAACCGGUCCGACCGGUUGAACCUCGACCCUUUCACUCCACCGGUUCAAUUAACGGUCCGGUUUUUAAAACAUUGGUUUUAAUACCGACAAAUUCAUUAUUUCAGCAUUACAUGCCCCUAAACUCUCAACAAAUCCACUGGCAUAUUUAUUGAUAUUUUCCACUACAGCUACCCCACCAUGAUGGAUUACUUUUACCUGUCAAUGGAGAUGUACAGUCUAGGACCACAAAAGCAACAAGGCCAAACAAUUGGUAAAGAAACAGUCACAUGCCGUGGACCACAAAUAAUAAUUCAUAUUUAAGUCAAUGAAGGGCUACUUUUACCUGUUACAAACAUUAGACAUGUACAAUCUAGGACCAAUUUGUCUUAUACAAUAGGACCAUGAAAACAACAUGAAGGCUAAACAAAUAGUCACAUGCCGUGGACCACAAAUAAUAAUUCAUAUUCAACUCAAUUUUUGACCCACAUCAUGCCCAGACCAAUAAUCAUAAAAAUUGCCACAAACCUAAUACAAAUUAACACAACCUUGUCAUACUAAAAGUUAAACAUAUUGAUAUUUAUAGUUACUUCUUUUGUUUUUUCUUUUUUUAACAAAUAAAUUAUGAUAAUGCCACUGAAAUUAUUUGAUUUUUAAUUAGAUAUAUGAACAAUUUUUUUCGAGUUGGAUGACCUAAAUUUGCUCAGUUAGCAAAAAUUAAUUAUCUGCUAACCAUUAGGGUUUGCCCAGUGGCCAAAAGAAACCUAUAUAUUCAUGGUACUUGUUAUAUAAUAAUAAUAAUAAUGAAUUGUUAUUUUCUUGUAAAUCAAUAGAUAUGAUAUAAUGAAUUUUAAUCAUAAUAAAUUAAAAAGAGCAUAAUAUGAAAUUUCAAUCAUCAAUUAACAAGGGUAUAAUUGAAAAAAUAAAAACUAAGAUCACAAUGAUACUUACACUUACACUCCAAAGUAUCAAGACUCAUGAUACAUUUUAUAUGGUAAUGAUGAUUGGCACUAUUACAUAUCAACUCCAAGUUCAAAUUCUGGUAGAGAGAUUCUGUUUUGGGUCUCCCCCAGAUUUGGAUUGGAUAGGAAUAUUAAUUUUGUCUUACGCAAAUGUUGAUUCAUUUCAAUUGGAUACGAUUGCGGUCUUGAUAAACAACAAGCAUUUGAAUUCCAUCAGCUUCACAAUCUCACGCAAAGCAUUAUAAGAUAAAUUUGGCUAAUAAUAAUAGAUGUGCUUAAUAACACCUGACUACUUAUUGGCAUCAAUAUGCUGAACCUGCAUUCAAUCAUAGAAUGAAUAUACUUUCUGAUACGGUAAUGUACUUGUCAAAAUCUAGUUGAAUUGAGUAUAAUAAAUUCAUCACUCAAUCGAUUAGUUUCGAUCUUAAUGCAUCCAAGAAUUGGAACUACCAAUGGAUUCAGACAAAACUAUGUCUGGAUUAAAUAGAUUGAAAUAGGUUCUCGAAAACGAAAUCUACUUUUUCAUCUUAUAUGGGAUUUUUAGCUGGCAAAAUAGUGCGUGAAGUUAGCAUCAAAUAAAGUUAAGUUAACCAUGUUCUUAACCACCAUUUUGGUUCAACGAUCUGAAUCAAGGAGUUGAUUAGUCAACAUAUUGUAAAUGGGAGGGUUUAAACCUGGACCAUCCAACCCAGUGAACAGGCAAAUUUAAUUGGCAUUAAUCAUACUUAACUAUCAUUUAAGGAGCAGAUUGGCUUCUACCACAUGCAAUAUAUGGUAUAUCUUUAGCUCCAUCUGUAAUGCUUGCAUCCCACUCAAUGCGUCUUUGUCUUUUGAUAAAUUAUAUCAAUUUCAUUUUGAUUAAUAACCUCACACAAACCAUUAGCAAAAGAAGAAAAAAGGAUAAUCAUCAUGCUUUAGGUAUCUCAUUAGUACUCAAUCGUUGUAAUUAUUGGUCUAAUUCUUGGUCGUACUUCAAUUACUUUAGGAAAGGGCAAAUUGCAACAACAACGCGAAAUAACUUAGCGAAGAUAUAUCAUUUUCAGCUUUUCAUUUUUUGACGGGCAAAUUGCAAAUAUAUCCCUGAAGUACUUCACAUUUCAUUUUAGUUCCCAGAGAUCAAAAUAAUACAUCUUUGUGUUAAAGUUUUUAUAAGUUUACCGAAGUAGUCCUACAGUAUUCCUCAAGCUUUUCUUCUGAUUUUCAAGCACAAACAUUUACUUGUCAUACCUGCACUCAAGAGUAAUAUAUGCAAAAUCAAACUAAAAAUCAUAUCUAUCCAACAAAAAGUAAAGUAGUUUGUCUUCUCAAUUGUUUUUUGUCCAUUUUAGAAGAGAUUAUAAACUUACAAAGGGCAAGGAAUUAAACAGUAAAAGGGAAGACAUAAAAAUCGAAUUAAAGGCCUCAUUUUCUUUGGUCAAUGUCGCUACCAAUUGAGUUGGAUUUUUAAAAUGUUUGUCUUCUAAAGUUUGAUUCCUAUCGAUAUCUCAAUCUUUGUAUGUUGAUCAUUUAUGACUUUGUAACUUAAUAUCAAAAAGGGCAAAAUAUACUUUAUUUCCCUGUGGUACAACUACUUUUUUACAUAAGCCUCCCUAUAGUUUUUGAAAGUUAUAUAUAAUUCCUCAUAGUUUGGAUUAAAGUAUCAAAGUAACGGAAAUAAUCAUUUACAAUGAAACUUAUGAAAAUAUAAAAAUUACCCUUAUUUAAAAAUUAAAAUAGUUGAAGUGAUCAAAAUAUAUAAACAUAAUAUUAUAACACUCUAACCUUGUAUGGUUUUAUACUUUUCCUAUCGCGCCCUAUUUUUUGAAAUAAAAAAUUAUGAGUUAUAAAAAAUGAAUUUUCGAUUAAUUUUGAGUGAAAAUGAGUUUUUGAUUUUUAGAAAAUAAAUAAAAAAAGGCCUAAAAUGGGACCUAAGAAGUGCGACGGUUUUGACCCAAAAUAAUAGUCUAAAAAGGGUUUUUAGGAAAAAUAGGAGUCACCAAUUAGUAUUGAGUUAAGGUGUACCAAGUCAUCCAAAAAUAUGUCAUUUAAUAGUAAUAAAAAAAUAAAAAUAAAUAAACAAAACCUCUUUUUCGAUGACUCCAAGUCUUUGGAAACAAAAGAAAGGAUUCGGAAGUCACGGUUGAAGAAAGAAAAGACAAGCAUAAAAUUCAAGGCACCCUUUCGACCUAACUAAAGUUAGUUGCGAGAUUUAGUCCAAAAGUUUUCCUAAUCUAACCUAUAGACUUAUCACAUUGGGAUGUUUCUACAUGGAUGCACACCUAGACCUAAUGGAUAUCAGGAGGGUCGAAAUAUCUCUUCAAAGAUUAAUUGAUGCGAAUAACAUUAAUUGUGAUGCUCAAAAUGAUUUUUAGAAGAGGUCACGAAUAUGUAAAGAAUGAGACUCGAAAAAAAGAAAAAUUAUAAUAUAUAAGUAUGUUUGACCUAAAAAGAGGAAUGCAACAUAACGGGUACGGGGGACUAAGAUUCGUGACUCAAUUUUUCUUUUUAUAAAGGAGAUACUAGCAUGCUAAAUCUAAGAAGCCUACUCGUCCAUUUCCCAUAUUAGAAGGGUGCUCCCUAACCUAAUCAAGCAAAUGCCUAACCUAUUUCUAAUUUUUCUUAAAUGGAAUGCAAGUCUAAAAUGUCAUGUUUCGCAAGAGGGAUAAGGGAUAUACAUAUAGAGGAAAUAUCUUGCAGAGUGGUAAAGAUCCUAAAAGUAGAAAAUAUGCAUGAAAUGUAAUGAUUGUUAUGCAAGCAUGUGAUUCUAGCGCGUGGAUGGAACAAAGAGUCUAGCAUUGGACUCGUGAGAAAUCGAGAAAUAGACCACAAUUAGUGUUGGCUAGUGUGGUGACGCCAUGCAUUUAUUACAACUAAAUAAAUCAUAUAAAAUAUAAUUAAAGCUAAUAAACACAUAGAGCACAUAACACGUAGGCAUGAUAUCUAGAUACAAAGAUCCUAAGAAAUUGAGUAAACAUAUAAGCACACAAGCAUCCAAGCAUCCAAGCAAAUAAAAGUCUAACUAUUACAUCUGGGGCUCUAAUUACAAUCUAAGGGGAAUUUAAAAAAUAAUAACCUAACUAUUAUAUUUAUCUAACUAAAUACAUUUUUAACAAAAAUUAAAACCUAUCUAUUACAUAGGCUAACUAAAUACAUAUCUUGAGCACCUAUCUAUUACAAUUUGGCAUUUUAAUGCCUCUCAAAUAAUUACCAAAAAUUAAAUUAAAUAAAUGAAACCUAAAAUGAAUAAUAAUGAAUAAAAAGAAAAAACACUCAAAACAUGCAAUUGCACAUAAAACACAUUGGAGCACAUAAAAGAAUUGAAAAUAAUAAAAGAAGUUACCUCCCUUAAAGUUGUGGUUAAAUGGGGUGAAAUUUGCCCUACUUAUGCUCCAAAAUCAACAAAAUGGUCAAGGCACCAAUUUAAUUAUAAAAAUGGAAAUAAUCAUAAAAUCUACCAAUUAAAUCAUUUAAAUAAAGUAUAAUUAACAAUUAAAGAAGAAAAGUAACUUGUAUUUAAGAAAUCAAAACUAUAGGGAUUUAAUGAAAAUUUAUAAAGUUUUUGGGGUCCAAUUGUAAUUAUUACAAAUAUAGGGGUCAAAAUUAAAAAAAAAAAGUUUUAGGGAUCCAUUUGAAAUUAAAUUAGAACCUAAUUGAAAAUGUUAAAAGUUUAUGGGGUAUAGUAUCAUUACUCAAAGGUCUAGAGAUUGAUUUGCGAUUUCAUAACUAGAUUUCUUGAGUAAAUAGGCCUCUGGGCCAUAUCUCUUAUUUUUCGGGCAAAAACCUUCAAAGCCCAGCAAAAAGUUCAAGGAAAAUGCACAGGCCAAUCCAUAAUCUUACCCAAACAAAACCAACCAAAAGGGAUGGGCUUUUACCUCUAAGCCCAAGCGAAAACCCAAAAAAUGAACCAGACUUUUCUACCAAAACCCAACCCAAUCAAACCGUAACCCAAAUCCAACUAUUUUACCAAAUUCCAAUAAGAUAAUAAAUCAACUAAAACAAAUUAAGGUUUAAAUAUACCCCAAAUCACAGAAAUAACAUGCUUAGACAUGCACUUAAAAUAUGAAAAGAGUAUUAAAACUCAAUAGGGACAAGAUUGGUUCAAUUACAAGACUUUUGAGCCACAGUGUAAUUACUUAGAAAGUUAGGGGUUAAAAUGAAAUUUUUAAAAGUUUUGCAUGCAAAGCUUCGAAGAAGCUUCUUUCUGCAACCAAAAGCUUCUUUCUGCAACUCCCGAAACUUAUUCAACCCAAGAAGACAGCCGCAACAUUCAUGCCAAAUUCACAGAAUCAUCAACUAAACCCAAUAAGAACCACAUCCCCACAAACAAACCACAGAACAACAUGGGAUUAAUUGCUCAAAAUCUCCCACUUCAGAUUUGCAGAUAGAAAGGAAACAUACCACUUUCACUCAUUGAUUCCGAACAAAACCCGAAGCACAGGGCGAUUUAAAGUGGGGGCACUGGGGACCUUAAAUUCCUAUAAUACAUCUACAAUUUUGACAUAAUUUUAAAGGUUCUCCAGAAUUUUUUUGGAAAAAAUGUGAAAGAAUGGGUCACAAAAUUUAUAUCAUUCACUUUCCUCCUCUAGUUCCCAUUUUCCCACCAACAGGGCAAGUACCAAUUAUAUCAGUCAUAUCCUUUUGGUUCCCACUCCCUAAGUUCCCUUUACUCCUGUGGUCCCCAUUUCCCUUCACAACCGGCUUCUCUUCUUCCACACCCAAGCCAACUACUUUUUCUUUUUAUCACUUCAUCCAAUUAUCAUUUACUUCCUUUGUCCCCACUCCCCAAUUUCUCUUUCCUCAUCUGGCUCUCAGUUGUCCCCAUUCCCCAACAUACAUAUGAGAGCCAUUUUUUUUUCACAACCAAAGCUUGUUACUCUUUUUUUUUUUUUUUCACUUAUCCUAUUAGAGAUUGCACCAGAAUCAAUUGAUCUUCUAGAACUUGGAUCCGCCACAUUUUGUAGCUCUUUCAUCAACUUUAGAAGACCAUCAAAAUCAGGUUCUAAACAAUUACUUCUUAUUAUUAUUAUUUUAAAUUUGUUUGCAAAUAUAUUUCUAGAGCAUGAGACUAUUACUGUUUUAAAGAAAUUUGGAAAUUGAUUAGUUAAUGUAAUAACUAAUAAAUGGGUUAUUUGAUAAAUAUUUUAACUUGUGAAAUGGUGAUUUUAUGCAUGAGACUUUUUUUUGCUUAAAAAAAUUAGAAAAAGAGUAGAAAAAAAUUUUAGUGUUAUUUUUGCCCCCAUUAAGAUUUUUUUUUGGCUUUGCCCCUGCCGAAGCAUAACUUUGUUUAUGAACUACAAAGCUUGCAAAGAUAAUCAAGGACAAACAUUCACACUAACUUCCAAAUCUUGUCAUAUUUUAGUCAAACCAGAGGUAUCAGACCCAGCAAAAACAUAGAACCCGCACUAUAAACCCAUAAUCUAAAAGGAAGUUCUCUUUUGAUGAGUUAAAGAUCUUUUUUUUUCUUUGUGAAUUGCAGCAAGAAAAGGAAAGAUUAAGAGUUACCUCCGGAUGCUAGUGCAGUCAAAAGAAAGCAAGGUGCUCAAGAAAGUUGUGUGGAUUGCUGGAACGAAAACAGGAGCACUUUGCUGCAGAAAUUUCACCCUUGGCGAGCAGGCUGCUUUGAGCCGAAUCACAGAGAUCUGGAAAUGUUUUUUCAAGAUGUUUUCUGAACAAAAGUUAUAGAUUUACCAACAUAGUGAGUGCAGAAACUGAAAUAGAACCUACAGGAUCAAGAACAAGAUCGGAUUUGGGCCUCAAAAUAGGCUUUUUCACCAACCCUGGCUCAUUUUCUAGAAAAAUUUCUGCUCCUUUUUUUUUCCUUUGUCUCCCUCAGUUUUCUCUCCCUUUUUGCUGUUUUUUUUCACUCCUCGCCGCCUCCCCUCUCAAUCCCUUGUUAUCAGCCCUUUUUAUAUGAAAACCAACCUCCUAAAACCCUCAUCUAGAUGGUGGACAAAAAAACUGAUUUCUUUUGCAUUUUUAGGGCCCUUGAUCUUCAUGUUUUCUGGAUUCUUCUUGAUAAAUCUUGGAGAUGUGAUCUGGCUUGUACUGAGGCAUGGAGGAAAGAAAAAGAAUGCAAAAAGAAUCGAGUAAAAUGGGACAAAAUUGCAGCUGCAUAUUUGGUGCUGUGGCAUUGCUUCUGUACGAAGCUUGAAGGAAUAGCACGCGCGUGGGCAGAAAUUUUUUUUUUUUUUUUUUACAAAACUGACUUUUUUCAUUUUUCUUCUUUUGUUUCCUUUUCUUUUUCCGAUUUUUCUAAAAAAAGUGUUUUUUAUCAAGAAUAGAAAUGAAACAAAAUAAAUAAAAUUAACUAAAAUGAACAAUAAUAGGAAUAAAAAUGAAGAAAAAAAUGGUAAAAUUUUAGUGUCUACAGCUUACCCCUCUUUGUCUAGAUUUCGCAGAAAUUCAAGACAAAGACAUAGACACCAAAUUACUUAUCUGUCUAUCUCAACUGUAAUUGAAACAACUACAUAAAUCUAAUAGAUUGAAAAAUCUAAACCUAAAAAAUAAAAAGAUUUGUGGGAUAAAAUCCAACCCCAACAAAAUAAAACGAUUGAAGAGAUAAAACCCAAACCCAACAAAAUAAAAACGGUCAGUGGAAUAAAACCAAACAUGCCGAGAUUGGUGGGAUAAAACCCAAAUCCAACAAAAUAAAAAUGAUCGUUGGAUAAAAUCCAAAUCCAACAAAAUAAAAACGGUCAGUGGGAUAAAACCCAAGCCCGUCGUGGUUGAUGGGAUAAAACCUAAAACCAACAAAAUAAAAAUGGUUGAUGACAUAAAACCUAAACCCGCCGAGAUUGGUGUGAUAAAACCCAAAUCUAGCAAAGUAAAAAUGGUCAGUGGGAUAAAAUCCAAACUCGCCGUGGUUGGUGGGAUAAAACCAAACCCAACAAAAUAAAAACGAUCGGUGAGAUAAAAUCCAAACCCGCUGAGGUUGGUGGGAUAAAAUCCAAACCCACUAUAGUUGGUGUGAUAAAAUUCAAACCCAACAAAAUAAAAAUGAUCGGUGGGAUAAAACCCAAACCCGCCGAAUUCGGUGGAAUAAAAUCCAAUCUCAACAAAAAAAAACAGUCGGUGGGAUAAAACUCAAACCCGCUGAUAUAAGUGGGAUAAAAUUCAAACUCAACAAAAUAAAACGGUUGGUGGGAUAUAAUCCAAUCCUAACAAAAUAAAAAGGGUCGGUGGGAUAAAACCCAGACCCGCCGAGGUUGGUGGGAUAAAAUCCAAACCCAACAAAAUAAAAACGGUCGAUGGGAUAAAAUUCAAGACCAACAAACUAUAAACGUCGGUGGAAUAAAACUCAAGUUCACCGAGAUUGGUGGGAUAAAACCCAAGCCCGUCGAGAUUGGUGGGAUAAAAUCCAAAUCUAACAAAAUAAAAGGGUUAGUGGGAUAAAAUCCGAGACUAAUACCUUACGUGGGAUAAAAUUCAAACCCAACAAAAUAAAGGGUUAGUGAGAUAAAACCCGAACCUAAUACCGUUAGUGGGAUAAAAUCCAAGUCUAACAAAAUAAAGGGUUAAUAGGAUAAAGUCCGAGUCUAACACCGUUGGUAGGAUAAAAUUCGAGUCCAACAAAAUAAAGGGUUAAUAGGAUAAAGUCCGAGUCUAACACCGUUAGUGGAUAAAACCCGAGCCUAAUAAAAUAAAGGUUUAGUGGGAUAUAACCUGAUCCUAACACCAUUGAUGGGAUAAAACUCGAACCCAACAAAAUAAAAGGUUAGUAAGAUAAAACCCAAGUCUAACACCGUUAGUAGGAUAAAACCCGAUCUUAACAAAAUAAAGGGUUAGUGCUUGAAAGCAAAUCAUAAAUAGAUUUGAGAUCGCAUUUUUCAAAAUUUAUCCAGUGUAAGGCCUCUCUUCUUUUCUUUUGUGAUUGACGUUCAAAUUUGCAAGAUUCUAACUUGCGUUUUUUUAUCGAUUUCAGUCAUAAAUACUACACCAAGGGAAUUUAACAUGCACUUGAAUUUUAUACAAAAUAUUUUUUUGCUUUAUUCUGAAAAGUGUGAUAUCAAAUUCUGAACAAUAGGUUGAAAGUAUAUUACUUGACUCUUGGACGAGAUCUCACAAAUAUGUUACAAAAAAUUUUCCCCCAGUAUGGAUCUAUUUUGCGAAAUCUCACAAAUAUAUUAUAAAAUUUGCCCCAAUAUGGGUCUAUUUUUAACUGCAAAAAUUUUGUUCGAAUGACUAUCCAUUUAUUUGAACAAAACAUGAAAAAUGUGUUUUCCUAAAAUUUGAAAAAUAAUCACAUACUACUAUGCAAUGUGAAGAAAUUUAAAUGUCAUGUUUAAAUCAUGCAGAAGAUUUCAUGAUGAAUUUAUCAAAACAAUACCAAAUUACAAAAGAUUUCUUUCUCACUUUAGCAUCGGUGCUUAGGGUGGAAUGAUCACUUUUCUAUUAGCUCAUCCUUUAGGACAAAACAAGUGGGUACUAUUAUGAUUUUGAGGUGGCUCAGGGAGAUGGUAUGUCAGGAUCUGUCUUGUUUUUGUACCCAAAUUGUGUCAAAACCAUUUGAUCACAUCUUGGUGAUAUCAAAUAGUUCAUCACUCUUAUUUCUUGAGAAAGCUCAGUCAACAUAUAAGAUCUAUAGACUUGUAAUGUACAAGUCGAAACGAUAGCUAAACAAAUGGAAGCAGGUUAUGGCCUUAUGAUCACGAAUGAUUGAUAGAUUCCUUAGAGGCAUGAUCCUUUUUUGAUUGUCAUGAAAGAUAAGUCAACAAUGGAUUUUAUGAGCUUGUAAUGCGACUUGAAGACGAUAGUUAAAGAAAUAAGAUUUUCAAAGACAUUGUACUUAAGAUCGCAUUCCUUCCCAAAAAUUGCCCCAGUUUUGGACUCAAAACUCUGGAUUCUAUUUUGACUUUUAUCAUCAAUCACUAGAGAUUCAGCAUGCAUUGAAUCUCUUUGUAGUUUUUUAUUUUCUCUAAUCUUUUUUUUCUUUACAUUUUCCUUUUUCUUCUUUUUUUUCAAUACCGAAAUACCAAAAAUGAUAGAAUUGAGAAUCCCUUAAUUUUUUAGAUUAUAGAUGCCUCUCUUUUUUUUUUUCAAAAUUGGAGCCCAAAUAUUAAUGGUAGAAUCAAAUUCCCCCAACUUGUAGUUUCUCUUUCUUCUUUUUAAUUUUAGCAUUUUCGCUUUUUUUUUUAAAAAAAAAUUCUCCAAUCUCCUUCCCCAAUGUGGGUGUGGUCAUAAGUGCUUUUGAAACGAACCACCCAUUUUAACUCAAAUGAGGGUGCAAAGGAUAAACACUAUUUAGAUAGUAGAAACGAUGCUCAAAGUAUCAUUUUACUUCUCAUGACAACCAAAGUGAAGAAUAGCCCAUUGAGAGAAUCCAUUCCCUUUUUGACAUGCAAAAUUAUAAUCACAAGACUCUUAUUUGAAACGAAAUUGUACUUUUGAAGGCUCAAAUAGGAGAGUAAAUGAUAAAAUCUGUAUAGAUAGAAAACAAACGCUUAAAGUAUCAUUCCAAAUUCUAAAAAACAAACAAGAGUAAUAUAUAUUUUUACUUUCAUUAGAUGUGAUUGAAUUUGGUUAGGUACAGUGGGCAUUUUCAAAGUAAGAAUAGGCCCACUCUGAAGUUUGUCAACCAAUGUGAUUGACUUUGAAGCUUGAUAGAAGUGGGUAAUUUAUGAAUUGUAAAAUGAAAGAACAAAAGUAUCGUAGUUGGUCUUUUAAAAAAACUGCUUUUUGGUUUCGAAUGCUCUUAUCGCAUAGUAUGGAUCACAAAUCUAGUGUAUGCAAAGAUUUUGCAAAGUUAAAACAUGCCUUGUGAAUUUUCAGGCAAGAGGUAGAAAAAAUCUCAAUUUAGUUUUAUUUCUUAAAAUCAUCAUGAAAUCUCCCAAUGAGCAAAUAAAGAAUGAGAUGAACAUGAAUAUAUACGAAACAAUAAUUGUCUAAAUGAAAAACUUCAUUAUUGCAAAUGUUGAAACAAACUUUUUAUUCAACUAUAAUACAAGUCCAAAGAAUACACUUUCAUAUAUACACACAGUUCUCUCCUUUUCUUUUGGGACACAAAUGUGUUAAAAGAAAUUUUUUUUGACAAACAAUUAUGAAGUCUCUCAAAUGCUUUAGAUUAGUACUUCCAAAUGGAUUCUCAAUAUUUUUACAUUGCAGGAUCUGCCAAAAAUCAAGUAAUAUUUGUUAUUUUUCAAAAUUUAUCAAACCAAAACUAUUAUCAGAUAUAAAAAAUAUUUUUAUGUUAUUAAAAUAUCCUUUAUAAAUGCAGGGAUGGGCAAAAAGAAAAGAAAAUACCCAGAAUUAGUAAGCAAAAUGUAAAAUCGGUAUGCAUGUCCUAUGGAGAGCCCUUUUAUACUAAGGGUAGGCCUAGCAUAAAAAAUGCAAUCCUUUGGGUAGGCACAUACAAUACCUAAUGGAUACAAUACCUAAUGGAUCUGGUCAAAUUAUUGAUAUUCGAGUGAAAAGCAAUUUGAAAAAUUUUGGCUAAUUGGAGUAACAAGAGACAUUUGUCCUAACAAAAUGAGGAGAAAGUUCGAAUAGAUUGAUUGCUUUGAUUGACACAUAAAGUGAUGUUAAAAAUCAAUUUAGUGUGAAAGAGCUACUUUUCAAAAGAUUGCAAUGUCUCGACUAGUUUUUAUAGUGAUCCUAGAUUGAAACCUUAAAAGAGAAUAAAUGGAUCAAAUGGGUCGGAUACAAUUGAUGGUUUAUUCAAAAAAUUGACUGGAUUACCCUAAAAAUGAAUAACUUGAUCAAAUGGAUUGAACAGAACUGACGAUUUAUUCAAAAUUGACUGGAUUGUCCUAAAAAUGAAUAAUUGGUAAAAUGGAUUGGAUAGAAUUGACAGUUUAUUCGAAAAUCAACUGAUUGUCCGUCCAUUGGUAGUCUCAAAAUUUUACAAAUUUCGUUACAAUGCAUUAGUCUAUGAGCCUUCUAAAAUCAGGAUUUGACCUCGAUAUAUUUAUUAUUUUAACAAUGAGGAAUCAUUUGCGAAUUUCUUUAACUUAAUGUCCUUUAUGCUAGGAAAUUUUACCAACUAUGAUAAAAUGGCCAAAAGAUGAUUGUUAGAUGCUCAUAUUCUAAUGUGCAAAAACUGUUCCAUUAUUUUCAAUGCCAAUGUCAUCAUGGAAGGGACGGAUCCUACCUUACCUUAUGCAUCCCUUUGGAUGAUACGAAAAAAUAUAAACGUGCAAGUUUUAUUAAAUUAUAUAUCCGAGAUGAAGAUGGUUUAUUUCUAAUGUGGGAUCCCCUAUGCGACAUUCCCUCUAUGAUUGAUGCAUGAUGACAGAUUAUUAAAGGGGGUAAUGCAAUAAUUGAAACAUGACCUAAAAGUGUCCCAUUUAAAUGCCGGGGUAAGCCCAAAAUGAAUGUAAUAUUGAGAUGCAAUAACUUGUAAUUUAAACAUGCAAUAAACUAUCUAAUUAGGUGGGUUUUAAAAGAGUACCAUGACAGGACUCUUAUUAUUUAAAGUUUGUGAAUGCACAAGAAGAGAAAACAAAGAGAAAUUAGUACAACAAAUAACACAUAACACAUUAGGGCAAUAAAUGAUACAAAAUAGAAAUAAAGAAAAAGGGGUAGAAUCUCCCCUCGUGUCUAGUGUCCCUAGUUGGGUAAGGUCGACUCUAUCCUAGGUAAUUUCUAAUAUGGAUGCAUGAGGUUGGGUUCACUAAUGCAUCUAGACUCGAUAAGAUUUCAGCCUCCCAAACCUUCAAACCAAAAGGUGAAGGGUCAUCAAUCCCAAGACCUUUAGUCGGUGGUUCGAGUGAUCCCUUAGACAUUGCUACACGCACGUCGUGCCACAGCCACAUGUCCAAGUGGAUAAAUCCUAAUCCUAACUAGAGAGGACGGUGUGACAACCACUAAAAAGAAAUAAGAUGAGAGGUUAUAAAGAAAUAGCGUAUGCACGUAUGAAGUGCGCCUUUAAGGGGAGGGAUUAAAUACCAUCAAAUAUGGGUGAAGCUCUAGGGUGGCUAUUCCCCCUCAAGAUGCAAAGCGCGAUAUAAAUACAUAAAUAUAAGUAAAUGAAAGUAAAUAAACAAAUUAUUCAUCACAUACAUAGAUAUCGAAAGACCAUUGCGUGCGUGAAAUGCAAGAAACCCUAAAAAGAAAAAAUAACCUAAAACAUCCUAAUGUAAUAUGUAAAAAGGUUAGAAAAAGAAAAGGAUCGACAAAAUCAAAUACUCGGACUCUCUAAAAAAAUUUCGAGUGGAGUCGUCAGCUGUCGCGCCCCAUUUUUUGAAAUAAAAAAUUAUGAGUUAUAAAAAAUUUUUCAUUAAUUUUGAUUGAAAAUGAGUUUUUGAUUUUUAGAGAAUAAAUAAAGAAAAAGGGCUUAAAAUGGGACCUAAGAAGUGCGACGGUUUUGCCCCAAAAUAAUAGUCUAAAAAGGGUUUUUAGAAAAAAUAGGAGUCGCCACUUGGUAUUAAAUUAAAGUGUAUUAAGUCACCCAAAAAUAUAUGUUUUAAUGUAAUAAAAAAAAAUAAACAAAACUCCUUUUUAACGACUCUAGGUCUUUGGAAACAAAAGAAAGGGUUCAGGAGUCAUGGUUGAAGAAAAGGAAGGUAAGAAUAAAAUACAAGGCACCCUUUCGACCUAGUUAAGACAGUUGCAAUAUUUAGUCGAAAACUUUUCUAAUCUAACCUAAGACUUAUCACAUUGGGAUGUUUCUACAUGGAUGCACACCUAGACCUAAUGGAUAUUGGGAGGGUUCAAAUAUCUCUUUAAAGAUUAAUUGUGCGAAUAACAUUAAUUGUGAUGCCCAAAAUAAUUCUUAAAAGAGGUCACGAAUAUGCAAAAAUGAGACUCAAAGAGAAAGAAAAAUUAUAAUAUAUAAGUAUGUGUGACCUCAAAUGAGGAAUGCAACAUAAGGUAUGGGGACUAAGAUUCGUGAUUCAAUUUUCCUUUUUAUAGAAGAGAUACGAGCGUGCUAAGGCUAAGAAACCAUACUCGUCCAUUUCCCAUAUUAGAAGGAUGCUCCCUAACCUAAUCAAGCAAAUGCACUACCUAUUUCUAAUUUUUCUUAAAUGGAAUGCAAGUCUAAAAUGUCAUGUUUCACAAUAGGGAUAAGGGAUAUAAAUAUAAAGGAAAUAUCAUGCAAAGUGGUAAAGAUCCUAAAAGUAGAAAAUAUGCAUGAAAUGUAGUGAUUGUCACGCAAUCAUGUGAUUCUAGCGUGUGGACGCCUAAAGGGUCUAACAUUGGACUAGUGAAAAAUCGCAGAAAUAGGCCAUAACUAGCGUUGGACUAGUGUGGUGACACCAUGUAUUUAUUACAACUAAAUAAAUCAUAUAAAACAUAAUUAAAGCAAGUAAAUACAUAAAACACAUAGAGCACAUAACACGUAGGCAUGAUAUCUAGAUGUAAAGAUUCUAAGAAAGCGAGUAAACACAUAAGCACACAAGUAUGCAAGCAUCCAAGCAAAUAAAAGAAAAUAAAAGUCUAACUAUUACAUUUGGGGCUCCAAUUACAAUCUACGGGGGGAAUUUAAAAAUAAUAACCUAACUAUUACAUUUAUUUAACUAAAUACAUUUUUAGAAAAAAUUAAAACCUAUCUAUUAUAUAGGCUAGCUAAAUAUAUAUCAUGAGCAUCUAUCUAUUACAAUUUGACAUUUUAAUGCCUCUCAAAUAAUUACCAAUAAAUAAUAAAAUAAAUGAAACUUAAAAUGAAUAAUAAUGAAAAAAAGAAAAAACACUCAAAACAUGCAAUUGCACAUAAAACACGUUGGAGCACAUAAAAGAAUUUAAAAUAAUAAAAGAAGUUACAUCCCUUUGAAGUUUGGUGAAAUGGGUGAAAUUUGCCCUACUUAUGCUCUAAAAUCAAUAAAAUGGUCAAUGCACUAAUUUAAUUAUAAAGAAAUGAAAAUAAUCAUGAAAUCUACCAAUCAAAUCAUUUAAAUGAAGUAUUAAUUAACAAUUAAAGAAGAAAACUAUCAGGAAUCUAAUUACAAAAAAUUAAGAAAGUUUUUGUGGUUAAAUUAUAAUUAUUACAAAAUAUAUGGGUCACAAUUAAAUAAAAAUAAAGUUUAGGGACCUAUUGAAAUUAAAGUAGAGAUCUAAUUGAAAGAAUUUAAAAGUUUUUAGGGUCAUAUUAUAAUUACACAAAAGUCUAGGGACUAAUUUGCGAUUCGUAACUAGAUUUCUUGAGCAAACAGGCCUCUGGGCCAUUUCUCUUAUUUUUUGAGCCAAAACUUUCCUAGCCCAGCGUAAAGUUCAAGGAAAAUACAAAGGCCAAUCCAUAAUCUUACCCAAAACAAAACCAACAAAAAGGGAUGGGCUUUUACCUCCUAAACCCAAGAUAAAACCCAAAAAUGAACCAGACUUUUCUACCAAAACCCAACCCAAUCAAAUCAUAACCCAAAUCACUAACUAUUUUACCAAAAUCCAAUAAAAUAAAUAAAUCAACUAAAACAAAUUAAGGUUUAAUUAUAUCCCAAAUCACAGAAAUAACAUGUUUAGACAUGCACUUAAAAUAUGAAAAAGAGGAUUACAACUCAAUAGGGACAAGAUUGGUUCAAAUACAGAGACUUUUGGGUCAUAGUGUAAUUAAUUAUAAAGUUAGGGGUCAAAAUAAAAUUUUUAAAAGUUUUGCAUGCAAAGCUUCGAAGAAGUUUCUUCUGCCACGAAGGAAAAGUCUGAAGUAACGAUAGUUAUGGUAAAGAAUCUAUUUUUACCUGAUAUAACAGGUAAAAAUACUUUUAACGACCAUUUGAUUACCUAUUGUACUGGUCAUCUAAAUGAAAUAGUACCUAAAAUUUUGGUUAGUAAGUUUUGCAUAAAAAAUAGUAAGUUAACUCGAUAUAUUAGUAACUUUUAUGUCUCAAAAAGUAAACUUGAAUAAAUAUGGAACUAACUUUUUUUUUUGAAGGAAAAUACUACUCUAUAUCUGAAACUUAGUUUUUGGAGAGUAAUUUUAGUUCAAGUAAUACUAAGUUUUUAUAGAUUAAUAGUAAAUAUUGUUGAUAGAAUAGUAAAAUUUGGUUAAUCAUCAAAACUUAAUAGUUUGUGGCAUAAAUUUACUAUUUUACUUAAAGAAACUUACAAUUGUACGUAUCAUUUAUAAAUGUUAUUUGUUUGAAGCAUUUUAAAUAUACCAUGAAAACUUUUUUUUUUUGCAUAUGACCUUAUGAAAUAUGUAAGAAUAAUUUGUCAUAUUUUAAAAUUUUAAUUAUGGGAAAAUAAACAACUAAGUUCCCAAAAUAUUUCACUUUUAUUGUUUAAAAAAUCUCAACUUGUUGGUUAAAUUUAAAAUAAUUCUAUUGUCAAAAUAGUUUUUCUCAAAUUAACUUUCAUGAUUAGAUGUGAGAUACAAAUAUGGUAAAAUAUCCCUCAUACAUAUGUAAUGGAUAUUUCAGAAUUUUAGUAAAAAAAAAAAUUGUUGUUAAAAUAACAUAUAUCAUAGUGUACUAAUUAUUUUAGGACCAUUUUAUAGGUGAACUAAAUUUAAUUUAAAUUAUACAAUAGAUUAUACAUGCAUGUGAUUUUCAUUUAUAAUUAUUGGAUCCUAUUCUUAUGAACAAUCUCCCAAGGGAAAAAAUCCAGAUCAUACUGAUUUUCUUAUAUUAAUUGUUAUACUAAUUUUGUCAUUUUUAUUAUUAUAUUAUUUCUCAUUUUUUUUAGGCUUUUACUCUUAUUAUUUCUUGUGUCUCAGAUGUAAAUUUAUUAAAACUUUAUCAUCUUAUUAUAUUCAUGGGUGUUAAAUUAUAAAAUUUUGAUAUAUAAACAAGUAAUAUUCUAUAUAUAACUAGGAAGAUUUGUUGUUAUUGUUAUUCGAACUUUCAAACUUUUCAAAAAUUGAAAAUGAUUAAAAGCUUAUAAUACAACAAAAUUUUAUUACAUAUUUCACAAGAUUAUGUGAAAAGUCAAACUAUUUUUCAUAGUAUUUUAAAAUAUAUAAAUAAUUUUUUUAAAUUAUACCUAUACUCAUGUAUUAUACAGGUAUAUUAUGAGUACUUACUACUAACUAAGGUACUAAGAAUUAAUCAUUAAUAAAACAUUUAUCGUUAUUUCAAAUAAAUUUCCUAAUACUAUUUUGAAAUAUGUUUUAAAAUAAAUAGCACAUGUGUCCCAUAAAUCAGUAAGUUUUGAUUAUUAAUCAAUUUACCAUGUUAUUAGUAAGAGUUACUAUUUAUGUAUAAAAACUUACUAUUACUUGAAUUAAACUUACUUUCUAAAAAGUAAGUUUGGGAUAUAAAGUAGUAAUUUAUUUAUUUAAAAAGUAAGUUUAAUAUUUAUUCCAACUUACCUUUUUGAAGUAUAAAAGUUACUAAUUUAUUACGGUUAACUUAUUAGUUUAGAUAGAAAACUUACUUUCUUAUUUUUAAGUGUUAUCCUAUUUAGGUGGAUAGAUCUAGCAAAUAAUCAAAUAAUCGCUAAAAGCAAAUAAAAAAUAAAUCAAAAAUGGUCAUCCAAGUGUUAUCCUAUUUAUGUCUUAAAAAGUAAAUUGAAAUAAAAAUGAAAGUUACUUUUUAAAAAAAAUUAAAUGACUACUCUAUAUUCGAAACUUACUUUUUGGAGAGUAAGUUUUAGUUCAAGUAAUAGUAAGUUUUGACGGAUUAAUAGUAAAUCCUGUUGAUAAAAUAGUAAAUUUGGUUAGAUCAUCAAGAACUUACUAGUUUGUGGCAUAAAUUUACUAUUUUACUUAAAGAAACUUAUAUGAAACAAGUAUUAGGAAGUUUAUUUAAAAUAAUGCUAAGAUUUUUUUAUUAAUGAUUGAAACUUAAUAUUAUAGUUAGUAAUUGUUGGUAACGUAAAUGUAUAAUAUAUGAUUGUAUGUAUCAUUCAUCAAUGUUAUGUGUUUUAAGCAUUUUAAUAAAUGUAUGUAUCAUUUACAAAGGUUAUGUGUUCUAAUAAAUUUAUUUUCUAGGUCACAAGUAUAAAAGUUAAAUUUGUGGCAUAAUCUUUGAAAACUAUAGUAAAUUUACCACAUAUUAAGUUUCGUGAGAUUCAAAUAUAUUUUGUAUCAUUUACAAUAUGGAUUUAUAUGCACUUUUUUUUUAUCAAACUUACUUUUAAUUGGCAAAUAGUAUGUAAAUUAUUAUAAAAUGUCAUUUUAUAAUAAUCAUAAUUUUUAUAGGUGAAUGUAUAUAAACUGCUAAAAUUGCCAAUUUAUAAAUGAUCAAAUGUUACUACUUUAUGGCAUAUAUUAGUUUGGUCAACUAAAAAAUUAUCGUAAUUAAGUGUACGUUGGUUGUUGAUUUGAAAUUUGCACCCCUGUCACUAUUUCGUUAUUUCUACACAAGUUUUUCUAAUCAAAGUAAAACAAAGUCAAAUAUCUUUUCCUUUUGUAUGCAGUAUUUAUAUUUAGUAAAAAUUAAUAAACCAUGAUUACAUUUCAUAAUUUCUAAUGAAAUUAGUAACAUUUUCUAAAUAAAUUGGAAUAAUUUGUAAAAUAUGUUAUUUUUUUACCAAUAUAAUUAGGGGUGACAAUCGGGUCCAAAUCGGAGUGGCGGGUCGGGUUGAGACUGGCUGACCCGAACUUGACCGCCAACCCGAAAUGGGUCAGGAUAUCUGACCCGAAUUGAAAAUUCAGGUUGUCGGUUGGCGGGACGACCCGAAUGACCCAAAACUUAAUUUUAAUUUAUUAAUUUACCACUAUAAUUUUAAUUCACACAAGACUAAUUACAUAAUCAAGUAAUAAAAAUUUAAAUAAAUAAUCCCAAACCAAAUCUAAAAUAAAUUAAAAACACCGUAAAAGUGUUUUAUUCCAAACCAACUUCAAGUGCAUUCCUAUGGAAUUGGUCAACAGCAUUUCGUAGAUCUUUUUCUGUGUAUCCCAUCUUGUUGUGGCCCCCAGCUUGGUAAGCUUGAAGGUCCACUAUUUGAGGAAUUCGAAUACCAACUCCAUGCAUCAAAAUAGCAUGCUCCAGGUCUGUUGGGUUGACACUCCUAUGUGAUCGAAGAAAUUGUACAAAUUCUUGAUUUGUCAAUUGGUGAUUGUGAUCCAUAUUAAACCGCUUAAUCGUAGACUUCUGAAUAUUCUUGUUCCAUUGCACAAUUAUAGUUGCCAGACAACCAACUCUCGUAAGACGUUUUGCCUCUUUCUUACGGCUAACUAAAUUUAACCAUUUGCUAUUUCCUAGCCAUGAGAUCCCGCCCCAACCACCAAAAAAAAAUAUCUUUAGACAGCAGGGCAGGGAUUCACGAAGACUCUAUAUAUUAAUGAAAUUCAUAAAUACUUCUAAUUUAGGCAAGAGAUUAUGCAUUCUAAUUGAUGCGUACAUGCUAAUGUAAUUGAACCAAACAUGCAGCUCCAGGACGGUGCUUUCUUGCUCAGGAUUCAUUCAUUUGGAGUAUUUUAGCUAGUAAUGACAAGUUUACAAUAAAUGAGUUUGAUUGAACUUGCUACCUAUCCCAUUGGCGUAAACCCCCAAAUUUUUGACUUGAAUACACAAAGUCGUAUUUUUUGGCCAAAAAAAAAAGAGAAUACACAUAAUCGUAUUUACGAAUACUUCAACCACUAUGCUUGUCUUAUUAUGGAGCUUGGAGUCAUCUUAAUUCUCCAUAUCUUAUGAUUGAGAGUGGCGCAAGACUCCUUCCUAGCAGGUAAGCAGUGGUAAUUAAUAUGUAUGGAUGAAACUUGGACCGAUUCCCACAGACUUCCAAGCCAAGUAACCCAAAUCAUUAAUAUGACCUUCAAACCACAUAUAUACAUACACUUUCUCUGUUUAAUUGAAGGACAAUGUUAGAGGGCCCAAUUACCCAAAAUGAGAAUAAGUUUCCCUGUUCCAAAAAUGUCCCUGGGUUAAGCUCUAUUACUUGGACUCUUUUUCUAUCAAAUUGGCACCUGUUAUCAUAUUUUCGUUCUAAUCCCUGAAAUAAAUGUGAAAUAUAAAAAAUGAGUAGAAUCUAGCAACUAAUCCACAUCAGGUCAGAUAAUAGGGGAAAUUAAUAAUAAAAUAAAUGAUAAAAUUACAACCUAUCAAUUCCCCCCACACCUAAACCAUGCUUGUCCUCAAGCAUGAGAAAAGCGAUCAAACACCAAUAUUUGAUAGUGGCUAUUGCUCUAUCCAACAAAUUGCCAAGAUACCAAGAAAAAAUAAUAAUCAAGCAUCAAUGGUCAAGUCCAAGAAACAUCACUCCGGUUAGCUUCUAAACCACAAACUCCUCUAAUUUCAUGUUAACUAAUCUAAGAAAAAGGAGUAACGCAUAACAUUUAUCAGCAAAUGGUCCAACUAUUAACCAAAAUCUCAACAUUAAGUCCAUAAUUCGGCAAGCUGACUUUUAUUACACACUAACACAACCUUCACUUUUUUCACAUUUUUUUUUUUUACUUUUUUCUCUUUUUUUUUUAUUCUUUUUUUUUUCAAUAGUAACAAAAGACUUAGUCGCUAGCCAUUUGAGCCUUUUGACGCGAACUCCAACAUUGGCCAGAUGAAGGAGCCCGAUUACUCAGCUUCCAUCGCCACGUGACCACGAACUCAUAGCAAUUACUACUUUUUGACGCGAGAAUCGACACUUUUGGUGAAGAUCCCCGGUUACUCGGUAGUAAAUACUAGCGGAGUACAGUCAACUCUUAUUCACAGCCAAAUAAUACCAAAAAUUCAAAAUAACACAAAAGAAAAUUUGCAUCAGCUAGCCUCAUUUUCAAAUAUGGAGAACUAAAGUUAAUAAUCGGACCAAUUCACAUGAAAAUGCCAACAGUCAUUCCCUACGCCUAGGAAAGUUAACCAAAAAUUAUAAGGGUAAAACAAUCAUCGAUAUUCACCAAAGAGAUGUUCUUGGAUUCAACCACAUUAACUUGACACCCUUUUAUUAUUAAAACUUGGCAAAAGUAGAAAUAGAGGCAAUAAUCCAACAUCAAACCUUGGCAUGCAUUUACGAGCCAAUCACUAAAAAGAAGAAAAAGAAAAUGAACGAAAGACACUAGCACCCUAACUGCUCCCCCCACACCUAAAUCCUACAUUGUCCUCAAUGGAGGUAAUAAAGUAAUGAAAGCGAAGAGAACAAUGGAACUUCCCUGUUGAACAGCUAAGGGAUAGGAGGGAACAGUGGAGGGAAGCCGAGUUCUGAGACAUCCUUACCACCUGGCGGGUGAUGUUCGUCACUCUCUCAACUACGUGAUGAAUCUGAGCCCGCAAGUGGUGCGACUUAACAUCAGAGGCCAUCGGUGGGGGAGGCGCAGAAGAAGAGGGCUCGGGUCUUACCAUUUUCUCCAAAUGUCAUUUCAAUCAACAAGAGACAAGAAUUGCCCACAGACAAUGUAAACAGCAAAUUCAAAGCAAUAACAAUUUAAUAGCCACCGGUGCCUCCCAAAUAUCAAUAGGGAGCGACACAACUUGCCCACCCAAAAUCUCUCUAAAUAUCUCCAAUUGCACAAGAACAACCCAGUCACACAUGCCCAGCAGUCAAUCAAGUAUCCAACCAAGUAGAACUGACACAUGCAAGGGGAAAUAUUCCAACCAGUAUCAUUAGUGCAAAACAUAGUCCAAAAUCAAUGAAAUUGCUAUAGUAGAGUAGAGCAGUAGUAAAGCAAUAGCCCCAAGUAUUAAUCUAGUCACAAGAAAGAUUCUAAACCUCUAAAGAAGAGCAAUAGACGACUAGAAUUCCAAUGAAUAGAGCAAGUAGAGGAACCGUAGGUGGGAACCCAGUCCACCGAAGUCAAUAAACAAACCCAGGAAACAAAUAAGUCCGCAAAUGAGUCAACAAAUUGCACAAAUGAUCAGACCAAAAUCACAGACACUGUUCCUCCAAAUCAGCAAUAUAAACCAACAUCCAAAAUGUCCUCAAAAACUCGAUUAAAAACUACUAAUGCCAACAAGGAAUGCAGUUGCCGAAUUAAAUCAACCAAAAUUUCAACAAGCACAACACUGGCCGAGAUUCUUCCCAAAAUAUCACAGACAAUUGUUAAAAUUCCAGCCCACCCAAGAACUUCAACAAUUGCACCCAAAAGCUCAACAAUUGCCCCCAGCAGUCAACAAGUCAACAAGUCAAGCAACAGUAGUGCAGUGAUUCGGCAAUAACGACUCAAUAUAUACCCUCAACUGGCAAUCAGGCAUCUACCCACAAAAGCAAGUGAAAUUAUCUCAACGACCUAAUGGUUCAAAACACAGAAUUCACUUCCACCCAACGAAAUAGUUGAAGUCACUAAGAUGAACACGUUAGUUAACCGUCACAGAAAAUUCUAACAAGCAAACCAGCUCCUAACAGGGCAAAUUAAGCAGCACAAGCUCCUGAUUCAAUAGGCAAUAUCAGAAAUAACUCAACCAGAAUCCCAAAAGAAACCUCAACGAACUUAGUAGUUGAAAGCAAUGGUCAGAAUAUUUCUCAGCAAUUCAAUUAGAUGCACCCAACUGGAGGAAGCAAUGUAAAUAGCAUAGAAACUUCCCAAUUUAACAAACAAGUGCAAUAUUUCAGCUUACCCAAAAUUUCAACAAAUGGCUCCAGUUGGCCAGUCAAAAUCUUAAUUCAAAGUCAGCAAUUUCAAUGAAAACGACUUAGAUAUUGGACACCACAAACGCAGCCAACCAGAUAGAGGUACCAAAUUAAGGUCCAGUUACCCCACCAGUACCACAGGUAUAGCAAAAUAGCACAAUAAUACGACAGAAAAUAGCACAAUUGCUAGCACUGGUGCACCGCACAGUUAAGGCAGAAAACCCAAUUGCCACUCCAAUCUACUGACAAACCCCCAAGUGAAUCCAAUACAUACCAAAAAUUGGGGAUUUAGUAGCAAAUACCUCUCCCAGUGGCCGAAUGAAGAAACUGGGGCGGUAGUGGCUAAGAAAAAGAGGCGCUGUGUAGGACGCGAGGGAAAGGCGGCGUCCGUGGGCUGGAGCUACGAGGGAGCGCGACUACGCAUGGGCACGGGCGGCAGCGCGCGACUACAGCAGCGACGGCGUCGGCUUGGGCAAAGCGCGCGACAGUGAAGGAGAGCUGGUGAAGCGUGCGGUCGGAGCUGGGUGGCAUGCGGAGGGAUCGCGACUGGAAGAAGAGCUGCGGGGUGGCCUGCGCGUGGUUGGUGAGCGGCGGCGGCGCACGAGCUGGUCGUCGCUGGCGGAGGCGCGAGAUGGGUGCUGCCUCUGGUCUGCUGGCGGUAGCUCGCGGUGGAGGAGUUGAGCAGCGGCGGCGGCAACGCUCCUCGUGCCCGCGAUGGAUCGAUGGCGAAGAGGAAGCUGGUGAGGGGAGAGCCGCGGCUGGGGUGGGUUGAGGGAGGAGGCGGUGGAGAAGAAAGAAGAAGAAGAAGAAAGAAAGAAAAGAAAGAAUAGGGAAGAAAGAAAAAGAAAAAGAAAAAGAAAAUAGUAUUUGUGUGUUUUUUUUUCUUUUCCAUUUUUUUUCUCUUUUUAGAAAAAUUUUUUUUUUUACAGGAAGACUCUCCCCCCCCUUUUUUUUAAAUUACUAAAAAAAAAUUUUUUUUUUAAAAUUUUUUAUAUAUAUAUAACUUUUUUUUGAUUGACAAAAUUUAUUUUUGAAAUUCAAAAGUAGAGAUUAACAGAAAAUCAAUAAUCGUUCUUGAGCUUUUUGAAUACUUACCUUUCCCGUGAACAUGACGCGGGCACGUCAUGAAGGCACAGAAUCUGGAGCUCUCCAUAUGACAUGACGCGGGCAUGUCAUGAGGGCAGGAACCCCUUCUGACGAUUCUGACCGUGAGCUCUCCAUAUGACAUGACGCGGGCGCGUCAUGACAGAAAGACACCUACAAAUUAUCAAAAACGAAAAUUGAAACCCGAAAUCAGUCAAAUUCAAGGAAAAUAUAUUUAAACUAUCACACGAAAUCAAAACAAACAAUUAAAAGGAAUAAUUGGGUUGCCUCCCAAUGAGCGCCUUUCUUUAAUGCCUUUGGCUAGACAUUAUCAUGUUUUGCUCAUGGAGGAUAAAAUCUUGUAACUCGCUUCAAUGCUUUAUCUUCAAUGUGAUCCUGGUAACCCUCAUAGAUGGAGUAAUUUUUGAACACACGAGCUACGGUCUUCCAUGGACUAGUUGAUGGCGCCAAAUAAUCAAGCAGUGAUCUCAAUUCUUCAUCCACUCCUUCAUCAAGAGCACUCAACGGUUCAAGAUAUUUGACCAUAGCUACUCUUAACUUAUUUCUGCCAUGAGACUCAAAAACUUCCGGUAUAACAAAGUCAAUCUCAUUAACAGAAAUCAUGGAGUAAGAGUUUAGAAAAUGCGAGUUGGGGAAUGGAGGUGGUAUCACCACAUUUGAUGAUUCUUCACUGGAUUCUUUCACUUGAAUGGGUUGCGGUUGGGGUUCCAUUUCUUCCUUUUCGGCUUCUUUUUCAACUGCAUCUGUAGAUUUCUCAUUUUGACACUCUUGCGUCUCCUCAUCACUAGUCAAGCAAAUUGCACUCUCAUUUUCUUCUAGAUCAACAAUGGUUUUCGAGGGCAAUUCUUCCAUUUGAGAAACCCAUCGAUUUAUUCUGGAUGUCAAUAGACAUAGUUGAUCUGCCAGAUAACUCAUUGCAUCCUUCAUCAUCUCAUUCCUCAUUUGUGUCUCCUGUUGGAAUUGGUAUGUAUUAGUAGCUAUUGGUUCAACUAUUUUUUCAAGAGACAUACCUGACAUAGAUGACGAUUCUUGAGACUCAUACUGCUGAAAAUUCAUUGGCCCCGUUGUAUAAUUAUAAUUGGAGUUAUCCCACCAUCUUUGAUCAUACCCGUUUGGAUUAGGGUUAUACCACGUUUGAGACCAGGGUGAAAAAUCUCCGUAAUUAUUGAAUGGGACACUCAGAUUAUCUUGAUAUUCGGGGUACAUACCGGUUGAAUGAUCCCUGGCAUAACAAAUUUUACAUGUUGCAGCAGCCAUUCUUUCUCUAAUAGAGUUUAGUGCCUCUGAAUAUGCAGACUUAGCAAAAAAACUAGUCUCAUCGCCUUCCCCGGAAGCAAAAUCCUUUAUAUCACCAAAAUACGGAGUGUUAGAAGCCAUAAGCUAUAUAAAAAAAAAAGAAAAAUAAAUUAAAAAUAAAAAUAAGGUGAACUCAAAAAGAAACAAAUUAAUCUGACACCAGUCCUCGGCAACGGCGCCAAAAAUUGACAGGUUGUCGAAGCCUGUGCAGUAAUAAAAAUCUACUCAAACUAAAAAUAAUUUCUGUAGAUAGCGGUGAGCAGGGUCGAAUCCACAGGGACUGGGAGUAAUUAUUUCUUUUCAAGUUCACAGUGACAAGGGGGUGUUUUUGUGCAGAGAGUGACAAUCAAAUAAAUGCAAAUAAAAUCCAAGGAACUACUAAAAAUUAAAUAAUAAUUUACUAAACACAAAUGAAUGAUAACUAAAGUUAUAGCCAAGAAAUAACUUCAGCAAUGGUUCACCUAAUUGAUCAUCGAAACAAAGGCAAUUCCAAUUAUUUACCAAUAAAUAGGUUAUAACUACCAAACAAGCGAUGGCAGUCAACCCCUCCUUACUGUGUCGGUGAUUAAGGUACGCCCGUUAAUCACUGCUCUAAUUGAGAAAUAAUCCUAGGUACGCCCAUAAGAUUUAAUUUCCUAAUUGCCUUACAUAUUAGAGGAGCCCUAUUCUAACCAAAUAACGCACUACUAGAGUUAUUUUAGAUUAGCCCACGUAUUCCCCUGACACAAACCCAAUCAUGCCAGUUAUCACUAUUUUGAGACAAUUAAACAAUUACGGAUUUAACGUCCCAAUUGACAAUAGAUUAUCAAAUUAACUAAUUAUCCGGAUCCAAAACAAUCAAUUAAUUAAACAAUCAUAAGCACUGCAACCAAGGAAUAUGCGAAUACUAAUAAAUAGAGAAAAAGAUAAAAUUAAAUCGAUCUCACAAUUUUUUACGUGAAUCAAAGCAUCCGUUGUCCCUUGACUAGGGUGAGGAAAUUAGUUUAUAGUUGAUGAACAAAAUCCACAAGAAAUUGAAGCAAAAGCUGCGGCCAUCAAUUCGGAAGUUGGGUGAAUUCAAUUCGUCUAUUCAAUGAAGAAAGAAAGCUACAAAAGGUAAUUCAUAGUUUUCCUUCGGUCUGGACAUCCGCAGGAAGCAAACCACUAAAAGACGAAAAAGGAAAAGUCAAAAAGAAAACAAGCCUAAGCUACUGAACGGAAAGUUCCCUUUCAAUUUCUAUCUAAAUCCUAUUCUAAUGCUCUCCUUGCGCGGCGGCCCCCUUGUGGAGAGGACGAAGCCUCUGGAGGAAGAAGAAGCAGAGGACCCCUGCGGCGCUCCAGCCCUCCAGUAAAAUAGAAGCCUCUGCCCUGCUCUCUUCUUUUGAAAUUACCAAAAUGGGCAAAAGUCUUCCUUUGCCAAUAAUACCCCUGGGAUAAGCUCUGUUAUUUGAGCUCUUUUCUUGUUAAAUUGUCACUUGUUAUCAUAUUUUCGUUCUACUCCCUGAAAUAAAUGCAAAAUAUCAAAAGUGAGUAGAAUCUAGCAAUUAAUCCACAAUAGGUCAGAUAAUAGGAAAAAUUAAUAAUAAAAUAAAUGAUAAAAUUAUAACCUAUCACAAUGCAAUGGGCAUUGAUGGAGCAGCCAAGACUUCCCAAAAAGGAGAUGAAGCUAGAGGUUACGGAAGCAAGCUUGUUAAAGGAGCAUGAUGGUUUUUCACGAGUUGCACAUGUUCUCAAGUUAGCAGAAGAGCAGGAUAAGAGAAGUCUUUUACAGAUCAUUUUCGAUUAUGUAUGUAAAAGAAUGUUAGCAAAACUAUAAAAAUGUAGAAUGAUGAAUGGAUCGUCCUGUCUAGGUGAGAUUUAUUGAUGAUACGAUAUUUGUAUAUAUACUUGUCCAAUGUUCAGCAUACAAUUUCCAGAGUUUCAAUUCUGUGUGAGCAAAUUAUUUACUAGGAACCAAAGAGAAAGGUCCCUCAAGCACUACUGGUGAUAGAAAUUUACUGAUACGAGGCUCAUAAUGCUCAACAUAGUUCAACAUUUAAACAGAGGAUGACAGAAAACAUGUAAGAAUCUUUAUAUUCCAGAAACAUACUCACUGCUAUGCUGUUAUGAGGAAAUUUCACAGGAAAUGGUAUUGCAGUUAAGGUAAAGAUUUUCCAGAGUGUACUCUGCAAUAAGGGAGAACUCUUAAGCCUACCAAAUAAGGGAGAACUCUAAGAAUUGUUGACUAAAGUACCAGCAGGUUUCUAAAGUUUUAAGAACUGUUACGUCCCAUGUUAAGUUUUUGGACCAAUGUUGAUAACUUUAGUUUCUGUUGAUUUGAUUUAAGUAGUUGAGGUUCUAUUAUUGUUGAGAAACUUGUAAGUUUUAAUUUUGAGUGAAUUUUAUAAGUCACAAUAAAGAUGUAUUGUAUUGGUGGAAGUAAGGACUCUCAUGCUUGACUCCAAACUUAUCGAUUACGGGUUUGGGCGUGACAUUAUACUAGCUAUCUCGGAUACAUGACGUAUAUGUAAAACUUAGAAUUCAAAUUAAAAGUAAGAUUAGUCGUCAUUAUCUAUAGUAUACACAGUUAUCUCUCGUUUGGUACGCAAGAAUCGCCUAGAAUAGAAAGGUCUUUCCAACUUAUUCAUUCCAUUUUCCUGUCAAGUAUAGAUCUUUUGAGUUGGAAUUCCUGGAAAACUCAUCCCAACUUUUUCAUAAAAAUUUCAUUCGUCAUAAAAUUCUAAGAAAAGCUCUUUCCUCCUUUAUCCUAGAACGUCCAAAAUUAUUGUAGUCAAAUUUAUCCUCAUAGAUCUCUUUGUUUUAUUAACAAUUAGUAGGCUUUUUGUUAGUUUAAUUAAUAAUUGACCAUAAUUACAAACUAUUCCAGUUAUUUUUAAAAUAUUUUUUCUUUGCUAAUUUUAAGAUAUUAUUCUUUAAACUUCUAUGCAAAUAUGUAAGGAUUCCUUUUUGGCACUUGACAUAAAUGGUAAAAACUAAUAAAUAGAGAAUAUGAAUGUUUAACUUCACGUAAUUUAAUUUUUUGUAAGCUAGUGAUUACAUUGUUAUUUAAAAUCCAAAAAUGAUAUAAUAUUAUAAUCAAAUGAUUUCAAUAAGUACAUAUGCCAUUCAUAAUGUACAAAAAAAAAAAAAAAAAAAAAAGAGUCAAUGUUCCUCAUAUAAAGUAGGGAAAAUCGUUCAAAAUGUCUCUCACAUUUUGCAAAAUAAAAGAUUUCUGGGUAAUUAAGUCAAUUUUAUACAUAUUUAUUCCAUUUUGACAUCUAAAAAUUGAUUGUACCAGAUACUGGAAAUGGGAUGAACAUUUGAUUCUAACAUGCAUACCAGACAUUAGAAUGAAAUUUUUUUUUUCCCAUAUCGUUCUAACUAGAAAAGCAUUUUGAGUGGAAAGACUUUUCCAUUCUGGGCAUUCCGUAAUCCGUAUACCAAACAAGGGUAAGAAAAGAUUGAUCCAUUAAAAAUCAAUCAUGCGGUAAGGAGAUUAGAUAAUGAUAGAUUUGAAAAAAUUAAUGGCUACGACUGGUAUGUAAUUGUGAAAAUCACAACAUCUACCAAAUCCUUAUAUUCCAGUUCACAAUUUUACAAUGUCAGUUUCUUGAUGGGUAAUAACUAAAUCCUAUCUUUAUACUUUUUAGUGUUAAAGCUACAUGCAGCAAAUUAAAGCUCAACUUUGCAUUUUUUUUUCUUUUUUCUUUUGCUACACUAAUUUUGACAUUCAGUACUUAUUUGAGACACACAUGUAGAGUGUGCGUUAAGCAUUAGCAAGAAUAAGAUUUGUAUAAAUAUAUCAGUCAUUUUUUGAGAUUCGGUAAAUCUAAUUUCUUGAAUCCACAAUUUCUCCGUUUAUCAUUGUAAGAGCUAAACUUUUCUUUGGACUUAAACCAAUUUUUAAUAAGAUUUGAUUGUUGGAAAACAUGUACAAAUCUAUUGGACUAUAAUGAUUCAUAUAAGCGAAAGAUAUGUUAAAACAUGAAUAUUAUCUUUGUUUUGUAUGGAUUUUUCAGAUCUGUUAAUUUCAAAUCUGUGUAUACUUGUAUCAUCUUUGAUUUGAUAUAUUCUCUGCCAUUACUAUGUUUGCAUUCUCACGCCAUAUGCCCUUAUCUUCAGAUAAUAUACAUACAUCAUUUGAUUCAAAACCCCACGCAAUUCAUUAUUUUACCCAAACAUAAAAACAUAAUCAAUUUGCAUUAGAGGUGUGAUUAUUACGCAGUAGUUCGACUUUAUUGGUCUAAUUCAUUGAUGCAUCUUCCAUGAUCUUCACAAUUUCACGCAAAGCAUUAUAAGAUAAAUUUGGCUAAUAAUAAUGGACAUGCUUAGUAACACCUGACUAAUUAUUUGUAUCAAAAUACCGAACUUGCUUUCAAUUAUAGAAUAAAUAUACUUUCCGAUUCAUUAAUGUACGCGUUAGAAUCUAAUCGAAUCAAAUCUAAUAAAUUCAUCGCUCAAUCGAUUAAUUUUGAUCUUAAUGGAUCCAAAAAAUGGAACUCCCAACGGAUUCAGACAAAACUAUGUUUGGAUUAAAUAGGUCGAAAUUGGUUCUCGAAAAUGAAAUGUACUUUUUCCAUCUUAAUUGGGAUUUUUAGCUGGCAUAAUAGUGUGUGAAGUCAACAUCAAGAUAAAGUUAACUAUGUGCUUAACCACCAUUUUGGUUAAACGAUAUGAACCAAGGAGUUGAUUAGUCAACAUGCAAAAAUAAUUGGAUCUAAUCCUACUUAAUUAUCAUUCAACUUUAAGGAGAAGAUUGGUAUCUACUCAAGCAAAUAUAUAUAUUUCUUUAGCUCCAUCGGUAAUGCUUGUGUUUCUUUAGACUUGAGGGAAUCAUUACAGAUGCAAUAUUCAAGCAGAAGGUAGACAUUAGUACUACAUACUGAUCAAGCUGAAGCCAAAGGCCAGUCUCUUUUUGAUGGUUUGUUAAGCAGCAGAUUCCUAUUGUGAUGAGAUUCAUAGGAGCGGUAACAAAGCAGAAAAUAGAAAAGGUUGAUGAAACUCAAGAUGGCAAGCAGCCAGUAGUGGUAGUCAAGGUGACCUUCAUUCAGGUUGUUGGCCAACCAGCUUGCUUUACCACCGCAACCAGUAAUGCUAUUGACAAUAUUCACCAGAAGACUCCCAAACAGGUUAGCCAGAGCCGAUCCAAAUGUAUAAAUUGCUGCUCCAAUACUGGACAUGCUCUUAGGGAACUCCAUGUAAAAGAAUUGCAACUGUCCAAUUGCAUUCAGAGCUUCGGCCAAUCCGAGAAAUACAAUCUGUGGCAGUAGCAGCAUUGCAGACAUGUCCACGACGGCAUCUGGCUCGCCCUGAACCCCUCAUCAACUGCUUUUUUCAGCCUUAUGCUCUCCACAAUAGCUGCUAAUACCAUGGAUAUACAUGACAUUAUCAAUCCCAUCCCCAUCCGUACUAUAGGACUUAGUCCUUGUGGAUUACGAGUAUAUCUUGCCAAGAAGGGUGCUAGUAGACGAUCGUAAAAUGCAAUCCAAAUUGCCAUGGUAAUCACCAUGAACAAAGUAAAGGAUCCAGCUGGAACUUCAAAAUUCAAUAUGUGCCUAUCCAUUGAACUCAGUUGAAGUGUUAGAAAAGAAGUCUGAUCAAUGAUAACUAAGAAUAUUAGGCCUGUGGACCACAUGGGAACAACUCCAAGGAGAACUUUAAGUGAUUCAACUUGUUCCACACUGCAGAGGGUCCAUUGAUCUAAAGCUGUUCCAUCCGAAGUUAAUUCUGUGUCUGGAUCUUGAAUAAUACAAGCCUUAUUUAGACACCUGUAUAUAUAGAUAUAAACUAUCAACUAAAAUAACUAACGUUCCUGCUUGAAAUGGUUUCAAAGUGAUUUUCUUGUAAACUUAUACUGAUCAUGCAGAAAGUGUUUCUCCUAUCUUGCCCUGAGUGGAGCAAAAUGGAGACAGCACCUCCUAAUUUUGAUUACUACUUUUUUAGUGAAGAUUAAGAUUUUUUUUAAGAUUUUCUUUUAAUAUUUUAAUAACUACAAAAUUUUCUCUAGAAAAGUCAUUAGUUGGCAGUGGCAGAAGAUGCAAAAAUCAGCAUAACCAAAAGUUGCCAGAGUUUAAGGAACUUAUGUGAUGGCAAUUGAUACUGUGGCAGCUAUACCUGAACUGCUCAGUGGGUGCUAGAAGCUCUGGCUUCCUGGUCUUAUGGUAGCACUUGUAAUUGUCUUUCGAAGGGCAAUCAAUUUUUCUCUUUCUGAAUGCUGCCACGAGAACUGGGAAAAAUCCGAUUAACAAGCUUUCACUAGGUUUUGAUUUGAUGUAAAGAGAGGAGCCAACUAAGAACAUCAGAGCAGAGAUAACAUUAAGAUGGCAGGGAUUCCAAAUCCAACUGACCACCCCAAACGAUCCUGGAUAUAAACAAUUACAGUCAUGGCAACAACAGUUGAGAUUGUGGCAGAAGCAUAAUACCAGUUGAAAUAACUUUGUAUAACCCUCUCAUUGUUGGGAUUCUUUUUGUUGUCGAAUUGGCCUGCACCAAAAGCAAUAGAACAAGGCCUAAUACAACCAGCUCCUACAGAAAUUAGCAAAAAUGAAGACAAUAAGGAAACAAUUCGAACUCCAUUUGGUGCACUGCAAUUGUGCAACUGGUCACAAGGUAAAGGCUUCAACGGUGGAACCAUAGAAGUCAGCCACAGAAUAACCAUUCCCUGCAGAAACAGACCAUAUUUUGAUUCCGAACAACCCAAAUGGGGGACUAAGAAUUAGAUCCAUAAGUCUUAUUCUAGUUACCCAAUUUUUAUCAUAUAUAAGUGGCAGGAAAAAAGAAAAAUGUCCAACCGCGCAGAGCAAUACUAGAUAUGACAGAAGCUCAGAUCAUCAUGGCGUGUUUGUUCUUUAUUACAUAAACGUCCAAUAGCAACCAUUCCUAUCAUACUUCUAUUGGUAAAUGUUCGCCAUGAAUGGGCAUUUUACAGUCCCAAGUCUUAAGAAGAGCGUUUUCUACAUUUUCAUUCAUCAAAUGGUUUAUCAAGACCUGUUUCAUAAUCUGUUCAAGAUCAAUAAAAAUUUUCCACAGCUCUAAACUUUCUUGUUGCUGGACUUUAUAGUCAAUAAUUAAAGGCACCUGAUGCAUGAUAAGUAGAUUCUGAUGCAUAAUAGUUAGAUUCAAUUGUCCCUGGAAUUGUCCCCCUUUCCGCUAUACUUAGAUAAGCUACAACAAAUUUAACAUUUCUGAUCAUUCAAAUUAAGUACUAUAUUUGUUACUGAUCAUUCAAAUUAAGUAUUAUAUUUGUUAGUCAUAAAUUUUCUAAUCCUCUGGUAAACCAUAAAGAAGAUUAUCUCAAGAAACAGAAACAGAAUGACUUUAAACUGUAAUUGCAUACAAAACUUGCAAAUAUUGGUCCAAAACUUAGUACAGAUGAGCAAUUCCAGAAUUUUAUGUGGGGAAAAGAAACAAAAAGCAAUAUGUUAAAUUACACAAUAAGUAAAAGAGACUCACAAGAAGGCUGGACAUGGAUCCAAGAGCAAUGACCCGGAACCCACCAAAAUAAGAAUCAGCCAAGAAAGCACCAAAAAGGGCCAAACCAUCGGAUAGAGCAGCCCAGAUAAAGAGUAUAGUGGAUGCUGUGGCAGUUUCAAAAUGGUAAACUUUUGUUAAGUAGAGUAUCAUGUUUGGCAUUAGCCCCUGACUUGCCAACCUCUCAAAUGCUACAUUCACUGACCAAGAGGAAGAGAGAUAGAGAGAGUGAGAGAGAGAGAUCAAAACUUUUGUCCAAUAUGACAGAAUGCAGAGCCAUACAACAUUUCCAUGCAUACCUAGGAUGAAAGGCAUGGUCUUGAGACCACCCUUCGUUCUUCUUGGUUCUGGUGAACGAUCAGCAAACUCUCUUCUUCUGGAUUAUUGUCCAUCUUCACUUCUUCCAUCAACAGCUUUACUGGAUUUUAGAUUUAAUUUUAUGUUAGUUGAAAUGAAAGUCUUCAAUCAAACAAGAUACUUCAUCAAGGAGGAGUUUUAGUUUGUCUCUAUGUUUUUAUUGUCUUAGAAUUCAAAUAUAUAUACUCCAACUUUUGCACUCCUAAUCAGAAUAUUUACCAACCGUAUGACUUGGCUUCAUUUUUAACGAUUGUAAUGCUUUUUCCAGGAAAAUGCAUCUAUUAGAGUAGACAAUGGAUUGCUACAAUUACAGCACAUGAUAAUAAUUUCUAUACAUUUUUAAGUGUUCUAUUCGUCAAGCACGCCAUCAUUUGGGCCCUCAUUGCAAAACAAAAACUGCGGGAAAGCCUUAGGUGAGAAGCUAUAUAAUCAUUAUGACUGAAAUCUAGCUACUUCAGUAACGUGAAAACUGGAAAGUUGAUUAUAUUAAUGAAUCAAGAAUUAAUCUUCUAUACACUAUCAAAUCAAGAUGCACAAUAAUUAAUUUUAAUUUGAUUUUGAAAUUAAAAUUUUACACGUGUAUCAUGUAUUUAAUCAUGAUAAUGUAUAUAUGCUGUCAGUAUAUAUAUGCACUAAAAUAUAGACCCAAAAAAAAUUUUAGAAACAGGUACAUGAAACGGGUACAAAAAAAAAAGGAUUUUAGAGAAAGAUUUUAUCACCUGUCAGAGGAAAAGCAAGAUCCAGGAAAGGCUAACCAUGGAUUGUUUUGUGCAAUGUCUAAUGUGACUCACAAGUCACAAGAUGUACGGCAUGGACAACACAUUGUGAAAACUAAUACUCCCUUCCUUUUUUUAUAACUGACGUUUAAGAUUUUGCACAUCAAUUAAGAAAAGCAUUUCAUUACUUAAAUAUGUACACUACUUUCCUUUUGUACCCUCAUUAAUUAUCCAAUUCACCCAUGGAGGGGCAGAUAAUUACUAGGGUUGUUACAAAGAGAGAAGCAAUAAUUACUAGGAGUAGUAAUUAAGAACCCUGUAUUGGAAAAGAGAGAUAAAAGGGUAAAAUUGUGAAAAAAUAAUUAAUACUGUAUGGGGAUAAUAAAACGACAGAUAAAAGUACACUAGAGCAAAUUUCUUAAACGUCAGUUAUAAAAAAAAUGGAGGGAGUAGUACAAUAGAGUGGAAACUCUGAGCACUAAGUAUCAAUUUUAUGCAAUUUUGAGCCAAAGUGGCCAACCGCCCAAAACCAUUAAAAGAUGCAAGAGUUAUUGUCCCUUCUUGUUGGGUUGAUAGGGCAAAUUAAUACACGAAUUAGUGCAUUAAUGCACGUAUUCUAGUUGACAGUCAAAGUGGCGUUUCCAUAUCUUUGUUGAACUCAAGACUGUAAAUUGUAUAUCCGCUAGGAUGAUAACUAGUGCAGACCAGACAACGAGGUCUUGGCUUCAAAUUUGGCUGAAAUGUGCAAAUAAUUUAUAGGUACUUGAAUCCAUUGAAAAGGGGUUUUAUGUACCUGCCUUGAUUUGAAUAGUAAGUUAACUAAAUAAUCACGUAGUAGUACUUUUUUUGGGUAACGUGUUAGACCCACAAGAAAAUCUAAAAAAUGCUAUGCUAUAAAUUUAAGAAUUAAUGUUCUCUACACUGUUAGUGUAUACAUUGUACGUUUUAAAUAAAUAACAACUAUAUGAAAUUUAAAUUUGAAAUUUAACUUUUAUACAUGUGCCAUGGAUCCAUCAAUGAUAAUGUAUACACUGUCAGUGUAUAUAAAAUUUGCUUUAAAUUUAAUCAUAGCGAAUGAUAAAAAGUCAUGCCAAGAUAAAAAAAACUUCCAAAUCAACCCAGACGGUAAGAAAUCUGGAAAACAUGUCUAAUCCAACUAAAAACACGCAUACAGAAUGCAAAUGAUUACGCAAAUCCAGUCCUGAAGCAAUAAAAUUAGACUUAGGCACCAGCUUGCCCAAGCUGGUGUAGUAUGUUGGUGUAGUAUAUUCCUAUUGCCCACAACUGCUUUGAAAACAAGCUUGGAAAGAUGUGUCUACCUUCAAAAAAUGGCGGUUUGGGAGUUAAAAAUCUGGUCAAAUGGAAUCAAGCUUUGUUACAUAAACUAAUUUAGAAUAUUUGUGCUAAGAAAGAUCAUUUAUGGAUUGUUUGGGUGCAAAGGUUUUUACUAAAAGACAAGUGGUUUUGGAUGAUUUCUGUUCCUAUGGAUUGUAGUUGGGCUUGGCUCAAAAUAUUGCAGUUCAGGCCUUUGAUUACGCCAUUUAUUUGAAUAGAAUAGGCAAUAGGGCCACCACAUCUUUGUGGUUUGACAAUUGGCGUCUCAAAAGGGUCCUUUCUGGUAAUGUAUUUUCUGGUAAUUUACAAAAGAUCCUUUCUUUUUGGUAAUUUACUUUGAUCCUUGGGGUGUAAUAAGUUAAAUGUAGUGUCUCGAAUGAUGAGUAAGAGAAGUUAAUUUUAUUUUGCAUCUUUUAAUUAUACCUAAAUUUUCACUUUGAUACCUAAAUUUCAAAGUAUGACAUUUAGUAUUUGAAGCACCUAUUUUAUCCUAUGUAAGUAAGAUCUGCCGCACUUUAGUCCUUAAAAUAUAAUGGGCCAGCCAAAGUCAACAAUGGGUUUGAGCUGGGCAUUGUAUAUUAUUGGAUUAGGAUGACCUUGGACUUCAAUUGAAGUUCGCCCAAAAAUUUAUGUAUAUAAAGUUUAUGUUUCAUUUACUUUCAUUUUUAAUUAUGUAUAUUAUUGAAUAACUAUUUGUGUAUCUAUAUAUAUUAUAAUUUUCAUAAUCCUAAAAUAUUAUAUGCACAUUAUGGGCUUGUUCUCAUUGAUUAUUUUAGGUGGUUAUAUAUUUUUUUCCAACAAACAUUAACAGUUUCAUAUAUAAGAAUUAACACUUGAUAUUGCAAGAGUUAAUUACAAAAAGGGGCCACUACCCUAAUUUCCUUCUGUGCUAAGUCUAUCAACAAUAUUGGAAAAUCUUGUUCCCAUUCUACAUCAUGCACUAACUUUACAUCUUGUGCUAAGUUUAUGGCUGAUUUCAUUUUCUAAUCUAGUUACAAAAAAGAAAUGAUAGUUUUCAAAAUAUGCUUUUAGUUUCCUGAACGUCUUCCAAAAUAGUUGCAAUGUUGUAUUUACAGUCACUGCAGCUAUUAAUCUGGUCUACAGCUGACUUGCAAUCUGUGUGAACUACUAUUUUAGUCCACCCUGCAUUUUGGCCAUCACCAUUGCAUUUCUUAUUGCAAGAGUUUCUUCCUUGCUUGCAUCUCCCUUUUUUUGGUUCACUAUCCCUUUUGCCUUCACAAUCCUUCCCCUCCAGUUUCUUGCAAUUAUCCCUUAGCCUAUUCUAAUCAUUCUUGCAGAGAUUGUAGCAUCUGGAUACAUGUAUAUCACAUUUUUCUUUGAUGGCUCUCUUCUGACUUGUGUCUUACUGUUAACAUGUAGUGCAGUGUUUUCUUGUUCUGCUUCUCUUGUCUAUUUGUACUCUAUCCAAUCACCUUGUGCUUUCUGUAUUGUUCUACUUGGAUCCAGAUUAGAGUCUUCAAACAUUUUUUUGUUCCUAGCUUUCCAAAUUUGCCAAAAGAUGUUAAUGGUAAGGUUUAUUUGAUCCUGACCUUGUUCCUUUAAGAUUGUUUGCAUGGCAGUUUCCGACCAGAGCCACAAGUUAUGCUAUUUGUCUUUCAAUCCAUCCCAUCUCACUAGAGCCAGUUUCUAGACCAGUGCUGCAUUUGUACAAAAGAAGAACAAAUGUUCUAUGGUUUCAACAUCCUCCCCACAAUAGUCAUAUCUUCUCUUCUCUUUUCCUAACCUUUUGAAUGUAAUGUCGUUUACUGGUAUGCAAUUCUGCAGGCAUUUCCACAUAAAAUGUUUCAAUUUGCCCUUUACAUUCUAUUACCAUAACUUUUUCCAAAUACUAUGUUUUAUUAUCUCCCAACUAGUUUCAGCAUUGAUUCUUUCUUUGGCACAGUGCUGAUCACAAUCCUAUUUUGACACUAUAUAUCCAGUCUUUACUGUGUAUGUUCCAGUUUUAGAGAAUUUCUAGAAUACUUUGUCCUUUCUUCGAUGUAUACUAAUAAGAAUGCUCUCAAUCAGUUCAGCAUCUUUUCUGCAAAACCAUUGUUAUAGAGCCUCUUUUUUCCAUUUCUCCCCUUCUAUCAGCUCACUUACCCAUUCCAACUAGCAAUCCUCAAGUUUUUCAAAGGUCACUUUCACCUUUCUCUGAUCUGAUUAUCCAUUUGUCCUUCCAUAUGUUUACUCUACUUCAAUCUCUAACUCUCUUCCAUAAGCCAGCAAACAGUAGUGUCCUGGAACUGUGUAUGCUCUUCCAGCUCCAUGAUGCUGAGUUUGGGGGUUCUUUCUCUAUCCAGUUAGGGUCCUUCAUGUAUUUUGCUUCAUUACCUUGCUUACUAGCAAAUUUGGAGCAAUUAAGAAUCCCCAAAUUUGCUCUGCAAGCAAGGCAAUAUUAAAUGCCUCUAAGUCCUUGAAGCCAAUUCCCCCUCUUCCCUUUACUUCUGUGAGUUUCUUCCAGCUUGCCCAAUGCACACAAGUCUCUUUCUCCCCAUCUCCCUACCAGAACCUUGCAAUCCUUGAUGUGAUCUCUCUGCACAAUCCUUUAAGGAGUCUAAAGCAUGCCAUUAUAUAUGUUAGCAUGGCCAUUAUGACUAACUUGAUAAGUACCUCAUUUCCUCUUUGACUUAUUAGCCUCUGUUUCCACCUUUGUAACUUGUUACUGAUUUUACUCUUUACAAAGGCAAACGCCUGCUCUUUUGAUCUUCCAAUGGCCAUUGGUAGCCCCAAGUAUGUCCCUUUUGAUGCCUCUCUCAUGCUGUCCAAUCCUUCACUCACCUCCUGUUUUGUCUGAUUAGUGGUGUUUCUACUUUAGAAAAUUGCUGACUUGUCAAAGUUUACCACUUGUCUAGAACCUUUGCCAUAUUUUGUCAGGAUAUCUUUCACUUUCAACAUCUCUUCUUUGUUUGUUUGCAACACAGUAAGGAGUCAUCUGCAAAGAGCAAAUGUGAAAUAGGAGGGCUAUCUCUGCAAAUUUUGAUACCUGUUAGCUCAUUUUUUGUCACUACUUUUUUUAGUAGGCUGGACAAUCCUUCAACACAGAUAAUGAAAAGAUAAGGUGAUAAUGGGUCCCUUUGUCUAAUUCCUCUAUUUGGUCUAAUGUGUCCUACUUUUUGGCCAUUCAACUUGAAGGAGUAAGAAAUAGUAGACAAACAGACCAUGAUCUAUUUAACAAAAAUUGGACAAAAAUCCAUUUUCAACAUCAAUCUUCCCAAAAACUUCUAUUCUACUCUAUCAUAAGCUUUGGACAUGUCAAACUUAAUGGUCAAGAAUCCUAUUUUUCCUUUUCUUUUAUUUUUUUCAAAAAAUGGAGAAUUUCAUGGGCUAUCACUACAUUGUCAAGGAUUUAUCUACCAAGGAUAAAAACAGACUGAGAACAACUGAUGCAAUGCUUAAGAACCCUUUUGGGCCUAUUUGCUAUGAAUUUAGAAAUGAUUUUAUAAAGUACAGUACAUAAACUAAUAGGCCUAUAGUUCACAACAGACACUGAUGCUUCAGUUUUUGGGACCAAAAAAUUGAUGGUUUCAUUCACAACUUUGAGCAAGUAACUAGCAUGGAAAAAGCUAUUUAUAGCAGACACAAUGUCCUUUUUUAUGAUAUGCCAAUAAUGUUGGAAAAAAUGUGGAGACAUACCAUCAGUUCUUGGGGCUUUGUUAGGAUACAUUGAAAGAAGAACUUGUCUGAUUUCUUUUUCUUCAACAAGCUUAAUCAACUAUUCAUUCAUUUGACCAAAAAUAGUGCUUGGGACCUUUGCUAAUAUAUCCUCAAAAUUGUUAGGGUUGGUAGUGGUGAAAAGGUCCUUGUAGUACUUACUAAGCUCCUUUUCAAUUUCCUGCUCAGUCUUACACUAGGUUCCAUCUUGUUUCUACAGAGUACUGAUCUUGUUUCUUUACCUUCUUGUCAUCACACUUGUAUGGAAAAAGGCUGUAUUUCUGUCACAUUCUUUGAGCCAUCUACUUCUUGAUUUUUGACUCCAAAACAAUUCUUCCUUCUUAUAUGCUUUGCUCAGUUGAGUUUUUAUCUCUGCAAUCUAGCCUCUCUCACCUGGUUCAUUUCCUGUUUUCACCUCAUUGAGUUGCUUUUUUAGUUCCCUGAUCCUUACUUUUGAAUUCCCUUGCACUCUUUUAUUCCAUUCCAGAGUGGCUAUCCUGCACUCCUUUAUUUUUCCUAGUCACUUUGUACAUUAUGGAACCUGUGUGUACUUUAUCCCAUGCUCCUUUGAUCAUAUUCUUUGAUUCUAGAUUUUUAGUCCAGCAUUGAUCAAAAUAAAACCUCAUUCUUCUUUUAUGUCUAUCUAGAUUAGUAUCCAGAUUAGGAUCAAGUGGUUUGGGGCUUUAUUUUCUACAUGUGUACAAGAGGCCUUAUCAAACUUUGGCAUCUAUUCAACAUUGCUUAAGCACUUGUCCAAUCUCUCCUUCACUUCCCCAUCCCCCCCAACAAUUGCUCCACAUCCAUGGCACCCUUUGGUAUCCUAUAUCUAUAGGAUCAUUACCUAUGAUGAAGCAAUUGAAAUCCCUUAGACUUCCUUCAGCUCUCUCUCUCUCUCUCUCUCUCUCUCUCUCUCUCUCUCCCCCCAAUUUCUCCCCAUUCGGUCUUAUAUCAUUGAAAUCCUCCACCAGCAUCCAAGGCUCUCCCAAUUCCUUUUUCUUGCUUUCAAGAUGUUUCCACUGUUCUUUUCUGAUAUUUCUAUCCACACUCGCAUAUAGGCAUACUAGCUGCCAAUGGCAAUUAGUUUCCCUGUCUUCUGUUUUUGCUGCUAUAUACCAGCUAGUGCUGUUCACUUCGUCUAUCUUCACAUCAUUGCUCCAAAACAAGGCCAAUCCCCCUGCUCUACCUAUAGAGUUUACAAUGUAUCCAUUUUCAAAUUUGAUUUUCUUUUGCACUUUUUUCAUGAAGUUUUCCUAGUUUUUUGUUUCACAAAAGAACACAAUAUUAAGAGAGUGGAGAUUUAAACCCUCAUUCAAUUGGAAAAUUGUCAAGGGGCCUCCUGCACCUCGACAAUUCCACACGGACCACACCACAACCUUUAUAUACACCUUGGAGGUAUAAAGGGGUUAGCCUCCAAUUCCCCAGUUGAUAGUGUGUUGGUUGUUUCCUUUCUCAUUGCUUUCACCUUUGGGUUAUCUGCAGCAUCUUCAUCCAUUGGUUCUAUCUCUUGUUGUAAUGACUCCAUUUUUCUUUUUCCUCCCAAUUCCCCUAGCCAUUCCUUAUUUGUAAUCUUCUUCAGAGGAGUUCUAGUUGUUCUCAACACUCUCUUGAAUUAUCUUCAUUCUUCUUUUCUACUUCCAUCCCCUAAGUUUUCUAUUGUCUGUCUUUCCUUUUUCUCCUCAAAACCUUCCAUUACCUUUGCCAUUAUCAAUGUGUUUUUUGAUUGGCACCCAUUGUGCUCCACUUCCAUAUUCUUAAUGAGGAGGGGCUCAAGGCUGCUCAAACUUCUAGUGCUCAGGUCAUGCAAAUACCCAAUGGUCCAAUUACAAGAGCGCGUGCUAGGAGAAUUCAAGAAUCACUUCAAGCUCUUGUUUGCACGAUUCAAGAACGAGUUGGUGAUGACUUGAGGACCAUUGAAGGAUUACAUAAUGGAGAAACUACUCUAUACACUUUCCUUCAAAUGGAAGAACCAAGUGAAGACUAGUUCACGGAGCACUAGCUUGCUAAUUAGGGUUUUAGUUACCAUUAUUAGUUGUUUGUUAGCAUUAAUAAUUUCGGUCAAUUUUCACUUCACUUUGGCCGAAUUCAGAGUCUUAAUUUUAGUCAAUUAGUUGUUAGAUAUUUUCACCCUUAAUGAAGGGCAAGGUCGUCCAUUGGACAUUCUAGGGUUUGAGUCUUGUAAGGCUAUAUAUAGCCUAGGUUUUCAUUCAUUAAAGGGGGAAUUCAGAUUUUUUACAAAAAUAUUCGUGAGUUUAUUCACUCUCUCUUGCCUCAAGAGAAUUUCCUUUGAAUACUUGAGAAUUAAUCUCAAGUUGUUCAUCGAACUUAUCAAUCAAGUAGUCUCCUUGAUUGUGGCGUUCUUCUAUCUAUACUUUUGGUUCACUAAAUUUGCUAGUCUUGGGUUAAGGAAUCUCCUUAGUUCGUGGCUUGUGAUUCUAGAAGGGUCAAAGUUCCGCCAAUCAUCCCAACUUGGUGUUCGUCUAGAUCCGUCUCACAUCAGUUGGUAUCAAGAGCUAGUCGACGACAUCAAGUAUAUCCCGUUGAGGUUCUUUGUUUUUCUCCUUUUCUUUUCUUCGUAAGUUUUCUAGUAUUUUCUUCAAAUCUGGUCGUGUCAAUCCGUGUGACAAUUACAAAAAAAAAAAAAGAAAACAGCCGCAUCUUAUUUGUUUCCUUGUUGCAUCGUUUAUUGAAUUUUUUCUCUUUUGAUUCUUGUACACUUCGUGCGUUAUUUUGUUGCGUGAAUUUCCUUGGAAUCUGCCUCCAAGCUUAGCCGUGGUUGUCUUUGGAUAAUCUGGUUAGUACAAAAAAAAAAAAUUAUUUGCGACGGCUAGGGUUUUCACUUGCAAUUAGGGUUUCCUUGAGCGCAAGUUUCUUGCCAAAUCUGUCCAAACUUUAGUUUAUUCCACCAAGUUGUUUUCAUUAAUUUUCUAAACUGAUUUUUGUGGUUAAACUUGUUUGGGUUGGAAUCUUGAAGAGGGACUACAAUAAUCUAGGGAUUCUUGAGUUUCUUGAAACUAAUCUUGAAGUCUCAAAAAUUUUGAUACAUGUCUUGAUAGUUAUUGGAGGAUUGAAGGAGAACAUUGGAGUGACAUUAAAUUCUGGAAUUUUACCCAAAAACAGCCGAGUAAUUGUGUGUUCGUAGAGUAAAAAAAAAAAGAAAAAAAGAAAGGAAACACACAAUCGGCUAGGACAAGGCCGAACAAGAAAGAAAAGAAGGAACUUGACCUGAUUUGCUACACUUUGUUCCUUGAAUUUGAUCCGCAAAAACAGAAAUUUAAGGCAAAGGAAGGGUUUAAAAAUUUUGACCAAUUUCUUCUUGGAAAUGUUGAGCACCUUGAGCCUUGAUCACUUGUAUCACCCGUUGAGACUUGUGAGGAUCUUGACCAUCUUGAUUCUUGAAGAUUUGCACCUCUCUUCGUACAAAAAGUUUCUUGUACAUCCUUGCAUCCAUACGGGGCUUCCUUGGCUUAAGAGUAAACCUCUUGGGAAUUUCCUGAGCAGGCCGCUUGGGGAAUUCUUGAGUGACGUCGCUUGUAUCAACUUGUGAAGCCAUUAUUUAGAACCAAGCGUCGAAACUGUCCUUGUGUGGAGCAAAGAGGAGGGGGCCGAAUUGUUUGUUCUUGAGGGAGAGUAAGGGAUGAAAAUUUUGGGGGGAGGAAAUUCUGGCUUUAGAGGUGAGGAAGCUACCAAAUCUGGAAAAUUUUUAGGAAGUUCUAGCCGACUUUGAGAGGGAUUUAAGAAGAGGGAAUUCUGGAAUUUUCAGAGGUUAGUUUCGGUUAGAAUAGGAAACUGCCAAAAAAAACUGUUUGGCACUUGGUUAGCAGCCGACUUUAGGAAGGUUAAAGAGAAAGGAAAUCUGGUAUUUUUUGGUAACAAUUCUGAUUUGGCUAGACGACUUUAAGGAAAUUUUCCAAAUAAGUACAACACCUAACUUGUUUCCAAAAAAAUCAAUUAGGAAAUUAAGUAAAACACUUGGGAAACUCCAUCAUUGUACUUGGGCAUUUUUUUUGUACAUCAAUUUUCCUUGUUCCAUUUCUUACCAAAUCCGCCAUUGAGUUUUCCGUUCUACUCUUGUCCUUUGAUUUGGGAGCUAAUUGGUUAAAGUUUGACUGAAUUUUUUUUGAGAUAAUUUCUGAUUUCUUCAAAGGAAACGAUCGAGAGACUUGAGGAGUGAAUUGGUGAGUGCAUUAGAGGGACAUAAACACUUGAGUGAAAACACGAGAGGAGUGCAACACUUAAGGGAGCGAGUGAGGCAUUUUCUACUAACAAUUUGUCAAGUUUUGCAGGUUUCACCAUGUCUCAGGAAAAUGAACUUACCAUUGCUCAGUUAUCACUUAAAAUGGAUGCUAUGUGGAAGGAAAUGCAGAGGAGAUUUGACCAAAGACUGGAAACGAUCCAUGAGCAGAUUGAUCAACUAAGUUCAUCUAGGGUUUCUUCUAGGAAAUCUAGGGGAAAAUCCACCCUGGAGGAAUCUAGUGACUCCAAUGCCGAUUCGGACCGUGAGGCAUACGGGCAAGGGAGACCGAAGAGAAACACAAGAGCAAUUGGUGAUGCAAUCAAAGGGAUUAAGAUGAAGAUUCCUCCUUUCCAAGGCAAAUCUGAUCCGGAUACAUACCUUGAAUGGGAGAGUCGAGUAGAGCUAGUAUUCGAUUGUAAUGACUACACCGAUGCACAAAAAUUGAGACUUGCCGUAGUAGAAUUCACCGACUAUGCCAUAGUUUGGUGGGAACAAGUGGCUACAAGCAGGAGAAGGUGUGGUGAACCACCUAUAACCACUUGGACUGAGCUCAAGAGACUUAUGAAGAAGCGAUUUGUACCAAGUCACUACCAUAGAGACUUGUACCAAAAACUUCAAACCUUGACGCAAGGUCAACGCUCAGUUGAGGACUACUACAAGGACAUGGAAAUCUCCAUGUUGAGAGCUGAUAUUCAAGAAGAUAGAGAGGCUACAAUGGCAAGGUUUCUCAAUGGUCUGAGGGCUGAAAUAGCCGAUCAACUGGAGCUUCAAUACUAUGUGGAGAUAGAAGAUAUGGUGGAAAAGGCUAUCAAGAUUGAGCAAAGGCUCAAGAGGAGGGGUACAACCAGAAAUUAUAACCCUCAUCCACAAACAUUUACUCGACCAUUCCAGUCUAGAAGGGAAGAGAGAGGUUCGAAUGCUUGAAACCCUCCAAAGCCGAAGCAAGAUCAAGGGUCAAGCUCGCGGCCACCUGUUACCAAAACCGACUCCAAGGUUGUUUCAAAGCCAACAAUUGAAACUUCAAAACCUAGGAAUCGUGACACCAAAUGUUGGAGGUGUCAAGGAGUUGGACAUAUUGCAAGCCAAUGUCCAAACCCAAGGACCAUGCUUGUCCUACCAUAUGGAGACAUUGUCACUGAUGAUGAAGAGAAGGAUUACAAAGACAUGCCUCCCUUGGUUGAAGAGGAAGAUGAAAUAGAGGAAGUUCCAACUCAAGACAAAGUUGGAUUGGUAGCAAGAAGGGCGCUAGCUACUCAAGCUAGUAAAGAUGAGCUUCAACGUGACAACAUCUUUUACACUAGGUGCCAUGUGACCAACAAGGUAUGCAGCUUGGUGAUUGACCCCGGAAGUUGCACUAAUGUUGCUAGUGCAUUGAUGGUGGAGAAACUAAACUUGCCAACUAGUGAGCACCCCCGUUCCUACAAGCUUCUGUGGUUAAACAACAGUGGAGAGGUACGUGUUCAUAAACAAGUUUUGGUUACUUUUCGCAUUGGUAGGUAUGAAGAUGAUGUUAUGUGUGAUGUAUUACCAAUGCAAGCUGCACAUAUACUCUUAGGGCGUCCUUGGCAAUUUGACAAAAGAGUCACUUUUGAUGGUUUCUUGAACAAAUACUCUUUUAUGCAUAAUUGUAAAAAGAUUACACUUGCACCUCUUACACCUCAACAAGUACAUGAGGAUCAAGUUAGUCUACAAAAAGAGUAUGACUUGCAUGCUACCACCAAGAAGGACAACGCCAAAGCUAAGAAAUUAGUGUUGGCCGAUCCUUCUUCAAGCAAGUUGGAUCACUCUCAUUCGGUAUUCGAGCCCACACAGGAGAGAAAACCCAGCAUGCUUGCCAAGGUGAAAGAUGUGAGAAAGGCCGUGCAUUCUAAUCAGGUUUUAUUUAUUUUAUUUGGCAAGGAAUCCUUACUCACUAAUGCUCUUGAUGCUUCUUUGCCUAGUGUUAUUACUAACCUCUUACAGGAGUAUCAAGACGUCUUUCCUGAGGAUAUACCUAAUGGUUUGCCUCCAUUAAGGGGAAUUGAACAUCAAAUUGAUUUCAUUCCUGGCUCUUCCCUUCCAAACAAGGCACCAUAUAGGACCAAUCCUGAGGAAACCAAGGAGCAACAACGACAAGUUGAGGAGUUGCUUAGUAAGGGUUGGAUUCAAGAGAGUCUAAGCCCUUGUGCUGUACCAGUUCUACUUGUUCCGAAGAAAGAUGGAGGAUGGAGAAUGUGCACUGAUUGUAGGGCUAAUGCCAUAACGGUAAAGUACCGCCAUCCCAUACCUCGUUUGGAUGACAUGCUUGAUGAAUUACAUGGUGCUAUCAUUUUUACUAAGAUUGAUUUGAAAAGUGGUUACCAUCAAAUUCGCAUGAAAGAAGGAGAUGAAUGGAAAACUGCAUUUAAAACAAAACAUGGACUUUUUGAGUGGUUGGUCAUGCCUUUUGGGCUAACCAAUGCACCAAGUACUUUUAUGAGACUCAUGAAUCAUGUUUUACGCUCUUUCAUUGGUAAAUUUGUGGUCGUUUACUUUGAUGACAUUUUGAUCUAUAGUAAGACUCUAGAUGAGCAUGUUGUGCAUUUACAAAUGGUCCUCGAUGCACUUCGCAAGGCCAGCCUCUACGCUAACCUUAAGAAGUGUACCUUUUGCACAAAUCAAUUGGUUUUCCUAGGAUAUGUUGUUAGUGAGCAGGAAAUUCAUGUUGAUCAAGAAAAGGUGAAGGCUAUUAGUGAAUGGCCAACCCCUACCAAUGUAAGUGAGGUGAGAAGUUUUCAUGGCUUGGCAAGCUUCUAUAGGCGUUUUGUCAAGGAUUUUAGCACAAUUGCUGCCCCACUUACGUCAAUUGUCAAGAAAGAUGUGCAAUUUCAUUGGGGAGAGGAACAAGCUAAGUCUUUCCAAUUACUUAAACACAAGCUCACACAUGUACCUGUUCUUAGUUUACCUAAUUUUGACAAAGCUUUUGAAGUAGAGUGUGAUGCUUUUGGUAUAGGUAUUGGACCUGUUUUACUCCAAGAGGGUCGCCCAGUUGCCUACUUUAGCGAGAAGUUAAAUGGAGCUGCUCUAAACUACUCAACCUAUGAUAAGGAACUCAUGGCCUUAGUGCGAGCCCUACAAACAUGGCAACAUUACCUUCGCCCUCGUGAGUUUGUCUUGCACACCGAUCAUAAGUCGCUCAAGCAUAUCAAGUCCCAAGACAAGUUGAGUAAGCGACAUGCAAGAUGGAUUACCUUCAUUGACAGUUUUAUCUUUGUGAUCAAAUACAAGACAGGUAAGACGAAUGUAGUGGCUGAUGCACUCUUACGAAGGUAUGCACUUAUCACUACAUUAGAUGCUAAGUUGCUUGGUUUUGAAUUCCUUAAAGAUCUUUAUGCAGCUGACUCAGAUUUUGGUGAGAUUUUUGUCUCCUUGCCACGACACUCUCGUGAGCACUAUUUCAUCUCUCAGGGGUUCUUAUACUACAAGGACAAGCUUUGCAUUCCCAAGAGCUCCAUGCGCACACUCCUAGUAAGAGAAGCUCAUGGAGGAGGACUAAUGGGACACUUUGGCAUUGCCAAGACCUUAAUGAUUCUCCAAGAGCAUUUCUUCUGGCCACGCAUGAGGAGUGACGUAAAACGGCACAUUGAAAGGUGUGUGACUUGUCACCAAGCCAAAUCAAAGGUACACCCUUAUGGUCUCUAUACACCUUUGCCAAUUCCACAUGAACCAUGGGUUGAUCUGUCAAUGGAUUUUGUGCUUGGACUACCUAGGACUAGAAAAGGACAUGAUUCAAUCUAUGUGGUAGUUGACCGCUUCUCCAAAAUGGCCCAUUUUAUUCCUUAUCUUAAAACAGAUGAUGCUAAGCAUGUUGCAGAUUUAUUCUUUCGUGAGAUAGUUAGAUUACAUGGCAUGCCACGCACUAUUGUUUCUGUUAGGGAUGCCAAAUUCCUUAGCUAUUUUUGGAAAACUUUGUGGUGUAAACUAGGUACUAAAUUGCUAUUUUCUACUUCUAGCCACCCACAAACUGAUGGUCAAACCGAAGUGGUUAAUAGGACUUUAUCUACCCUGUUGCGCGCAAUUAUAAAAAAGAACAUUAAAUCUUGGGAAGAUUGCUUACCACAUGUGAAAUUUGCAUAUAAUCGCACUGUUCAUUCUGCUACACAUUAUUCGCCGUUUGAAAUUGUGUAUGGUUUUAACCCUCUCACACCUUUGGAUUUAACUUCUUUACCUGUUCAUGAGAGAGUUAACUUGGAUGGUAAGAACAAAGCUGCAUAUGUACGUGAGUUACACACUAAGGUGCGAGCCAACAUCGAGAAGCAUACACUUCAAUACAUCCAAAGUGCCAACAAGGGGCGCCGCAAGAUGGUCUUUGAGUCUGGCGAUUGGGUAUGGAUACACAUGCGCAAAGAGAGGUUCCCAGUCAAAAGGCGUAGUAAGCUAUUUUCACGGGGAAAUGGUCCAUUCCAAGUCCUGGAGCGUAUAAAUGACAAUGCCUACAAACUUGAACUUCCAGGUGAGUAUGUGGUACAUGCUACUUUUAAUGUAUCUGACUUGAGUCCUUUUUAUGCAGACGAUGAGUUUGAUUUGAGGACAAAUCGCCUUCGAGAGGAGGGGACUAAUGAGGAGGGGUUCAAGGCUGCUCAAACUUCUAGUGCUCAGGUCAUGCAAAUACCCAGUGGUCCAAUUACAAGAGCGUGUGCUAGGAGAAUUCAAGAAUCACUUCAAGCUCUUGUUUGCACGAUUCAAGAACGAGUUGGUGAUGAUUUGAGGACCAUUGAAGGAUUACAUAAUGGAGAAACUACUCUAUACACUUUCCUUCAAAUGGAAGAACCAAGUGAAGACUAGUUCACGGAGCACUAGCUUCCUCAUUACUUAUUCUGUAGAUUCCUCUACUUCAUUUCUAGCUUCCUCUUUCUUCCUUUCAAUGCUAAACAUAUUCUUCCUUUCUUCCUAUUGGCUCUCCUUUGGCUAUGUGGUUGGAUCUUGUAAAUAUGCUGUCAUCUUAUCCUCGUAUACCUUUCUCCUCAUGGAUCCUUGGUCUUUUCCGUCCUUUUUUUUGCAUCCCUGCUAUAUUUCCACUAUCAGCUUUUUCCUUGUCCUUCAUUCUGAGUCCAACUACUAAAGCAUUGCUUCUGUCAGCUUUCUCCAGUUUCUUUCUUUCUAUUGCUUUUGGUGGUUCAUUCCAUCCUUUUAAUAGGGAUAUCAUGAUGUUUCUUGCUCUCAUCCUUGCUCUGUAUUGCUUUUCUCUCUGCAUCACUCCUUCUCUUCCCCCCCUUAUUACAGGAUUUCUCACUGUGUCUUAUUACCCCACAGUUAUAGCAAAAGUCUGGGCAACGUUCAUACCUAAACUCAACCCAUACCGCCUGAUCUUUGAGUUUAAUCUUUGUUCCUUUGAUCAACAGUUGUGUCACAUCAAUUUCUGCCAUUAUUUUCAUCUGACUUUUCUUUUUCCCACCAAUUGCUAGGAUUAUUACAUCUCUUACAGAUUUAAAGAUCUAGCCUAGCUUGAAGCCUACUGCUUUGCUCAUCCAGUGAACUGGAAGAUUAAUUGCACCUAUUUCAAAGCAUGUUAAAGUAUGUUAUAUCUCUUUCACAUCCCUCUAACCAUUCCUUAACAAUUAACACCUGAUUAUCCAUUAUCCAUGGACCACCUCUUAGUAUCCUUCUUCUAUCUUUCUCUUUUUCUAAAUGGAACUGAAACAAGUUGGGGCCCAGCUCUAUUAUCAUCAUCUUCAUAGGGUAGCCCCAAGCAUGGUUGGUGAAAUUCUUAACCGUUGUGAAGUUUGCAAUUUUUUCACCUAUCAAUUUUCCCGCUAAGCUGCCAUUGCAACCCUGUAUGCCUUCUUCUAUGUCUUCACCACUCAGAUCUACACCGUCUAUUUCUUUUUUCGAUAGCUCAAACUUUUGGAAUGUUCUUGCUAGAGAUUCUUUCAUCAUUAAAGAGAGUAUUAGAGUGAGCACAAGCACUACUUCUUGGUCACUGAACUUCCUAGCUGGUUAAACCUGCUAAAGAAAGCAAUCAGAUAAGCAAGUAAGGAAAUUAGAUGUGGAACUAAAGGCCGAUAGUGUACUAUUAAGAACUUCAAAAGCUUGAACAUAAGAUUCAGUGGAGCCGACAGGCCCUAAAAGCAUAAACUUCAGAAAAUUCAAGAGGAAUAAAAGUAAAUGCAGGUAAGGUUUCAACAAGAGUAAAAAUUCCACAUCUUUGUUUAAUGGAUCAUGUUUUGUCUUAGCAUUUACUCCAACAAUUAAUGGUUGUGAUCGAACUACAGCACUAAUCUAACAGGGGUGUGUUUUUUAAUUUUAUGGUGAAAUCUGGGUUGACUCUAAGAUUGUGCAGUGUUAGGAUUUUGAAAAUUUGAACUUUCGAGACUCCUACACUUAGGAGAGGAGCUCUAAAGUUAGAGAUAGAAGCUCUCAAGAAGAGAGAGACUCAGUGUCUUUUUUCCUGAUGAUUUUAUAGGGGUGGCAAUUCCUGACACGAUCCAAAAACACGACACGAACCUAACACGAAAUUAAUGGGUUUGGGUUGAGGUUUUGGGAGUUUGGAUCAGAAUCGAGUCGAACCCGAUGAACCCGAAAAGAAAAUAGGUCAAUUUCGGGUUAACCCGUAGUGACCUGAUAUGACCCGAUGUGACUCGUUUACGAAUUAAAACUAAUUUAAUAAACAUAAAAAUUAUUUUAUCUAACUAAACUAAAUCAUUCUUUUUUUCCAAAGGCAUUAAUUACUUAAUCCUAAAUGAAUUUAUUUAACUUGUGUGAAGUUAAAAUUAUUAUAUUUGGACAAAUAAUAUAUUAUGUUAUUUUUUACUUUUAUGUUGUUUUAAUUUAUUUUAUAUUUGGUUUGGGAUAAAACACUUUUAUGGUGUUUAAUUUAUUUUAGAUUUGGUUUGAAAUUAUUUAUUUAAAUUUUUAUUACUUGAUGAUGUAAUUAAUUUUGUGAAAAAUUGAUUUUAUUAGAAAUUACAGUGAUAAAAUAAUAAAUUAAAAUUAAGUUUCGGGUCAUUUUGGGUCGACCCGCCAACCCGAAAUUUUCGGAUUCGUGUCAGGUACCCUGACCCGUUUCGGGUUAGCGGGUCGGGUUAGCAGGUCAGCAGGUUCUUUGUUAUACUUAGGCCUCAACCCGACCCGCCAACCCGAACCCAAUCCGUUUGCCACCCCUAUGAUUUUAGGUGGUUAUAGAUUUUGAUCUUAGAUAGUUUUUUUUUUGUAAUUUUGUAAUUUAUUUUUGUAUUUAGAUUAUAGAUUUUUUUAAUAGCUAAAAAUAUUAUAUUAAAAAUUUAAGAGCAACUUUUUGUUGAUUUUGAUUAAACAUUAUAACACUCCUAAUAAUCAGAUUUUGCAAAGUUUAAAACAAAUGAGAACAAGACAUGCAUAUAACUAUAUAAAUUAGUCGUGUGCUUAGGUCAAAUGUGAAUUAGGCUCGAAGUCCUAAUAUCUUUGUGAUCCGAGUAUGAACCUCGCAUUGUGUGACCAAAGUACAACAGCAAGAAUAUUUUACAAUAGCUCACUCCAACACGAACAUCCUUUAGCACUCUGCAUACAAUAGUUUCAGCAUUAGAGGUUUUCUAUUGGAACACCCUAUAAUUCCUCUUUUUCCAUAUAUGAUAUACAAUUGUUUCUAGUGCCAGUUUCUUUAAUAUGUUUACAGAGCAUUCCUUCUUCCAAUGGCAACUGAGCCAUUCAACUUCAGUGUUCCACUCAUAAAUCCCUCGAUAUUGCAAGCAACAUUGCUGUAUUCUUGAUCAAAUAUCGCAGCAUACUCAAAGUGAAUAUGCGGCUUGUAUUUGGUCAAGAGUACAGCAAUGCUGCUUGCAAUAUGACAUACUAUUCCAAUGCCAUUUCUGAUAAUGAACUAAUCUGAGCAUGAUACAAUUUAAUUAUGAUAAAGAACCAAGCGGAGCCUUGAGUAGUUCUUUUCUUUCUUCUUUCCCUUUUUAAUUAUUAUUUAUCUUUCUUACAGCCUUUUUUCAUUUAGCUCUAUUACACAAGAUCCUAGUUAAGAAUUCUGAUUAAGAGGUUGUACUUUCGUAUUCUCUAUACCAGUAUUAGAACUAGAUAAGAAUUGGAAUAGUGUUUUAAGGAUAUGUUGAUUCAUUUUAGUACGAUACAAUUUUGCUUCUAAUAAACAACAAGCAUUACUUAUAUUUUUAAUGAGCAUUAUUUUGAACUGGAAAUUUUUUUACAAUUCCUUGAACUCGUUUUUCAAAUGACAUUUUUAUUAUUUUCAAUCACCUUUUUACCUGUUAUACAUCAUGUGGUGAAAAGGUCUAUGAGAUUGUUAUUAACAAUAAUUUUCUAAAUAAUCUUCAAUUUGAAAGCAUAUAGUUUCCAGUCUAAAAAUUCAAUAAUGUUAUUUUCUUUCCAAAAACCAUUGCAGAAUUUAUUCUUUGCUGGGUCAGACACUUCAGGUGGCACGAUAAUUUGGGCUAUGACGGCGCUUAUCAAGAACCCCUACAGCAAUGAAAAAGCACAAACUGAGUGCAUGGAGAGAGGAAAUGAUAGAUGAAGAUGAUCCUCAAAAGCUUCCCUAUCUCACAGCUAUCAUCAAGGAGACUAUGAGAUUGUACACAAUUGUUUCUAAUUUAGUCCCAAGAUACUUAAUGGAAAGUGGCAUCCUUGGCGGAUAUGAAAUUCAGCCCCAGACUAUAGUUUACAUAAAUGGUUGGGCAAUUGGAAAGGGAUACUGAGUAUUGGGAAAAUCUACGAGUUCUUGCCUGAGAGAUUCUUGAAUAGUACUAUAGAUAUGAAAGGGGAGCACUUUUAGUUGCUCCCAUCUGGGGUAGGCAAAAGAUGAUGCCCUAUAUACUCCCUAGGGCUAGCAUCUAUGGAGAUCGCACUUGCUAAUAUUUGAAUUCAUUCAACCAGGAAUUGCCUUCUAGAAUGAAGAAAGAAGACAUUGAUACUCAUUGUUUACGUGGUGCCCUGCGACUUGUGGCAAGAACCAUCUGCCUUCUUAGCAAGGAAAAACAAAUGACAACUUGGGAGAGAGGGGAUAGGCUGGUUGGUUAGGAAGGGAGAGAUUCUACCUGAGAGGUCACGGAUGCAAGCCGUAGCAAUUACACUAAAAAAAAAAAAACAAAUGUCAACAUAGUAGUUGUAAAAAGGGUUACAAACGAAUUGAAUCGAGUCGAAUCGAGUUUUGACCUAAUUGAGUUGAGUCUCGACUUAAUUUUAUCAAGUUCGAACUCGAGCUCAAACUCGAUGACCGCUCAGUGUAAAGCUCUCGAGUCGAGCUCGAGUUUAAAACAAUAAAAAAAUUAUUUUAAUUUAUAAAAAAUUGAUAAAAUAAUAUUUUUCUUAAUAAAUAUAAAAUAUUAUGGAUAUAUAUAUGUAAUUUUACUAUUAAAAUAAUAUAUAUGUAUAAAAUUGAACUGGUGAGUUAACGUGUUGAAUAUUUUUGAACUCAAAUUUGACUUGAUUUGCUCGAACUCGAUUCAAACUUGAUAUUGACCAAACUCGAGUCGAGUUUUGAAUCAAGUUGCUCGCGAUCAACUUGACUCGUGUACACCCUAGUUGUGAAGUUGUGUAAGGUAUGAAUAAUUCAAGAAAGAAAUAUUAACAAUACUCUUACGGAUUUAUUGCACAAUAUUAUUAUAUUCUAAGCAUUCAACUAACAUAUUAAAUACUCUUACGCAGUUUAAAUAUAUUGUAAUGUUAUAAUAUCCAUGAACUAUUGCAGUGCAUCAAAAAAAUUAUUAAGUAUUCUUUGAGAUAUUUAUUAAAAUUUUAGAAUGAUUAGAUAUCAAGAACUAUGUAUAUUUUUAUUAAUGAAAUACAAAAGAUACAACAAUUCAAAAUAUUUAGUUUCUAAUAAAAUUCAUAAAUUUAUCAAUAUAACAAUUAAAUCGCACCAAUAAAAGUGUGGAUAAAAAAAUAAUUCAAAUAUAUUAAAAAGAUAGAAGUUGUUAGAAGAAAGGAAAACCAUAAGAAAAACCCAAUGAGAUUUAUCUUCAAUUAUAUAAAAAAGUUAACAGUGCCUUCAAAUACGAUAGUGAGUGAUUAGAUUAGCAAGAAAGUGAGGAAUGGGCUAUAUAUAUAUAUGCCCCAAAAAUUAUGCCCCAAAUUAAAAUGACCAAGUUUUGGCAACACUUUGCUAAGCUUAGUAUAACCUUGACUGAUAAAUAUCAAAUGUCAUAUUGUAUAUUAAUAUACUCAAAGAAAUUAUGAGAUCUCUAAUUCGACUUUUAACCUUUCCUUUUCUUCCUUCUCUCCUGCAAUAGUUGGAGUUUGUUGAACAAAAGAAAAGUAUUAUAUAUUGUUUGUUUUAUUUAAAGAAUCACCACACCUGUCAAGACAUUUAUGAAAAAUUCUCGUGUUAAGAAUCUAAAUUUUUAUUUUUUACUCACAAUAUUAUUUUUUUCAAAAAAAGUAUAUUUUUUUAGAGAACAAAAAAGUGUGAAAGCUUGAAAAAAAAAAGUGUGAAAGCUUGAGUUUGGGUCAAUUAGAUUGGAGCUAGAAGCCUAACAAACCAAAAGGGCCGAGUGUUGCAAACAAUCUUUAAGCCUGAAGGAUUCUCCUCAAGCUAUGGAAGCAGGUAUUUUUAGUUAAGCACGUCUUUGGGUUUGUAGCAGAGUCCAGGCCAGAAGCCCCAAUUGAAAAGCCUGCUAACAGUAAAGAUGGAGAGGUUAGCACAGGUCGUCUGCCGGAUUUUCAAAUGGAACCACCCGCGGUGCUUUCAAAUACUCCUAUAGGAUACACUGAUUGAUGUAAUCCCUUACAAACAUUAUAGGUAUGUUUAGACAAGUUAACUUAGUUGAUAGUAAUUAGUCAUUCUCUUAUAAAAGAUCAUGUGCUCAAGUUUCACUGUCGAUGUAAGGAAUGUAUUGGUGUACAAUUUAUAAAAAUUCAUGUAAGUGAUCUAUGGUUCCAAAUGUGAGAAUUAUGUUGGUAUGCAAUUCGUAAGAACCUAUAGUCCCAAAUGUGAGAACUAUGUUGAUUGACGAUAUGUAAAAACUCUUACAAGUAACCUAUCGAAUGUGAAAAUUGUAUUGGUGGUUGAUCCGUAAUUGAAGCCGACCAACGGUAAUAAUCAGAGUCAAACCCACCCAAAUUUUUAUUUACCAAGAAAAAAGAAAACAUUAUAGGUGUCUGAUUAUAUUAAUUGGUUUUGGAUUCCAAUUUUGAAAAUUAUUCUUUUUGAUCUUCACAUUUGCUUUCAUAGUUAGAUUUUGAAAUAGGUAACCCAAUAAUAGAUUUUAGUAUUUCUGAUUAAUUAGUCUUUUACAAAAAUUGUAGCAUGAACAGCACCACGCUGUUAUUUCAUUUAAAUCUUGUAGCUCCUCCACCAUCUUGCAGUUGUUUAUUGCUUUGAGCAAUUUGGCUUUCUUUUUUGGUUAAUUUCUCACUUGAGAUAUGGCCAAAUUAUUAGUUUGUCCAAACUACAACAACAGGUCCGUUUGGUUCGUGUGAAUUGCAAAAAAAAAUUUAAAAAAAUCUCAAAUAUUAUUUAAUUUGUAUCAUAAACACAAUUUCCAAUCAUUCUUUUAUUUGACAUACAUUACAUCAUAAAAAAUAUUAUUGUAUUAUUUCAAAUUUUUUUUCCAAAUAAUCUCUUAUCCAAACACAUCUAUGUUAAAUUCAACUAGUAGACGCAAUAAGACGACAUAUUGGCCAUGCAUCUCCUCUUAAAUUACAUACCCCAUCAAUUCUUGAAAAGUUUUGAAAAUAUUAGUUAUGAGAUUAACCAUUCAAUAUUAUAUGAAUCAUAUUCCAUUGCACUCAUAUGAGAAUCAAAGCAAGUACUUCUUUUUUUUUUAAUUUGGUUAAAACAAGAAAGGAAAUGAAAAAGCUAGCACGAAGGAGGAUAGGUUGAGCAAGUAUUAAAAAAGUUAUCUAAAACAAGAAUGAACCUCAGAACGGUUGGCAUGGCAAUUCCCAAAACCCUCAUAUUUAGAGUCCAUUCUUCAUAAAGCUUAUAUUAUAAUUUGAUCUGAUAAAAGUCAUGGAUCCAUCAAUAAUCACCUGCUUGGUAAAAGACCAUUUUGUUUUGUCAAGCAUCUAAACUGACUAAUUUAAAUUGAACAUAAAUGAUCAACAACUAAAAUGAAGAAAAAUAUAAGUUGAGGGACUGAGUAAGGACAUUUGAGGAAAUUUACCUCACUUCCGUGUGGAAAAAUCGUUAAAAAAAAAACCUAUAAAUAUUUCUGUUUCCAAGACUAAGCUAUAAAAACGUAAGUUCGAAGGUCAAUUUAACAUGUUGAAACAAAAGGUUUAUGCAAACUAUAUGAUAUCAAAUCUUUGACUUUUGCUGUACAUGAAGUCAUGAAAGAUACUCGUAUGCAAUUAUUAUGAUUCGAAAUCAUCUCUGACAAGCAUUAGGUCAAGGCUGUAGAAUUUAUUUCUAAACAAAUAGUUUUAUAUAAACCCAGGGACCAUGUGUUGGGAUUCUUAACAAUAAACACAAUAAACAACUCAAGGGCAUUUUUUUUUUUGACCUCCCAUCUUUCCCCGUUACUUUUCCACUCCCUUGCUAUACGGGUGGCAAUUUCCGACACGAUCCGAAAAUACGACACGAAUUUAACACGAAAUUAAUGGAUUUGGGUUAAGGUUUCAAGAGUUCGAAUUAAAAUCGGGUCGAACCUGUUGAACCCGAAAAGAAAACAGAUCGAUUUCGGGUCAAUCCGUGGGUGACCCGAUAUUACCCGAUAUGACUCGUUUACGAAUUAAAAAUAAUUUAAUAAACAUAAAAAUUAUUUUAUCUAACUAAACUAAGUUAUUCUUUUUUUUUCAAAGACAUUAAUUACUUAAUCCUAAAUGAAUUUAUUUAACUUGUGUGAAGUUGAAAUUAUUAUAUUUGGAUAAAUAAUAUAUUAUAUGAUUUUUAGGCCCAGAAUUCGAAUAUGAACCUGACAGCAGAGAUAGUUUUUAAAACCCUCCACUGACCAUUAGACUAAUCCCAGGAGAUUAACUAAAGGGCAUGUGUUGGUUCUUACUUCUAAAUAUUUUGCACGCUUCUCUCUAUGGGUGGUGGUCACAAGUGAGUUCACGAUCAUGACACAUUCGGCUUUAAAAUUCAGCAGUCAACCCUCAACACGAAAGACAUCCAACAAUAUUCUACGGAUUAUUCUUCUUCGAUCAUUAGUUUUAACCCCCAAGGGUCGGUAUUUUGUGGAUUCAGAUCUCCUACGGUUGCAAGGACCGCAUUAUGACGGUCCAAGAUUGGAUUAGAGUGUCACAGCUUGAUAUACGCCGUCUAUUUCAAGAUUCACUAGUUUUGAAAUGGAUGAUUGAGAUCGAGUAGGGCCACUUCGAUUCAAUCUCAAACCAUCAGUUGUAUAGUCCGGUUUCUCUUGCAACUGUAGAGGAGCUAAAUCUGUAUUUUUCAAACAUGAUGUACUAAUUUUCUGGUAAAUUUUCAAAAAUAAGUUCUAGCUAUACAUGAAAAUCAAUUUUAAGAUUUAUUUAGUUUCUUACGGACAAAUAAUACAAUAAUCCUGCAAAAGUUUUGUAAUAUCCACCAACUAAUGGUUAAUAAUGCCUCGGGAAUCAUGGAUACUAAAUUUUAGACUAAUCAAGUACUCAUAUUCACUUACACAAGCUAUUGAAAUAUACCAAUACGCACUAUUUUAAGGGAUAACCCCCAUAGGUUUCUAACAAUUUCAUCUAGCUUCCCUCUAAUUUGAGAAAUUAUAUUGACCUCUCUUGACAUGAUGAGUUACCAAAAACGACCUUCACUUUCUCACUAUUUUACACGGAAAAAAACCUAUAUUCUUAAAAGAGAAAAAAAUCCAAAAAAUUUGUUCAAAAAAUUUUUGUGAUAUUUCAAAACAAUUGUCAAUUGAAAAAACUUAUUUGAGUAGAUGCUUUGAUUGUGGAUUUUAUUGAAAUUAAUUAAUAUAAAAGUGAAUGUAAAAAUCACAGUAUACACAAAGACGUGACUUUUUUUCAGGCUAGUACCCUCCGGGUUUUCGAUUGCUAGAGCAUCUCCUUAUUUUUUCCCUGACAAAAUGUGCCUUAGGAUUAUGAUUGUAGUAACAUAGAUGGAAUUGUUAGUGAUAGUGUGGAUCUAGUGGUAGAAAGAAAAGAAUGUUACAAAGUUUUCUAUUGCUCUUUUUUAUCCCGUCUAGUUGGUAGCCUAUGACAGUGAUAAUGGAGAUGGGCUUGGUAGUAAUUGUUGACGUAGAAUGUAGAAGGGAAAAUCGUUUAAAACGUCUUUCACAUUUUGUAAAAUAACUUUUUUCGUCCCUUACUUUUAAAAAUGUAAUUUUACAUCCCUUACAACUUUGCAUUUGUCAAAUUUGAUCCCUACUUAGGUUUCCGACUAGUUUUUGGUCAGAAUUCACCACGUGCCUUGCACGUGAUCAUAUUUUAAGGACAAAAUUGUCAAAUCAAAUUUGAUAUAAUUCGAUUCAUAAUCCCUCACAUUUCAUAAAAUAAAUUUUUCACCCCUUACAUUUCACAAAAUGAAUUUCUUCAUCCUUCACAUUUUUCAAAAUGAAUUUUUUUCAUCUUUUAUUGAUCGUGUGUGAAUAAUUUUUUUUAAAUGCAUGUAUAUAUCUAUUUGAUUUCACCUGAACAGUACGAAUAGCAUGUGAAAUCAAAUAGAGAUAUAUUAGAUACUAUUCGUACUGUUCAAGUGAAAUCAAAUAGAUAUAUAUAUAUAUAUAUAUAUAUAUAUAUAUGGGUUUAAAAAAAUUGUUAGUUUUUCACUUAUAUUGAUUUUCUUUUACUCAAAAUUUGAAAAUAAAGAAAACAUUUAAUCAUAAAUAUUAUCGAGUGUUUCUAUCGAAUUAAAUUUGGACAGAAAAAAUAAACAAAAGAAAAGUAUGACAAAAAGAAAUAAGUGAUUGACACUUUCAAAUUUUAAGACAAUCACAAGAUAAGUAAUUCAACUAUUGGUCUUAAAAAUGUCGAGUAGAAAUUCAAAUUUAAACUGAAAUUUGUUAUGAUUAUAGAAUUCAAGUUAGCACCCAUUAAUUAGAUGACCUUAUUAUACAACUCAAUAAAAAAAUUAUUACCAAAAGAAAAAGGUCACAAAUAUUGAAUAGAUUCAAAUGGUGAAAUCAUAUAAAUAUAUACAUGGGUUUCAAACAAAAUUAUUAGCUUAAAACCCCUAUAUAUAUCUAUUGAAUAGCAUGUGUCUAACUAUGAUUAGCAUGUUUAGAUGAAAUCUAAUAGAGAUAAAUUACAUGCUAUUCGUAUUGUUCAGGUAAAAUCAAAUAAACAUAUACGUGGGUUUAUAGAAAAAAAGCUAUUCACACACAUGAUCAAUGAGGGAUAAAAAAUUCAUUUUGAAAAAUGUGAGGGAUGAAAAAAUUCAUUUUUUGAAAUGUGAGGAACGAAACAAUUCAUUUUGUAAAAUGUUAGGGAUGAAAAAAUUCAUUUUGUGAACUGUGAGGGACUAUGAAUCAAAUUAUAUAAAAAUUUGAUUUGACAAUUUUGCCCUUAAAAAAUGAUCACAUGCAAGUCACGUAGUGGAUUCCGGCAAAAAACUAGUCAAAAACUUAGGUAGGAACCAAAUUUGGUCAAUAUGAAUUUAUAAGAGACGUAAAAUUAUACUUUUAAAAGUGAGAGACGAAAAAAAAACAUCUUGUAAAAUGUGAGGGACGUUUUGAACGAUUUUCCCUUAAAAAAAUCAAGCAACUUGAAGCUCAACAAAGACUAUUUAAAACCAACUUCUAUGGCCAUUUUCCAGCCACCUCAAGAAAAUCUUCCUCCUGAAGUGAUGGAGAUAGUAUUGAUCAUUGCUUUACUUUCAGCUCUUCCCAUAAUUUUCCUGAUUCUUCUUCAGAAAAACAGCAGGAAAUCAUCAACAAAAUCUCAUCCUCCUCUCCCUGGUCCUCCUGGCAUUCCAAUCAUUGGAAACAUGCAUCAGUUUGAUCCCUCAGCCCCACAUAGCUAUCUCGGGGAGCUUUCCAGAAAGUAUGGCCCUCUCAUGUCCCUCAAGCUCGGAUCCUUGCCAGUACUUGUGGUUUCUUCAGCAAGAAUGGCAGAAGAGGUUAUGAAAAAUCACGACUUAAUUUUCUGUAGCCGACCACCUAUGCUUGGCCAGCGAAAAUUGUCCUACAAUGGCCUGGACAUCGCGUUCGCUCAGUACAAUGAGCAAUGGAGAGAAUUGAGAAAGAUUUGUGUUCUUCAUCUCUUGAGCUCCAAGAGAGUUCAAUCAUUUCGUCCUAUACGCGAAGAUGAGGUCUACCGAAUUAUUCAAAAGAUAUCCCGGGAAUCUGCUUCAUCACAAGUAACUGACUUGACUCACACUUUAUUGUCUCUCACAAGUACAAUGAUUUGCCAAAUUGGAUUUGGAAAAAGGUAUGACGAGGAAGGCCAAGAAAGAAAAAGAUUCCACUUUCUCUUGCAAGAAGCUCAGGCAAUGUUUGUUGCAUUCUAUUUCUCUGAUUAUUUUCCUACAAUUGGUUGGUUGGAUAAAUACACUGGGAUGCUAUCUCGACUGGAGAAAGUUUUCAACAAGCUUGAUUUGUUCUACCAAGAACUCAUUGAUGAGCACCUGGAUCCAAAUAGGCCAACGUCAAUGGAUGGAGACAUUA